AUGGAAACACUUGCAGAUUCAUAACAAGGUAUGUUGAUGAAUCUUUUCUUGGAUGACUUAGAUUUACUGAAUCCACAGGAAGUUGAUGAAACUUGAAUGAGUUCAUCAGAGACUGUUCUAAAACAGUGUAAUAAGUGUCGUUUCCCAGGUUCGAGAAUGAAGGAGCUCUGAACUGUAGAAGUCCUGUGUAUGGAAAUGCACAUUUACAGUUCGGACUGGAAAUCUGAUUAGCAAAGCACGAAGAAGCUACACAGUUAUUUAGAGGCGUUGAAUAGGAAGAUUCGUUUUGGGAAACACUGCAGUAACUUUCUGUCACUCCUGUUUCCUGACAAACUGGGUUGUCUACAAGUCUGCAAAAUUUUAACAGGUAAACAAGAUAAAGCUAGAAACAAGCAUAUAUCCUGGCAAUUCGACUUUCUCAAGAGUACUGAAAUGGUCUUGUCUAGCAGUGUAAUGGAUACAAACAAGGAAUCUGGCUUACAUUACGCCCACUUUUUCUAUUCCGGGUCUUUCUGUGAAGGCAGAAAUUUGAUUUUCUCGCAAAUCAAUCAAUGACAGUUGGUUUAUAGAGCUUGUUCUAAUAUCCAAUGUGCCAUUGAACUUGUUAUUUCUUGCAUCCCUGUCACCAGAAGUCAAAUCAGCUAUCAUCUAGCCAUGUCAUAACAUGGAAAUAUCUAUCUAAACCCAUUUUGUAUGAAUCCAAGAAAGGAAUAAGCUAAUUUUCGUUGAACAGCUUGAAGCUGACUCUUACAGAGUCUGCAAAUUGGAAAGGCUAAAGAAGUCAGAAGGAAUCUGUCCUUGAAGUUGUGUUUUCUCCAUCACCCUGCAAUGAGAAGGUAAUUAUAUCAUACUAAGACUGGGGUCUUAAUCUCUUUUUACGUUUUCAAAGUUCAAACAGCAACUAGGCACUCAUGCACUUGAUCAUUGUGAUCUUUGCAUGCAUGCAUGCACAAAGAAACAAGGAGAUAUAAUAUGGCAAGCCCUAUAACUGAAGCUAGAGAAACUUGCCAAGAUUUUCCAGCAUUGUAAAGGCCAGCACACACAUCAAUAUGAAGAGAAUGGAUGAUGAGAAAGGUAAGAAGGUUGCAUUAUGUCAGCAAAAGCAUGAGAAAAAUCAUGUCUUGUGCCUUCACGAACAAAUGCAUAUGAAAUACAGAUAUUGUUUACAUGAAGUGGAUGCUAAUAGUAUUGUUUACACAAACAAAUCAAAUAGCACAUUUUAUGAAAACUACAAAGAGAUAAUAAAGCUUGGGAUGGGCAAAGCUAAAUACAAAUAGAGGAGUUAUGAAAGAGUAUAAAGCUGUGAUAAGCUUAAUGUACUGAUUCAUUCAUCUACAAGUUAGAUAUUACUCAAGCAGAUAUAGAUUACUCAAGCAGAUAUUACUUCCUCAGAUUCGCAACAAGACUCCCAAGUUUUUAUGAGUUCAACUGGAAUUUGUACCAAAAUAUAAAUAAAAAUUCAGUAAGAAGAUAGUACAGAAAGCCACAUGUUACAGAACGGCAGAACGAAUAUACAGCCCGAAUUAACAUUAUGCUGCUUAAAGGUGCAUGUGGAGAUAGGUGAUUAGAAAAUAAGAAGUGAUAAUUUAUAGAGAAACUUUCUUGAGUUUAAGAGAAAAGAAAACAAAUGAUUGAUAUGCCGAUAGCAUUCAACACGCAGAUGGCUGUAAUCUGUCAAGUUAAUAUAAAAGCUCAUUCAAAGCAAGAUGAUGGAAAGAGUUUGUGCUUUGAAUGAGCUUAGGAAUGUAUAUGUCAUAGUUUAGGGAGAGCAGAUUUAGACUAGGAAAGGAGGCAGAGAACCAUACAGUGUUGUCAAAGACUGCAAGGUUGAAAACCAUGGAGGAAAAUCUGUAGCGCCGAAAGUAUUAUUGCUCAUGUCCCUGCAAACAACAUUUUCCUCAAAAUACACACAGAAAAAAGUAGAGCUAGAAUUCAUCUCAACAAUUGAUUAUAUGUACGUCUAAACCAUGUAAAAUCUUACAAGUAGGUGAGAUGAUCCAUGCCAGUAAGGUUGGGAAGUGGCCCAGUUAAGCCAUUGUUGGAUAAAAACCUGAAAAUUGGUCACCAAGCAACACACUUAACAUAGAAAAAACUCCCAGAAGAGAUAGUAAUGACUUCAAUAAAACCAGUUGUAAUGGAAGGUCUCUCCCCUCCAUACUUACAUCUCACUGACACUGGUAAGAUUAUUGAUGUUUGAAGGAACAGGUCCAGUGAGCGAAUUAUUAUCAAGACGCCUGUAACCAACAUUGCAUGUUCAAUUACAACAUUAAGCAUCAAGAAUCUCAGUACAAAAUGACUUGAGUCUCCAAUAUCGAUACUUACACAACCUCCAAAGACUUCACAAGGCCAAGGGUGGAAGGAAUGCUGCCUGUCAGCUUGUUGCUCUCAAGAAGUCUGCCGGAAGAAAGACAAAGAAACCAAAAGAAUUAAUCAAAGAAAUGCUUAAACGGACAGAUAUCUGUGAUUAUGAAUUAUGCAAUUCCAAAAGAUUCAAACAAAAGUGAAGAAAUCUUAAAAAUUCGAAAACAGAAAUAUGAUCUCAUAUCCAAUCUAUAAAGCAGUUAUUUAGCAUCAUCCAGCAUAUGAACAACUGAAUGGAACUUACACAUGUAUGAGAUUCAUCCCUGAGCUAAAAAGUUUAGGCGGGAUUUGGCCUGUGAGCUGAUUAAAUCCAAGAUGACUGUAAAUAGGUUUAACAGGAACAUUAACACAUAGAAAACAGAAUCGUUAAUUUAUAGUUAGAAAGAAGCAAUGAGAUGGAUAAAACAAGGAGAAUCGACAUACAAGUGUUUUGUAUGAACUAGUAGGUCAAGGCCAGGAGUAGUGCCUGUAGAAACUGGGAUGGUCCCAGUAAGCAUGUUAUCAGCAAGAUCCAGCCAAAAAAGUUUAUCUAGAUUGCCAAGUGACGGGGGAAUUGAUCCACUGAAGCGAUUCGAAUUGAGAGAUCUGCAGGUAAUACCAGUGAAGAGCUUUAGAAAUGAUGCCACGGGCAUAAACUGAACUUCAAAUCAUGAACAGUAGUUGAUUCACUGAUGUUGCGGUAAAGCAUGGAAAGUAUUACAAGUUGAAAAAUACUUACAGAUCGGUUAGCUGUGACAAAGAUCCUAUUGCAUCGGGGAUAGGACCAGAGAAACGACAGCGAACCAGUAUUCUAGAAUGGAAGGGAAAAUCAGGACUGAAACCAGGAAAGAAAUUGAGCAUCAGAUAACAUUAUAGCGCAAUAGAGUAUCCCCUUACAAGUUUGUUAGCUUCUUCAAAUCCCCAAUUGCUAGAGGAAGAGAGCCAGUCAAUUCUGUGUUGUAGGAUAAAUCCCUGUAUAAAGAUGCAAUGAUUAGAAAUGUAUCAUAGCAAUCCUUUCCAAGGAAAUCAAUCCCUUUUUUCUGUCAUUUAAUCGCUAUAUCUGAAAUCAAUCCCUUGGCAACAGCUAUUCUAAGCGAUGCGCUUCUCGAAUACAAAAAGAAGCUCUAUACGCGAGUGAGGCAUGAGCCUAAUCAGUACUUAACGCAUAGCAUCAACCUUUAGAACAAUAAUCCAAGAACAUUAGUUGUAAAUUGGAUGCUUCGAUCCUUUUCAUAGCAUAAAGAAAAAAAGGUAAUAGUGCACAGAGUGAAGACAUACAGAAUCUGCAAUUCUGACAAGAGUGAGAUGUCUCCAGACAGUGUUCCUUUCAAUCCCAUGCUUGCCAAUGUUCUGCAGAUGAGAAUAGUCAGGUUAAUCUAAAAAAGUAGAGGAAGGAAUGAUCUGCAAGCCUCUAUAAGCUGUACAAGAUGAAAUAAAGCCAAUGACUUACAUGGAAGUCACACGCGAAUUGGUGCACACAAUGCCAUCCCACCUGCUACCACAAGGGUCAGCCCCCACCCAUGUUGGUGGUACGUUAUCCCAGACAUCCUUGAGAGCUUUCAGUGCAUUAACUGCAUCAGGAAUCAAAAGAAUAUACAUAUAUUGAGGGUCUAUAUAUAGAAAGCUAAUAACAAAUUUACAAUAACUAGUCUUAUUCCCCAGAUUGAACGAGCCUAAUGGACAAUUCUGGGGCCUAGCUAGCAUCACCAGUUCCAACAAUCAUCAUAUAAGAACAGGAAAAGGCAUCCAAUGAAGGCUGGAUACACUUCUGAGUUUGACAAAGUAUCUCCCAGCUCCAGCUUCUACUUUACAACCAGAAUUACAGAAUCAAAACCAAGUAAAUCAUAAGCCAGAAAUGAUUCCCUGACUCUUGGAAUUGCAAAAGCAAGUGGAAUCUGGAGUCCUAAAUCUACAGUUCAUCUUAGUAUAUGUUAGACAAGAGGUCAUUAGACAGUUGAUACUAAUUUGGAUCAAAAGAGUGCUAAAACAACAUGCAUGUUCCAAGUAAUUUACCAAAAACAAGAAAAAACUAACUGUAAAGAACUUACAAUCAUCAUUGUUAGUCACUGCUGGUGUGGUGGUACAAACUUGAAUUAGAGCAACAACCAAGAACACAAGAAUUCUUGAACCCAUUUCUCAAGUAACCCUACAGGAAGCUCUUUGUUUUCAGUUGGUAAAGUCGAAAAACUGAAAUCCCAUUUAGUAUCAGCAGUUAAAUCUCACACAUGAAGGUCUUCAAUUCAAACUGUUGAAAACUUGGUCUUCUAUUUUUCCAAAUUAUACCACGUCAAAACUCACAAAAAAAAAAAAAAUUGUCUCAAGUUGAAUCAUCUCCACACGCUCUAUUAUACCAUGUCAAGAGGAUUUGUCUUCAAGUUGAGUUGCACAAUUUUUUCGAUUUCUCAUAUCAUGAUCACGAGUUUAAAGAAAAAAAUACACAAUACAAUAGAAUUCUCACCAAACACCUUCAUUGAAUUAAUAAUGAAAGGGGACCAUCCAGCAACCAGCAAAAACGUGAGAACUUGGGGACACAUUUCUCAACAAAAUUUCAAAGCCCUUUGUUAUGAAUGUUGCAUAACUCCAAAACCCUUUAAUAGCUCUUAAAAUGAUAAAACAUAGUGGGAACAUCUUUACAUGUCCCCAUCGUUUACUUAUCUCAAGAUUUAUAUCGUGGAAGGACAUGAAUGGGACAAUUGUGUUCGUAUGAAUCACAUACUAAAUACAAAGACAAUUGACCCCAUCUUUAGUCAUUUUCAAGUUUACAGUCAAUAGAAGAACCCACCAAAUGGUUUCUUGCAUAUAGUACUGUAGAGUGGUACUUGCAGAGUGAAUAGUAUUUCCCACCAAAUGGUCAUGAUUGUCUGCUAAAGUCAUUUUUGAAGCGAUCAAUACAAAAAGUUAUCAUCAAUUGUUAAUGAGAUGUGUAGAUGAUUUUACUAACUCUAAUAACUAGACAAGUAGAAAGAAAUGCUCUUUGAUUUAGUUUUGUUAUUGUUUUAUAUUUCCAGUUUAAUUUGGAUUUAAUGUUUUUUUUUUUAUCGUAUUUGAUUUAAGAUUUUGAUUAUUUUUUUAUACGAUUUAGCAAGGUGAUAGCGCAGGAGCUCUGAUUCUCAUACGGGUAUUAAUUAAAGUUCACUAAUCUCAAAUAAUUUUCUUCUUAAUUAAGAAAAGAGAAACCGUAAAAGAAGGGAAAGAAAUAGUUGUUUGCUAGUCAUUUAAAUUGACAGAAAUAAAUUUUGGUCAGUCAAGAGAAUAGAGCCAAAGAAAAUUCAACAAAAUAUUCGAACUCACUCGUGGAAAGAAUGCUUGCUUCGGUCCCGCGCUGAUUUGCUUGACCAAUCAUCAGAUUUGCUUAUUACUUGACUUGCUGCUGCCAUUGUUAUAUAUUAACAAGCAAAUGAUUCAUGAAGAUAUCAGAAUUUCUUCCAAACGAAUCAUUCCUUCUAAUUGCAAACACAUGGAUGGGUCCCCUCCUCUCCAUGAAUGCUUACAACAAAUCAUUCUCUUCGACUUGACAUUGCCUGACCUAAUCUUGAUCCCUGGGGAAGAUUGUUGGUGGGAGAAACCACUAGUGGUGGCUUUGAAACACUCAGAGGGGAUAAAACACACUAUUUUAUUUCAACAACAAGAAGCUUACAAUAACUAAACAAAAGCUCAAUACAUGCCCUCUCUUUCUUUCUAGUGUUUCUCUCUAAUCUCUCCACACAUAAUAACAUAAACUUAGUUGCCUAUUUAUACACAAAUUGAAAUUAAGAAAAAAUCAAAUUUCAAGUGUGAAGGCGGCUGGCGGCAUACAGCUGGUGGCUGGCGGCUGCAAGUGGUGGUUAGGGGUGACAACUGGUGGCUGCAAGUGGUGGUUGUCUUCCUUGACCUUCUAGAUUGAGUUUACUUCAACAAAUUCCCCCUUUAAACUCAAUCGAGGGAUGUCAUGCCAAGCAUGAACUUCAAUCUGAUAAAUAUUUCUCCCUUCAAUGGCUUUGUAAAGAUAUCUGUAAUUUGAUCAUUUGUCUUGCAUGAUUCAGUUCAACUUCUUUGUUCUUCACAUGUUCUCGGAUAAAGUGAUGACGUAUAUCAAUGUGUUUAUUUCUUUCAUGAUACACCGGGUUCUUUGCUAAUGCAAUCGCUGAUCGAUUAUCAAUAUAAAUCUCUGUAGGAUUUUCUUGAGAAAAUCCCAAAUGCUUCAGCAUAUUUCUUAACCAUAUUAAAUGGCAUACAACUGAGUUGGCAGCAACAUACUCAGCUUCACAGCUUGAUAACGUUACUAUCGAUUGCUUCUUGGAUGACCAUGUGAAAGAUGUAUUUCCCAUGAAAAAGACAAAUCUCGUUGUGCUUUUCCUUUCAUCCAAAUCUCUACCCCAAUCACUAUCCGAGUAGCCAACAAGAUUGAAGUUUGUACUUGAGGUAUAAAACAUACCUUCAUUUAUUGUUCAUUUGAUGUAGCGAAGAAUUCUCUUGGCUGCAUUCAAGUGAGACUGGUCUGGUGUCUCCAUGUAUUUGCUGAUAAGACCAACUCCAUUUCAAAUCAAUUGUUGAUAAUAGGUAUAUAAAGAACUGAAUGUUGAUGAUAACCAGAAAAACAAAGAAUAAAGAACUUGCAGCGAAGAACUUCCUCAAUUCUACUCCAUUCUCAACUGGAGUUGAUACCGGAUUGCAGCUUUCCAUCUUGAACCUUUCAAGAAUGUCUUUGGCAUAACUGCUUUGGGAUACAAAAAUCCCUUCUUCUUUCUGCACCACUUCUAAGCCAAGAAAAUGUGCCAUCAGACCAAUGUCUGUCAUCUCAAACUCCUGUACCAUGCUUUUCUUGAAGGCUUCAAACAUGGUAGGGUUGUUUCUGGUGAAUAGCAAAUCAUCAACAUAUAGGCACGCAAAUAAUAUGUUGCCAUCUGCUUCUUUCUUCACAUAUAUUGCGUGUUCAUAUGGACAUUUUCAAAUCCAUUUUCUUGAAAAUACCUGUCAAUUCUGGUAUUCCAAGCACGUGGAGCUUGCUUCAAACCGUAGAGGGCUUUCUUCAACUUGUAUACUUUGUCGUCAUUUUCAGGUUUGAUGUAUCCAAGUGGUUGUUCAACAUAGAUCUCUUCUUCUAUGAAGCCAUUCAGAAAUGCUGACUUCACACUUAGUUGAUAAUCUUCCAUCUAUGUUGUACAGCUAGUGAGAUUAUCAGUCUAAUUGUCUCUAGUCGGGCUACUGGAGCAAAUACCUCUCCAUAGUCAUUGCCUUCUCUUUGUUUGUAGCCUUUUGCCACUAAUCUUGCUUUGUAUCUUUGCACUUCACCUAUUGCUUUCUUGUUUUCUGGUAGAUUAGUCAGCUUCCAGGUAUCAUUCUUCUCAAUGGCAUGCAUUUCUUCCUCCAUUGCUUCUAUCCACUUCUCUUCUGUCACAGCUUCGUUGAAGCUAAGUGGGUCAUUAUCUGCAAAGAAACAAAAUAGAGUUGUAUCUUCCAUGACUUGAGUGGCAUCGUACAACUCUUCUAGAUUUCUCAUCCUUCUUGGUACUUCUGAUGAGGAUGUUGAUGGUGAUGUUGAUGAUGAUUCUAGUGUGUUUCUCCUGUUGAAUACAGAGAAUCUGUGUACCGGACUUUGUGGCUCUGCUGGUAAUAUUGGACCUUCUGCAAGUACUGUUGGUACUUCCACUUCGUCUUCAAGGAUCAAAUCAGUGUUGAUCCAUUUGACUGCUUUUUGAUCAUCAUUCCAUUGCCAAUAUUUAUCUUCUUCAAAGAUAACAUCUCUACUCAUAAUUACCUUCUUUGUGAUGGGAUUAUACAGCUUGUAUCCCAUCCUUCUAUCACCAUAUCCGACAAAGAUGCAUUUCUCACUUUUAUCAUCGAGUUUGGUCCUUCUUACAUCUAGGAUCUUUGCAUAUGCCACACAACCAAAGACUCGAAGAUGAGUAACACUUGGUUUGUGACCACUCCAUGCUUCUUCUGGAGUGACAGCUUGCAAACUUCUGGUUGGGCAGCGAUUCAGUAGAUACACUACACAUGAUACAGCUUCAGCCCAGUAUUGUUUGGGCAACUUCUUUGCUUUGAGUAGACUUCUUGCCAUGUCAAGAAUCGUUUGAUUCUUUCUCUCAGCUAUACCAUUCAGCUGUGGUGUAUAAGUUGGUGUUGUCUGAUGUCUGAUGUCUUGUUGUGUACAAAAGGCUUCAAAGUCAUUUGCUGUAUAUUUUCCACCUUGAUCAGAUCUCACGGUUCUGAUCUUAUAGCCACUUUGCUUCUCAACAAUUGCUUUAAAAUCUUUAAAACAAUUGAACACUUCUGACUUCCUCUUCAGAAAGUAUAUCUAUGUCUUUAUGCUAAAGUCAUCAAUGAAAGUAAGGAAGUACCUAUUUUGUCCAGUCGACAUAGGCUUUAUGGGACCACACACAUCUGUGUGCACUAACUCCAGUGGCUUGUUUGCUUUCCAGUUGACUUCUUUGGCAAAACUGGAUCUGUGAUGUUUGCUGAGGACACAACUUUCAUAGACUUCAUUUGGAUAAUCAAUGUGGGGCAUACCUUUGACCAUCUUCUUGCUUGCUAGCAUCUUCAGACUUGUGAAAUUCAGAUGUCCAAGCCUUAGGUGCCAAAGCCACUCUUCACUGUUGGUGAUGGCAGUCAAACACUUUGUUGCAUCAUAUUGGAUGUUUAAAGGAAACAUCCUAUUCUUUGACAUCUUCACAUAGGCAAUUGUCCCAUUGUAGUCUAUAAUUGUCAGAUGACAAUUCUUCAUGUAAAGACUAUAACCUUUCUCCAUAAGUUGACCUAUACUCACCAAGUUCUACUUUAUGGCUGGGACAUAGUAAACAUCUGCGAUGUAGCUAUGAUCGCCAUUCUUCAACUUGAUUGGGAUGUUGCCUUUACCUUUGCAUGGAACUUUUGAGGUAUCUUUAAAUGUGACUAGACCUUGUAUGGUCUCAUAUAGAUCAUCAAAUAGAUCUCGUUGGCCACACAUGUGAUUGCUGGCUCUAGUAUCUAGAUACCAAAUAUUGUCUUGAUUCUCGCCAAGUCCUUAUUGGACAAAUAAUACAGCUGCUCCUCUGCUGUUGGCAUCCUCCUCUGCAUAGUUGGCUUGUUCACGUACCUCUAAUGGAGCUUUCCUUUGACAUUCAGUGCUAUAGUGCCCAAAUUGAUUGCAAUUAUAACACUGGAUAUUCCUCUUGUCAUGGUUAUUGUAACCGCCUCCUCUUCCUCUAGGAGUGAAUGCUUGUUGUCCUCGACCUCCUCUAGUGGUGUUUCUACCACCUCUUCCUUUGAAUCCUGUAUUCCAAGAUCCUCUUCCUUGAAAUCGUUGAAAUCCUCCUCGUGUUUGUUGACUUCUUCCUUGAGUGGUAUAUCCACUUGUUGAAGUCUCCCCUUGCUCAUAUCUGUCUUUGAGAGAUAACUUUGCUUGUAAGGCAUGCUCAAUUACCUUAUCUCCAUUUCUUUUCACAAUCUUUUGCUCAUGAGCUUGCAAAGAACUCAUAAGCUCAUCCACCAUUAACUUGUCCACUUAUUUGGACUCUUCAAUAGCGACAACAACAAAAUCAAAUUUUGGAUCUAGGGAUCUCAAAAUUUUCUCAGUAAUUCGAGCAUCUGUGAGGGGUUCUCCAUUUCUUCUCAUCUGAUUAACUAUCACCAUAAUUCUUGUGUGAUAGUCAGAAAUAGAUUCUGAGGCCUUCAUUUGCAAUAAUUCAAAUUCACCUCGCAAAGAUUGGAGACGAAUCUUCUUGAUUCUGUCAGCACCUUUGUAUUUUUGUUGGAGAGCCUCCCAUAUUGCUUUUGAUAUUUCUGUGGAAGCAAUGAUCUCAAAUAUUGCUUCAUCAAGACCUUGAUAGAUGAUGGUCUUUGCUUUAUUGUCUUUCUUUCUAUUGGCUUUGAGGACUUGCUUUUCUGCCUCUUGUAGAGUAUCUUCUACUUCUUUGGACUCUGGUUCAUCAUAACCAUAUUGCACAAUCUCUAUACACUCUUGUGAACCAAGAAAUGCCUUCAAUCUGAUACACCAACUAUCAUAGUUGUCUUUGGUCAACUUCGGGAUAAGUGUUUGUGCAUUUUCUGUAGCCAUUUUGCUCUUUGAAUGACUAUAUCACUUUCUGGGAGUUGAAUUUGGCAAAACGGACAUCGUAGAUGGAUCCAGAAUGCUAAAAACAAUAGGGAACCGGUCUUACUUUGUUGAAAAUGGGUCAGAAAUGGGCUGAAACGGUCAGGAAACCGAUUCUAGACGUCGGGCGGUUCGCUGGGGUUGAACUGGGAAUAUUCUUGGGAAUAUUCUUCAGCGCGGCUUUAGAGGCGGCUUAGGCGGCUCGGCUCGGCUCGAAUAUGGCGCGCGUGGACUCCAGUCGUCUUCUUCCUCGAGGCGCGUUGGCUACACGUGGGCUAUAGUGGCAAAAUGUUCAAGCCAGAUUCAUCAAGACCACCAAUGGACAACGGAGCUGCAGACUGAGAUGACUAAGAUAGAUUGGUUGCAAAAGGCAAAGAGCAAUCUUGUUGAUGAUCAUGAAAAGAUAGUGAAGGCCGAGAACAUGAGCUUGCAAGGGAAGUACUAAACAUUUUGUUGAAUUUUCUUUGGCUCUAAUCUCUUGACUGACAAAAAUUUAUUUCUGUCAAUUUAAAUGUCUAGCAAACAACUAUGACGAUGCAAGCUAGGGAAGUACUAUAUAUAUAAACGUCCAUACAUUUAUAGCAAGGAUGCCUUUGAUUACAGUGGGGACUUCCCAGUUUCAAAGGUAGAGCCACUAUGAGUGAGCUCAGAAUCCUUGGUAUGAGCUUGGCUUGGCAAAUGUUUCAGUGAUACUUCUUACUUCAGAGUAUGAGUUGCAUUUCUCUCGUGUUGUUUGCACUUUGUAGCAUACUCCAACUGUUUUCAACUAUUUUCAUUUUUUUCACGACCUUUUUUGCCUUUUAUGAUACUGUUAAUGAGGAGUGCAGUUAAAUCUCUGGUUUCUUGGGUUUACCUUUCUUGUGUACUGUCCUAAUUAGAAAAUGAGGAGUGUCGUCUUUGUUGAAGUAAACUCAAUCUAGAAGGUCAAGGAAGGCAACCAUCAUUUACAGCCACCAGCUGUCACCGCCCAACCACCAUUUGUAGCCGCCAGCCACCAGCUGUAUGCCGCCAGCCGCCUUCACACUUUAAGUUUAAUUUUUUCUUACUUUCAAUUUGUGUAUAAAUAGGCAGCUAAGUUUAUGUUAUCAUGUGUGGAGAGAUUAGAGAGAAACACUAGAGAGAAAGAGAGGGCGUGUAUUGAGCUUUUGUUUAGUUAUUGUAAGCUUCUUGUUGUUGAAAUAAAACAGUGUGUUUUAUCCCCUAUGAGUGUUUCAAAGCCACCACUAGUGGUUUCUCCCACCAACAAUUGGUAUCAGAGCCCCGUUCGUCAAAAAACAGAAGAGUUUUGGAAUAUACCUAAAUUUUCAAAGUUGUCAAACACAUUUUGAUCAUUCCACAGCGUAGGUUUCAUCCAUACGAACUCACUGGUGCAAAAAUCAGCUUCAUCGGAUCAAGAGGUAGCCCACACGCGCCGCCUUACAUGCCCCCAAGUUGCCUUACCACUAGGGCAGGAGCAUAACUCACAUAACCUGUAAUCCCUACCAAUGGCACCCAACGUCUUUGUCCACAACUCAUUAGGACUUCCACUGUCGUUACCCAUGGGGCUCUCCACUUAAAAUCACUAUUAGGCAAACCUUCUAAUUUGUCAACCCAACCUUGGUUGUCUAGAUCUCCCCAUUCUUCUUCUUCUACUAACUUCAGGGGUCUUUGGGUGAACCACCAAAAAUUAUUGAAGACAUGCUUUUUUGUUUCGAUAUGGCUAACCAUCCAGAUAUACAACAACUACGUGUAGCAUCUCAUUGCUCCUUUUCCGGUCCUCCUACAAUGAUUAAGUGUCAAGAUGGUUUCAGCUAAAAUAGCAGCCACUGGAUUGAUUUGUGUAUUCUCAUACUUUACAUAAGCAGCAGCGACCUCCAAACUCACUGCACCCGUCUGACUUUGGAACAACAUAAGGCCAAAUAUGCCCAAGGCAAUCAAUCUCUCUUUUUCUAAUCCUGACUUCUUUUCCAGUUCAAUUUCUAGCAUCCUCCAUUUCAGACUGGUAGCAUUCUUUUCCAAAAACUUUUCCAAGUUGGAGAUUCUGAGCAGUUUUGACAGUUCGGGGAUGAUCUUGUCAGAUCUCAAAGGCAAAUAUAUCCGAUACAGAUUGUUUGGAAACUCAAUCAACAUCCCAUAUUCCUCCAUAGUGGGACAUAGGUCUAUGCUUCCAAAAGAAAAACACUGGUAGUCUGGAUCCUAAAAAUGAACUAAGGCUCGCACAGCUGGGCUUAAAACUUCUACCCUUGCGAUUUCCACCAAACAUCCAUAUUUCCUAAAAAAUGCAUCUUUAUCCACAUUCUGAAAAUGAGUCGUUAAUUUGUUCACCUCAUUCAUAAUGCAAUUCAGGUUCUUGAUUGGUGACAUCUUCUUAGCAUCGCUUCUAAGGCAGUCUCCUUCAGUCAAUUGUGACAGUUCAGAAUUUUUCCCAUACUCUAUGAUGGAAGAUUUAGUGAUGGUGGCCAUUUCGUUCACAAGUCCUGCAAUUCAAGAUGCUUUGGGGUUAGACUUGUUUUGAUGCAAAAGAUAUUAUGGAGCAUACAACCUAAGGAUAGGUUCUAGUUCCUUUACGUGAGACAUAGGGUAGGUUUACUACUUGGUCUCUAAAAAAAGGUCUCUUGUUGUCCUAGUGAUCGCCCUCGUAAAGGCAAUAUGGGGGUUCAGCAGAUAGUGAGAUGGCACAUGUACCAAUUACUAUCAGUCUAAACACUCAGCAAAGAGUUGGGGUUUACACAAACUUAAACCUUGACUCAAGUCAUAAGGCAAGCUGCUAGUUCCCCACUUAACUUAAAGUUAAAUGUGUGUGCCCUUAAAAAGAUAAUAAUAAUAAAGUUAUGCAUGAUUAUACCAUGUAUGACAGAAUGUAAAGAUGCAUGCUAAAGCUUUUAAACAAAGUAUCAUUCAUGUAAGAAAACAAAAACCAAUAACACAUAGCAUAAACAAACAAAUUACCAAGCCUAGUCCUAAGUCCCUAGUAGAGUCGCCAUCCUGUCGCACGCUCGCAGCAGAGCGCGGCGUCGCGGCGAACCCUCAAUUGAUUUUGGGGUCUUUGUUGUUGUUUGUGUAAAGGAGUCGCCACCUAGUAUUUUGGUCACUGGGAACCCUUACUGGUCUUUCAGAGAUUCUAAGGCAAGGGACUGGUUGCGUAAAGGGAAGGUAUUAGCACCCCUAGUACGCCCUACCUAAGGUAAGCUGCUUGGUAUUUGGUUUGCUUUAUAAUUGCUAUGGUGUUGGUGUUUUCUAAUCACAUCAGUUUUCCUAGGUUUGAUUUAAACUAAAUUUAUUAAGAUAGAAAUCCAAGGGGAUUCCAUGUGCUUUAAAAGCUUAUUUUUCCCUUAGUAUUUCAAGAGUUUGCGACUCGUAAAUCGCAAGGAGGAGGGACAAAAAUCUAAGGAAAUUCAUGACGCUUUAAAAGCAUAUUUUUGCCUUAGUGUUUCAUACUCUCACGGCUCGUAAACCGUGGAGUAAAAAAAUUGAAAUGUCCUCGAUUAUAAUCAAGGCUUCUUUCAAGGAUGUGUGGUGACUUAUUAUUCCUAGAAAAAUAUUUUGGAUAUUAAUCACUUGGGGUUUCUUUAUCCAAACAUUAACAGCGAAUAAUAACAAGUUAUUCCCAAUAAUAGAUGACUUCCCCCCAAAAAAUAAGAUUUUUGUAUUUUUUGGAAUAUUGGCCAAUACCCUUUGGAGUUUUACAAACAUGUUGUAAAAUCCAGAAAUGCAAGAGAAAUAAUUUUUUAUUGUGUUUAAGAAAUCCAUGCGAAAACACAUUUUCAAAACUUCAAAUAUUUAUUUUUUAUAUAUAAAAAAAACGUUCAAAACAUGUUAGGGUAUUGGCCGUAUGCAUGAAAACAUUAUAUAUAUAUAUAUAUAUAUAUAUAUAUAUAUAUAUAUAUAUAUAUAUAUAUAUAUUUGUCAUCUUUGCGUUGAAAACUCGGGCAUUCUAAAUGCGAGAUUGAUAUAUUUUUUUAUAAUAAAAAAAAAUACAGAUGAUUAGUACUUAAAAGUGCAUUCUCAUUAAGGCUUUAUACCAUCGUAUUGCACUAAAGUAUCGUUAAAUUCCCUAACUAAAGCAUGUUUUAUAAUAACAAGUCUAAUAAUAUAAUAUAUCUUUAAUUUAUGGUAAAUGCUUGUUUUGAAUGCAGGUAUAUCUCACAAUUCAAAGGAUUGAUUGUUGUGAUUAACAAUUGAAAGUGAAGAGACAAAAAGAGGACUAGGCUAAGAGAAGAGAUGCUGGUUCAAUUCCAAACUGGAAUACUAUUCGGUUAUUUGAUCAUAACUGGAGUUGUAGAACUCGGAUUUAGGUCCACUUUAUAUGGAUGGAAAGAUAAGACAUAGACCUAAAACUUUCAUGAAGGGUCCAAGACUCAAUUCUGUCGUUUUCAAGUUCAAAUAUUAGCAACAACGGAGAAGUCGGAACCUGUCCUGCAGCUCAAACACUGUUCGGUUUUCAGCUCAUAUCUUGAGUUCUAGAAGUCCAAAUGAGCUCUGGUUUUUUUUGUUGGAAAGCUGAGACAAUUGCCCACAUCUUUCAUGGAACAAAUGGCUCAAAUUAUGAUGUUAACAAUGACGUUUUGGCCAGCCAACAAUAUCAAAAAUCUGCCCACAAUAUUAAGAACCAGCAGCCAACAAUAUCAAAAAUCUGCCCACAAUAUCAAGAACCAGCAGCCAACAAUGUCAAAAACCAGCCACCAAAUCAAUGGUAGCCUACCAAUCAAUAGUUCUGAAUCUUAGCCUAUAAAAGGAGGCAUUUGCCAUGUAUUUAGUCAUAUUAUUUUUCAGAUCAAAAUCAUGUUCUUGUUUUCUCUCUUUAUAUCUUUGUAAUGUUCAAGUUUUCUUUCAUGUUAUAUUAAUCUCUUGUUUAUGCUUUUUCAUUUCCUUUCAUAUACUUAGUUAACUUAUAUCAUAAUCAUGUUCUUAUCUUGUUUAUUUAUGUUUUUCUUCUUCAUUAUGUUUAGCUAAGUUAAUUAUGUCAAGGUGAAAAGGUUUUACUAAUGGUGUUAGAAUAGGUAUAAUAUAAACUCAACAUGGACUUUAAUGUUUAUAUCCAAGAUAAAUUGUUAUUAGCAUGUCUUAUCUUUUUAACUUACUAAUUCUUAAUACCUUGCUUGUUAAAUGGUUAAUCUAGAUUUAUGUUGUAUAACACUUGGUACAUCGAAUGCUUGAUCCUUCAUAGUUUUCGGCCGACAUCGUUGUUAUGAUGGGAACUUGAUUUGUUGUUAACAUAAGCUAGCAACAUGAAUGCCUGAUGAUAUUUAUAAGUAUGGUGUUACUUAGACAAGAUAAUUAAUAUGAUCAUGUUAAUACUUUAUAAUGAGCCAUUAAUGAUAAAUCAUCCGAUUAGAACCUCCUUUGUGUGUGGUUUCUAGUUGAGUAAUAAAAAGAGUUUAUAUUAUAUUUAUUUGAAAUACCAUUAGUGAAUCCUCUAACCUUGACAUUUGUUUUUAUCAUUGUUUAAUCCUUACAUUAAUCUUCCAUCUCAAAGUUCUCAUUAAUUUCUUCCUCUUCUUCUUUUUAUUAUUAUUAUUACUACUAAUACUACUACUACUUCUUCCUCUUCUUCUUUUUAUUAUUAUUAUUACUACUAAUACUACUACUACUACUACUAUUAAUAUUAUUGCUAUUAUUACUAUUACUAUUAUUAUUAUUAUUAUUAUUUACAUUCUUGUUAUAUGUUAUGUACGUUAAGUAUGCUCUGUGUUUGAUCAAGGAUCCUGACAUUGUUGGUCUUGCCUUGUUCAUUCGCAUCAAAAAUCUGUUUAUAUUAUAUAAUAUAUCUCUUUGAUCUUUUUAUAAAAUCAGUAUAUAGGCUGGAAACCUGUGACCCGAUCUUUUAGAUCAUUCUCAGGUAUAACAACGCCAUGUACUGAGUAUUAUUAUUAUUAUUACUAUUAUUAUUAUUAUUGUUGUUGUUAUUGUUGUUGUUGUUGUUGCAUUGUUAUUUAUAAUUUAUACAAUUAACCUCUCUGUGGUUCGACCCCGGUCUUGCCGGGUUAUUUAUUACUUCGACACUCCUACACUUGGGAGAAGACAUCAAUCUUUUGGUCGUGUCAAGUUUUUGGCGCCGUUGCCGGGGAGGUAAGUAUUGUAUCAAUUUUAUAUUUCUUUUAUUUUCUUUUGUCUUUACUUUUAUUUGUUUUUCUAAUUUUGUUCUUUUUCUUUUUCUUUUCUUUUCUUUUGCACUUGCAUGAGAGUUUGGACACGUACAUUAAGUGGUAGACUUUCUAGGAAAUCCUCAUUUUCUUUAGAAAACAUGGCCGAAGAAGAUAACCAGUCAAUUCAUAAUGAGAAUAAUGAGAAUAAUCAUGUGAGAACACUUAGAGAUCACAUGAAUCCAACAAGAACAAGUGCACCAUCAUGUAUAGUUUUUCCUCCUGAUGCUUCUCAUUUUAAUUUUAAGCCAGGUAUUAUUCAACUUUUACCCACUUUUCAUGGCUUAGAAUUAGAAAAUCCACAUUUGCAUUUAAGAGAAUUUGAAGAAGUUUGUAACACCUAUAAUGACUUAAAUUGUAGCAUGAACACCAUCAGAUUAAAGCUUUUUCCUUUUUCAUUAAAAGAUAAAGCUAAAACAUGGCUACAAAAUAUUAGGUCAGGAUCCAUUCGUGCUUGGGAUGAAAUGCAACAACAAUUUUUAAAGAAGUUUUUUCCAUCUCACAGAACAAACUCUUUCAAAAGACAAAUCACCACUUUCACUCAAAAACCAGGAGAAACAUUUUACAAGUGUUGGGAUAGAUAUAAAGACUUGCUUAAUACCUGUCCUCAUCAUGGUUUUGAAACAUGGAGAUUGGUCUCACAAUUUUAUGAAGGGUUAACACCUAAAGAUAGACAAAUGGUGGAAUUGAUGUGCAAUGGAACUUUUGAAGAUAAAGACCCUGAUGAAGCAAUGGAGUACCUAGACUUGCUAGCUGAAAAUGCUCAAAAUUGGGACACCACAGGUACGUGUGAGACACCAGGUAAAACUCAACCUCAUACAUCUAAUGGAGGCAUGUACAAACUUAGGGAAGAUCAUGACCUCCAAGCCAAAUUCGCAUAUUUAGCUAGAAAAGUUGAGGCACUAGAAUUAAAAAAGAGUGGUCAAAUAAAAUCUGUUCAAGAAAUUGUGUGUCAAAUUUGUGAAACUAAUGAACACUCAACCAAUGAUUGUCCAACUUUGCCUUCUUUUAAGGAAUGUCUCCAUGAACAAGCCAAUGCUUUAAAUAGUUUCCAAAGGCCAAGUCAUAACCCAUACUCGCAAACGUACAACCCUGGUUGGAGAAAUCACCCAAAUUUCAGUUGGAAGAGUAGUAACAAUAAUGCACAAACUUCACAGCCACCAUUUCAAGCACAACAUAAUUUUCAAAAUUCUCAUGGAUAUGCACCUCCUUAUAUUCCCCCUCCUAGAAGAAAUCUUGAGGAAACACUGCAUGCAUUCAUUGAAAAGCAAGAGACAAUCAACUCUCAAAAUGCUCAAACCAUGGCAGAUCUAAAAGAUACUCUUGAAAAGUUCACAUCUGCUCUUAGUUUUCAGGAGAAAGGUAAGUUUUCAUCUCAACCCCAGCAAAAUCCCAAAGGGCAAUACAAUUCAAGUGCAAGUGGUUCCGGAAGCCAACAUAUGGAUCAAGUCAAAUCAGUCACAACUCUCCGCAGUGGUAAGGUUAUUGAAAAACCCGUUCUUGAACCUUGUGAGAAAGAAGAUGAGUUAGUCUCUGAGGGUAAGGAAAGGGUUGAACCUGAACACUGCAAGGAGGAGACUGAUUCCCCACCAGCACUUCCAUUUCCUCAUGCCAUGACCAAAUAAAGGAAAGUCAAUCACAAUUCUGAAAUCUUUGAAACUUUCAAACAGGUAAGGAUCAAUAUACCUUUGUUAGAUGCUAUUAAACAAGUACCGUCUUAUGCUAAAUUUUUGAAAGAUCUGUGCACUGUGAAGAGAAAACUGAAUGUGAAAAAGAAAGCCUUUUUAGCCGAACAAGUAAGUGUCAUUCUUCAGAAUGAUAAUGCUUUGAAAUAUAAAGACCCUGGUUGUCCUACAAUUUCUUGCUUUAUUGGAGAACAUAAAAUUGAUAGAGCUUUACUUGAUCUUGGAGCUAGUGUGAAUUUACUUCCAUAUUCGGUUUUUCAAAGUCUCAAUCUAGGUGAGUUAAAACCUACUUCUGUAACUCUUUUACUUGCUGAUAGAUCUGUAAAAGUGCCUAGAGGAAUUGUUGAAGAUGUGUUAGUACAAGUUGAUAAAUUCAUCUUUCCUGUGGAUUUUAUUGUCUUGGAUACACAACCUGUUGAAGCAUGCAAUUCAAUUCUUGUUAUUUUAGGACGUCCAUUUCUUGCAACUUCUAAUGCAUUGAUUAAUUGUAGGAAUGGAGUGAUGAAGUUAUCUUUUGGAAACAUGACAUUGGAGAUGAAUGUUUUUAACAUUUGCAAGCAACCUGGAGAUGAUAAUGAUUUACAGGAAGUAGAUUUUAUUGAAAAAUUAAUUUGUGAUCAAUUUGUAAAUACUUCCAGUGAAACUGAGUUUAAUGAAUCUGAUGAUUUGCAAAUGGUUUAUUAUCAGGAAGAAUCAAAGGCAAAUAGUUGGAGACCAAAAAUUGAGGAAUUGCCACCACGAUCAAUUGAGUCCAUACCUUCAAGUGUUCAACCACCAAAACCCGAUUUGAAACCAUUACCAUUUAAUCUCAAAUACUCAUUUUUGGGAGAAAAUGAAACUUUUCCGGUAAUAAUUUCUUCCAAACUUAAUGUUCAUCAAGAAGGUAAGCUAUUACAAACUCUGAAAAUGCACAAAAAUGCAUUAGGAUGGACCAUAGCUGACAUAAAAGGAAUUAGUCCUUUGAUUUGCACACACAAGAUUUAUUUAGAGGAAAAUGCUAAACCCUCUAGAGAAAUGCAACGAAGGCUUAAUCCUAAUAUGAAAGAAGUAGUGAGAAAUGAAGUCAUUAAGCUUCUAGAUAAUGGAAUCAUUUAUCCUAUUUCUGACAGCAAAUGGGUAAGUCCUACCCAAGUUGUACCUAAAAAGUCUGGAGUUACUGUGAUAACAAAUGAGAAGAAUGAGUUAAUUCCAACUAGGACUAUUACUGGUUGGCGCAUGUGCAUUGACUAUAGAAAACUUAAUUCAAUGACUAGAAAAGAUCAUUUUCCUUUACCUUUCAUGGAUCAAAUUCUAGAAAGAGUUGCAGGUCAUGAAUUUUAUUGUUUUCUAGAUGGUUAUUCGGGUUACAACCAAAUUGAAAUUGCAUUUGAAGAUCAAGAGAAAACUACUUUCACAUGUCCAUUUGGUACAUUUGCAUACCGAAGGAUGCCUUUUGGAUUAUGUAAUGCACCAGCCACGUUUCAAAGAUGCAUGCUUAGCAUAUUCAGUGAUAUGGUUGAACGUUUUCUUGAGAUUUUUAUGGAUGAUUUUUCUGUUUUUGGUGAUUCAUUCGAUGAUUGUUUAACUAACUUGGAAAAGGUUUUGAACAGGUGUGAAGAGAAGAAUCUUGUGCUAAAUUGGGAAAAAUGUCAUUUUAUGGUAACAAACGGCAUUGUACUUGGUCACAUUGUUUCAUCAAUAGGAAUUGAGGUUGACAAAUCUAAAAUUGAGUUAAUUGCUAACUUGCCAACACCAAAAUCUGUUAAAAACGUUAGAUCAUUCUUAGGACAUGCUGGUUUUUAUAGAAGGUUCAUCAAAGAUUUUAGUGUAAUAUCUAAGCCAUUGUGUAACCUUCUAACAAAGGAUAAUGUUUUUGAAUGGACUGAACAUUGUGAAGAAGCCUUUGUUAAACUUAAAAACUUGCUUACUUCUGCUCCUGUCAUUCAACCUCCUGAUUGGUCAUUACCUUUUGAAAUAAUGUGUGAUGCUAGUGAUUAUGCCGUGGGUGCUGUUUUAGGACAAAGAAAAGAUAAGAAACCCUAUGUCAUUUACUAUGCAAGUAAAACUUUAAAUAGUGCUCAAAUGAAUUACACCACCACUAAAAAGGAAUUACUUGCAGUAGUAUUUGCAUGUGAAAAAUUCAGAUCUUAUCUUGUUGGCUCACCUGUUAUUGUGUUUAGCGAUCAUGCAGCGUUGAAAUAUCUUCUUUCUAAGAAGGAUUCUAAGGCUAGAUUGGUGCGGUGGAUUUUGUUACUUCAAGAAUUCGAUAUCACAAUCAAGGAUAAGAAAGGCACCGAAAAUGUUGUCGCGGAUCAUUUGUCAAGAUUGACAACUGAUUCAAAUUCUGACAUCACACCAAUCAAUGACUACUUUCCUGAUGAAUCUUUACUUUCUGUCUCUACGAUGCCUUGGUUUGCUAAUAUAGUUAAUUUUCUUGUUUCAGGACAUUUGCCAGCUCAUUGGAGUACCCAAGACAAAAGAAAGUUCUUGAACGAAGUGAAGAACUUUUAUUGGGAUGACCCUUACUUGUUCAAAUAUUGUCCUGAUCAAAUAUUUCGAAGAUGCAUUCCCGACAAUGAGGUAAGUAGUGUCAUUAAAUUUUGUCAUUCUGAGGCAUGUGGGGGUCAUUUCUCAUCAAGAAAGACAACUGCAAAAAUCUUACAAUGUGGAUUUUAUUGGCCCACCAUGUUCAAAGACACGCAUGCAUUCUGCAAAACUUGUGAAAAUUGUCAAAAGCUAGGAUAUAUUUCAAGACGUCACAUGAUGCCUUUAAAUACUAUUCUUGUCAUUGAAAUCUUUGACUGUUGGGGUAUAGAUUUUAUGGGUCCAUUUCCUCCAUCAUUUGGUUUUGUGUACAUAUUAGUCGCAGUAGACUAUGUUUCAAAAUGGAUAGAGGCAAUUCCAAGUCGUAACAAUGAUCAUAAAACAGUGAUCAAGUUUUUGAAAGAAAAUAUUUUGAGUCGAUUUGGAAUCCCUCGGGUCAUGAUAAGUGAUGGUGUUCAUUUUAAUGAUACAUUCAGCCUAAUAGUUCGCACAUCCACAGUCAGACUCGUCCUCUCUAUCUCAGUUUCUCGUGGCUGGAUUAUACAUCAACUAGAUGUUAAAAAUGCUUUCUUACAUGGUAUACUACGAGAAAAGGUUUAUAUAGAGCAACCACCAGGAUAUAUUGAUGCCUUUUACUAUUGACCAAGAAUGACUCUAGAAGUAAAAUAAAAUCUUAGGAGAAUCUGAGUUUGUUUAUAGUAUUAGAGUUUGUUUACUGUUACUAUUUUAAUGGCUAUCUUUUAUUCUAUGUAACAAAAAAUUAGAUAUGCUUGGAGAAUAUCUUGCAAUUUUGUUUUUCCUUAUUGUAUAAAUAAUCGUAUUGAAUUCAAUAAAGUAUGUGUUCUGCUGCAGCUACAAUAAGAAAGUUUUGUUUUCUCUUCAAUAUAUAUAACAAAUUGGUAUCAGAGCUUAUUUUCUUGAGGGACUUAUGAGAUUGAGAGAUCCUAAACACAACCUUCAAACACUUUUGAGAUUGAGAGAGCCUAAACACAACCUUCAAAUACUUUUCAUCUAAACACAACAUAACCAAUAUGAACUCAAAAAUGCCAUUUAUUGCAGUGGCACCUCCAGUAUUUGAUGGGAUCAAUUAUCAAGUAUGGGCUAUUAGAAUGGAAGCCCAUCUUGAUGCUAAUGAUCUAUGGGAAGCAGUUGAACAAGUAUAUGAAGUGCCAACUCUAUCAGACAAUCCAACUGUCACAUAAAUAAAAAAUCACAUAGAGAAGAAGCAGAGAACAUCGAAAGCAAAAGCAACUCUAUUUGCAGCAGUCUCGCCCACUAUUUUUUACAUAAUAAUGACUCUGAAAACAGCAAAGGAAAUUUGGGAUUUUCUGAAAGGAGAAUACAAAGGAAAAGAAAGAAUUAAAGGGAUGUAGGUGCUCAACUUAAUCCGAGAAUUUGAGUUACAAAAGAUGAAAGAAUCAAAAACAAUCAAGGAAUAUUCUAUCUUAGUAUUAUUAACAAUAUAAAACUCCUUAGCACUGAUUUUUCUGAUUCUAGAAUUGUUCAAAAAAUUCUAGUAACAAUUCCAGAGAAGUUUGAGACGACAAUCUCAUCUUUAGAAAAUUCUAAGGAUCUGUCAAGCAUUACCUUGGCAGAGUUGUUGAAUGCACUACAAGCACAAGAGCAAAGGAGGCUGAUGAGGCAAGAAAGAACUGUAGAGGAUGCAUUCUUUGUCAAAUCCCAAAAUAACAAUGAUGGUAAUAAUAGAAAAAAACAAAACAACAAGUUUGGAGGCUCUGCAUUCAACACCAGAAACAAUAAGACCAGCAAUACUCAAAGCUUUCCACCCUGCCCUCACUGGAAAAAAAAACAAUCAUCCUCAGAAUAAAUGUUGGUAGAGACCUGAUGCACGUUGUUUUAAGUGUGGUCAGUUAGGGCACAUGGAAAAGAUAUGCAAGACUCAACAACAACAAACUGAAGCCAAGGUUGUCGAUGAUCAACAUCAGGAGGAGCAUAUAUUUGUGGUAUCAUGUUUAGCCACAAAUAAAUUCACAGAAAACUAGCUCAUCAACAACAAUUAUACAAAUCAUAUGACUUAUGAUGGAAAGCUCUUCACAGAGCUUGAUAGAAAUGUUAUUUCCAAAGUUAAGAUUGGAAAUGGAACUCACCUGAAAGUUGAAGGCAAAGGAACAGUAGCUAUUGAAACACACUCACGUUUUAAAUUAAUUUCAAAUGUAUUAUAUGUUCAUGAAAUUAAUCAAAACUUGUUAAGUGUUUCUCAACUGCUAGACAUAGGUUAUAAAGUGUUGUUUGAAGAUAAAAGUUGUGUAAUUGAAGAUGUUGAGGGCAUAAAAUUCUUCAAUAUUCAAAUGAAAGGCAAAAGUUUUGUACUAGAUUUUAAAGAAGAGCUGGUUGUUGAACAUAAAGAAGUCAAUAAUUCAAUGCUUUGGCACAAGAGAAUGGGGCAUUAUUGUUAUGAAGCAUUAUUUUUCAUGGAAAAGAACAACAUGGUGAAAGGCUUGCCUAAAUUAGGAAAAGAUUUUCCUAUAUGUGCUGCCUGUCAAUAUGGAAAGCUGUCAAGACUUCCAUUUCAACAAAGCAAAGCCUGGAGAUCUACACAGAAGUUGCAAUUAAUUCACAUAGAUGUUGGAGGACCAAUGAACCCAUCAUCUCUAAAUGGCAAUAAGUACUAUGUUUCCUUCAUUGAUGAUUAUUCUUGAAUGUGUUGGAUUUACUUUAUGAAAUUCAAAGCGGAAGUUGCUAAUAUAUUUGGAAAAUUCAAAGCUUGGAUUGAAACUCAAAGCAACUACAAAAUUCAGGUAAUCAGAUCCGAUAAUGGAACUGAAUACACUUCUGAAAAAUUAAACAGAUUUUGUGAAGAUGCAGGCAUUGAACACCAGCUAACAGCACCAUAUUCUCCACAACAAAACGAUGUUGUGGAAAGAAAAAACAGGACAGUGAUGAAGAUGACUAGAUGUUUGCUUCAUGAUAAAGGACUAUCCAAGAAAUUCUGGGAUGAGGCAACUAAUACAUUAGUAUUCUUGUUGAAUAGAUUGUCAACAAAAGCCUUGCAGACAAGGACUCCAUUUGAAGCCUAGUUUGGCUACAAACCAAAGCUAAUUAAUCUGAAGAUAUUUGGUUGUUUAUGUUUCUCUUAUAUUCCUCAAAAUAAAAGAGACAAACUGGACAAGAAGGCUGAAGCUGGGAUUUUUGUAGGCUACAGUGCUGUUGCAAAAGCCUACAUAAUCUACAUACCUCAAAGAAACAAAGUAAUCAUCAGCAGGGAUGUUCAGUUUUUAAAAUCUAACAGCUGGGAUUGGAAGGAUGAAAAGCAGAUUGAAGAUCAAAAUCAGAAGAAUGAAAUAGAUGAUGAACUUGUGAAAGGAACUAGAACUCUUGCUUACAUCUAUCAAAGAUGCAAUGUUGCUGCAAUAGAACCUGCAAAUUAUGAAGAAGCUGCAACUGAGCAAAAAUGGUUAGAUGCAAUGGAGGAGCUAAAGAUGAUUGAAAAGAGUCAAACGUGGGAAUUGGUGGACAGAGCUCAACAAAAAAAAAGCCAUAGAAGUCAAAUGGAUUUUUAUAAUCAAAUUGAAUUCUAAUGAUUCUGUGAAAUAAAUGCAAGGCAAGGCUGGUUGUCAAGGGAUAUGCUCAGAUGUUUGGGGGUGGAAUUUUCCUGAACAUUCCGCUCCGGUUGCAAGGAUAGAUAUUAUAAGAAUGUUGUUGGCACUUGCUGCACAAAAAGGCUGGACUUUACAUCAAAUGGAUGUCAAGUCAACUUUUUUGAAUGGUUACUUAGAGGAAGAAAUCUUUGUUGAAUGACCUGAAGGUAUUUCUAUUGCAGGACAAGAGAAUCAGGUAUAUCAACUAAAAAAAGCCUUAUAUGGCUUAAAGUAGGCUCCAAGAAGUUGGUACAGCAGGAUUGAUGCUUACUUGCAGAACUUAGGCUUUAUAAGAAGUCUAAGUGAAUCUAUUCUUUACAUUAAAGGAGCUGAAGGACAGAUACUUGUUGUAUCUCUUUAUGUUGAUGAUUUACUAAUAAUAGAAAGCUGUAGAGAGCAAAUUGACAAGUUCAAAGAAGAGAUGAAGUAUGUUUUUUAAAUGAUAGACCUUGGAGGGAUGACAUUCUUUCUUGGCAUGCAAAUAUUUCAAAAACAAAAUGAAAUAUUCUUGUGUUAGCACAAAUAUGCAAAGGAAAUUCUCAAGAAGUUUAACAUGGAAAAAUCAAGCCUACUACAACACCAAUUAAUCAAAAGGAGAAGUUCUACAAAGAAGAUGGAGCUGGAAAAGUGGAUGAAAAGCUAUACAAAAGCCUAAUAGGUUGCCUAAUGUAUUUGACAAUAACAAAACCAGACAUCAUACAUGUUGUAAGUCUAUUAUCUAGAUAUAUGCAUUGUGCAAGUGAAAUUCAUUUUGAAGCAGCAAAGAGAAUCCUCAGGUACAUAAAAGGCAUAGCUAAUUAUGGGAUCAAAUUCAGUCAAGUUGAAAAAUUCAAUCUUCAUGGCUACUCUAACAGUGACUGGGCAGGAAACAUUAAUGACAUGAGAAGCACCUCUGGUUAUUACUUUAGCUUCAGUUCAGGUGUUUUUUCAUGGAGCUCAAAGAAACAAGAAAUUGUUGCUCAAUCUACAGCAGAAGUUGAAUACGUUGUUGUUACUGCCUCCACAAACCAAGCAGUUUGGAUUAGGAAACUACUAAAAGAUUUGAAUCUGAAGCAAAAUGAAAGCACACAACUGUUUGUGGACAACCAAGCUGCAAUAUCAAUCUCAAAUAAUCCAGUAUUUCAUGGUAGAACAAAACAUUUCAAGAUUAAAAUUUUCUUUCUAAGAGAAGUUCAACAAGAAGGGGAACUGAAGCUGCUUUACUGCAAAACGGAGGAACAACAUGCAAACAUCUUAACAAAAGCACUUCCCAAGCUCAAGUUUGAGUAUUUGAGACAGAAGUUAGGAGUUUGCAGCUUCAGAGUCAAUGAGGAGAAUUGUUGAUCAAUAAUGACUCUAGAAGCAAAAUAAAAUCUCAGUAGAAUUGAGUUUGUUUACAGUAUCAGAGUUUGUUGCUAUUUUAAUGGCUAUCUUUUAUUCUAUGUAACAGAAAAUCAGAUAUGUUUGGAGAAUAUCUUGCAAUUCUGUUUUUCCUUAUUGUAUAAAUAAUCAUAUUGAAUUCAAUAAAAUAUGUGUUCUUCUGCAACUACAAUAAGAAACUUUUGUUCUCUCUUCAAUAUAUAUAACACUUACCCACAUCAUGUUUGUUGUCUCAAAAAGGCAAUCUAUGGCUUGAAGCAAGCCCCAAUAGCAUGGUUUCAUCGAUUCACCACAUUCUUACUCACUAUUGGUUUUAGUUGUUGCAAAUCAGAUUCCGGCCUAUUUGUUCAUUCAUCGGCCAAUGAUAUUCUUUAUGUGAUGUUUUGUAUUAAAAAGAUAGGAAAUGACAACAAAGCCCUUGGAGGCUUAAAGAGUAAGUAUAAUUAAAUGAGGGGUAGUGUGGUAAUUGAACAAUAGUUGAUAAAUAUAAAUAGAAAGAAAAAAAAAGAGAUCUGAAUAUUUUGAGAGAGAACCGGCAGGAGUGAAGGGAGAAGAAAAGGGGAAGAAGAAGAAGAGAAAAGAGGGAAAUUAGAAGGGAAAUAGAAAGGAAUUGAAGAAAUAAGUUUAAAGGUAAGAUUUAGGUUGUUAAAUGUAUAAAUGUAUGUUAAUUGAACUUUAAUUUCAGUUUUGAUGAAUGUUAGGGUUUUGAAAAUUUAUGUUUUUGGGUUUAUUGAUGAAUUAAAUUGAAUGUUAUGGGUUGAUUAUUAUGGAUAAUUGAUUAUUUAGUUGAUUAUGGAAGAUUGUAGAUAAAAAUGAUGAUUUUGAGUUAUGAUUUUGUUUGAAUGGUGAAUUUGUGUUAGAAAUCAGGAAAUAACAGUGGGUUUUCUGUUGAAAUUUUGGGUUGGAGGUUGAAGAUCACAAAAUUUCGGUUUGGUCCCUCAAUUUUGGAAAAUUACAGUUUAGUCCCCAAACUUUGGAAAAUUAUAGAUUGGUCCCUGGAGUAUAUUCCGAGAUUCUGGACAGAAUAAAAGAUGAAUUAUGGACAGAAUUCCAGUAUAGUUAUGAAUUUUUAACACUUUCAAUUUGGUCCUCCAAUUUGACAAAAAUUACCAUUUGACCCUAAAAAUUUGGAAAAAUUCUAGAAUGGUCCCUGGAGUAUAAUGAGAUAUUCUGGACAGAAUUGAGGAUUAAUUAUGGUAAUAAUUUCAGUAUAGUCAAGGAUUUAUGAUAUUUUUAGUUUGGUCCUUCAAUUUGACAAAAAUUACAAUUUGACACUAAAAAAUUGAAAAAAUUCCAGAAUGGUCCCUGGAGCAUAAUGAGAUAUUUUGGACAGAAUUGAGGAUUAAUUAUGGUCAUAAUUUCAGUAUAGUCAUGGAUUUAUGAUAUUUUUAGUUUGGUCCUUCAAUUGGACAAAGUUACAAUUUGACCCUUAAAAAUAUGAUAAAUUCAUAUUGGUCCCUAACUGUAAUAUUACCUUUUGCAUAUUGGUUUGAUGAAUAAUUGAGGGUUAUUUAGUGAAUUAUUACUAAUUUUAUUAUUUUCGUUUAUUAUGGAUUAGAUUUCGGGAAAACCGUUAAAUUUUGGAUUUUUUGGAAAAUUGACUAGUUAGUUUAAAAACAUAUAGGGUUAUGAAAUACACCCUUAGAUAAGUGUAUUAAAUAGGUUAUAUGUUCUUUUGGGUCAUUCUUGAAUAUGUCUCAUUUGUAUUCAGAUAAUCCUGAUAUUCUACCGGCGGGUCAUCAGUAGGAUUUCCAUCGGUAUCUGCUUUUGAGUGUGACACAAUCAAAGAGUUGAUGUCUUAUCUCAAGUGCAGGAGUGUCGAAGUAAUAAAUAACUCGGCAAGACCAGGGUCGAACCACAGAGAGGUCAAUUAUAUAAAUUACAAAUAAAGAGAAAGAUUUGAAGAGAAUAAUAACAGAAAAGGAGUUGAAGAGAGUUUUGGGAUGUGAUAUUGGUGUAAGGAUUAAACAAUGAUAAAACAGAUGUCAAAGUUAGAGGAUUCACUAAUGGUAUUUCAAAUAAAUAUAAUAUAAACUCUUUUUAUUACUCAAUUGGAAACCACACACAACGGAGGUUCCAAUCGGAUGAUUUAUCGUUAUUAGCUCAUUAUAAAUUAUUAACAUGAUCAUAUUAAUCAUCUUAUCUAAAUAACACCAUACUUAUAAAUAUCAUCAGGCAUUCAUGUUGCUAGCUUAUGUUAACAACAAAUCAAGUUCCUAUCAUAACAACGAUGUCGGCCGAAAACUAUGAAGGAUCAAGCAUUUGAUGUACCAAGUGUUAUACAACACAAAUCUAGAUUAACCAUUUAACAAGCAAGGUAUUAAGAAUUAGUAAGAUAAAAAGAUAAGACAUGCUAAUAACAAUUUUUCUUGGAUAUAAACAUUAAAGUCCAUGUUGAGUUAAUAUUAUACCUAUUCUAACACCAUUAGUGAAACCUUUUCACCUUGACAUAAUUAACUUAGCUAAACAUAAUGAAGAAGAAAAACAUAAAUAAACAAUACAAGAACAUAAACAUGAUAUAAGUUAACUAAGUAUAGGAAAGGAAAUGAAAAAGCAUAAACAAAAGAUUAAUAUAGCAUGAAAGAAAACUUGAACAUUACAAAGAUAUAAAGAGAGAAAGCAAGAACAUGAUUUUGAUCUGAAAAAUAAUAUGACUAAAUACAUGGCAAAUGCCUCCUUUUAUAGGCUAAGAUUCAGAACUAUUGAUUGGCAAGCAACUAUUGAUUUGGUGGCUGGUUUUUGACAUUGUUGGCUGCUGGUUCUUGAUAUUGUUGGCAGAUUUUUGAUAUUGUUGGUUGGCCAAAACGUCAUUGCUAACAUCAUAAUUUGAGCCCUUUGUUCCAUGAAAGCUGUGGGCAAUUGUCUCAGCUUUCUAACAAAAAAAACCAGAGAUCAUUUGGACUUCUAGAACUCAAGAUAUGAGCUGAAAACCGAACAGUGUUUGAGCUGCAGGACAGGUUCCUACUUCUCCAUUGUUGCUAAGAUUUGAACUUGCAAACGGCAGAAUUGAGUCUUGAAAUCCCAUGCAAGUUUUAGGUCUAUGUCUUAUCUUUCCAUCCAUAUAAAGUGGACCUAAAUCCGAGUUUACAACUCCAGUUAUGAUCAAAUAACCAAAUGGUGUUCCAGUUUGGAAUUGAACCAGCAUCUCUUCUCUUAGCCUAGUCCUCUUUUGUCUCUUCACUUUCAAUAGUUAAUCACAUCAAUCAAUCCUUUGAAUUGUGAGAUAUACCUGCAUUCAAAACAAGCAUUUACCAUAAAUUAAAGAUAUAUUAUAUUAUUAGACUUGUUAUUACAAAACAUGCUUUAGUUAGGGAAUUUAACGAUACUUUAGUGCAAUAUGAUGAUAUAAAGCCUUAAUGAGAAUGCACUUUUAAGUACUAAUCACACCCCUCAACCAGCUUAUUACUAGUCCCUAGUAAUCAAAGCGUUAAAAUAUAAAAACAAUUUGCAAGUUCUACAAAGCAAGGUAUUCAUCAUUUAACUUCCAUUAAUCUAUCCAAAUAAAUAAACUCUCAUUAAAUUUAUAUAUCUGCUUCAUGCUUCUUAAACAAGAUAUUAAUAAACCUUCUUUUUGUGCUCAAUAUAUCAAAACAUAGCUAUGGAGCUUUUCAUGGAAGAAAACAAAAUUUUGUUCCAAUGUUUAAGGUUAACUUCCUUGGGUUGGGAUUAUUAUCUCUCUUUUUUUUUUAUAAAAAAAGCAAGAAUUUAUAACACAAUGUAUCUUGAACCCAUGUAACGAGCUUUUAGCUAAUAACUCCCAGACCAGUUGGUCUUAGGGCAUCAGGUGUUGAGACACCCCUACGAGCUUAGUAACUCGGGUUGCAGAUACUGAUACGUAGAUAGUGCAAUGUUUGAUUCCCUUAAAAAUUUCUCUGUAACCCAUGUAACAAGCACUGGGCCAAUAGCUCCCAAGUUAGUUGACUUUAGGGUACUAGGUGUUAAAACACCCCUUCGGGCUUAAUUGCUUAAGUCAAGGAGGCUACAAAACCAAACUUAUCUACUUUUUUAUUUAUUCAAUUUGUUUUUGUUUUUUUUUUUUUGUUUUUUUUUGCAAAUUAUAUACUAUCCAUUUCCCUUAGUUGUUACCUUUAACAAAAGAACAUGAAUAAUGUAAUAAUCCAAUAUGCAACCCACAAUCAUAUGUUAAAGUGUGUGUGUGAAAAUGAAGGUUUAGGAAUACUUGUUAAAUGAGUAUAUCAGCAGAAUCAAGUGAUAGCAAUGCGAGAGUUUGUGAACCUAAAUAUUUCAAGAAGUAUUAUGAUAGACCUUGUUAAGAAUGUUUACUAAGAUGCGUCUCAAGAGUCACUAAAGUUCAUCCUUUACUCUGCCAUCCUAGUAACAACAGGUUUGCAAAUGGUUGUAAUAAUAGAAAACACAGUUAGUUAAUUUUUUUUUUAAUAUCAACUAUUACCCUCUCCCCCCAACCAAAACGAGACAUUGUCCUCAAUGUUCUAAGGCAGAAAGAUAGAGUAUAGAAGACAUCACCUGAAACAGCGACUAUUGACAAACCUGAAACACACUUAAACAAAUAUAAGAAAGAACAAAACACAAAUAUUAUGUGAUUAAUAAAACCAAAAGACACAAGUUUUCACAAACUAAGGCUCAAAUCCAAUCUAAGCUUUUUACGACGUUCCGUGAUUGACCAAUUGAGUCGACUCAUAGAGGAAUCAACUACAGGGAUGAAAGAUUGAAGUUCAUCAAUCAAUUGUUCAGCAGUAGCAGCAGAGAUGAGGAUUUGUCACGCUGAAAAUGUUAGAAAUUGUUGCUCCACAGCAUGAUCAAGAAAAGACAGUAAAGUAUUAUAAAAACCAUUAACAUUUAGCAAACCUAUAGGUUUCUGGUGAAUGUUCAGCUGAGCCCAAGAGGAAAUAUGAAAUAUCUCUUCUAAAGUGCCCAGACCACCUGGUAAAGCGAUAAAGGCAUCAGCAUAGUUAAACAUUACAGACAGUCGUUCAGACAUUGUGGAGACCUGUAGUUCCUCUUCGAUUGUUUUUCCAAUGAUGUCCCCUUCGGCUAAAGCUGUGGGGAUGACCCCCAAAACUUGACUGCCUCCUAAAAAUGCAGCAAUUGAAACACCCCUCAUUAACCCAAGGCUGCCUCCCCCAUACACUAAAUGAAUCUUUCGCUCAGCUAUUACCCGACCAAGAUGAUAUGUUGAUUCUAAAAACUCUUUUUCUUUCCCAGGACUGGAUCCACCAAAAACACAAAUAUUUUUUAUUUUAGAAACAUAGGAACCUGCCAUGUCUACACACUUCUAUAUUUGUUGAAUGAAUGGGUUGAGUAGAAAUGAUGGGAAGGAAGAGAAGAUUUUAUAGAUGAGAAAUUAAAAAUGCAAUCAUACCACCUAUAUAUAGGCUAGCUGGAGUCUCUCUCUCUCUCUCUCUCUCUCUCUCUCUUUUGUUUUUUUUUGUUUUUUAAAACAUGUGUAUGUACAAACAGUUGUGAUUGUGGCUCACAUCUUCCCUUGGUUUUACGUCCAAGAACGACUUAAACGCCCUCUAUGGGUCGGGGAUAGGCUUCCCAUCCAGUUUUCUUAAAAACUGACAAACAAGUCUUUUUUAGUCAAAUUCCCAAGACUAAGUCGAUCAUGUUCUUUAUGAAAAUGAGGCCAUAAAUCAUGAAUUACACGAUGCACAUCUCCACUAGGAUGCGUCUCAAGAGUUAAUAGAAGAUUAUCUAAAGACUCCUUACUCAGACAAUCCUUAAUGAAUUGUAUUUUAUCUUCACGGUUUAUAGAUAUCAUUCCUAAAGAACGACAUUUUGCAUUACAAGUCCAUCUGGCACAUCGGUGACAGACUUUCAGUUGUUUUGCACGAUGUUUCUUUGCAAAAGUGCUUUUACCUGUCCCAGGCAUGUAUGAAAUAAACGUAUUGGAAGACUCACCUGAUAAUCGGACCUUUGCUUCAAUUAGACAGCGAAUAUCUUCAGGAAUUCCAUGGUUCAUUAACAACCUCAAUCUUUCACACCUAGCAUGGUAAAUUUUUAUAAUCGCAUUUUGAGGCAAAGCGGGAAAAUACUUUUUUAAUGUUUCAAGAGUGGUGUCCAUUUUUCAAAAGAGAAGUGUAGAAGAGAUGCAAAGAAAAGAGAAGGAACAAGGAAUUGAACAAAUAUAUACAUAGAUAUCAGUUAUCAUGGGAAACUGAAAGAACCGACUUAAGAGUCACGGAGUACUGUUAUCCGCAAUUUGACCGGGGUUGGAGAAAGACUAGCAAAACAAGAGUCACACCAAAAAGAAAUACAAAAACAAUGUGAGAAAAACAAAAUAAUCAACCUUUAUAUACAGGAUCAUUCAAACCAAUGGAUUCAUUUUCACUAGGAAAAUUAUCAAAGUAAGCUUUCAAACGAUGUCCAUUUACCUUAAAAACAUUUUCAUUCUUUGGAUUCUCAAUAUCAAAGGCCCCACAAGGAUACACAUGUUUCACAAUAAAUGGACCGCUCCAUCUUGAUCUUAGCUUUCCAGGAAUUAAAUAGAGUCGAGAAUUAUAAAGCAAAACUUUUUGACCAACAUCAAAUGUUUUUCUCAAGAUUCUCUUAUCAUGAAACUCUUUGAUUCUUGCUUUAUGAAUUUUUGAAUUUUCAUAUGCAUCAUUUCUUAUUUCCUCAAGCUCAUUUAUUUGCAACUUAUGCAGAUGGCUAGCAUCAUCCAGGUUUGAAUUGAAAGCUUUAAUAGCCCAAUAAGCUUUGUGUUCAAGUUCCACAGGCAAAUGACAAGGUUUUCCAUAAACCAACCUAUAAGGUGACAUACCUAAUGAUGUUUUCAAAGCAGUGCGAUAAGCCCAAAGUGCAUCAUUAAGUCUUAAAGACCAGUCCUUCCGAUUAGGGUUCACUGUUUUUUCCAAGAUUUGUUUGAUCUCCCUAUUAGCAAGUUCUACUUGUUCAUUUAUCUGAGGGUGAUAAGGGGUGGCAACUUUAUGUGUGAUUCCAUAUUUCUUCAUUAAAGACUCAAAUGGCUUGUUACAGAAAUGUGUUCCACCAUCACUUAUCAUGACCCGAGGGAUUCCAAAUUGACUCAAAAUAUUUUCUUUCAAAAACUUGAUCAUUGUUUUAUGAUCAUUGUUACAACUUGGAAUUGCCUCUAUCCAUUUUGAAACAUAGUCUAUUGCAACUAAUAUGUACACAAAACCAAAUGAUGGAGGAAAUGGACCCAUAAAAUCUAUACCCCAACAGUCAAAGAUUUCAAUGACAAGAAUAGUAUUUAAAGGCAUCAUGUGACGUUUUGAAAUAGAUCCUAGCUUUUGACAAUUUUCACAAGUUUUGCAGAAUGCAUGCGUGUCUUUGAACAUGGUGGGCCAAUAAAAUCCACAUUGUAAGAUUUUUGCAGUUGUCUUUCUUGAUGAGAAAUGACCCCACAUGCCUCAGAAUGACAAAAUUUAAUGACACUACUUACCUCAUUAUCGGGAAUGCAUCUUUGAAAUAUUUGAUCAGGACAAUAUUUGAAUAAGUAAGGGUCAUCCCAAUAAAAGUUCUUCACUUCGUUCAAGAACUUUCUUUUAUCUUGGGUACUCCAAUGAGCUGGCAAAUAUCCUGAAACAAGAAAAUUAACAAUAUUAGCAAACCAAGGCAUCGUAGAGACAGAAAGUAAAGAUUCAUCAGGAAAGUAGUCAUUGAUUGGUGUGAUGUCAGAUCUCGAAUCAGUUCUCAAUCUUGACAAAUGAUCCGCGAUAAUAUUUUCGAUGCCUUUCUUAUCCUUGAUUGGGAUAUCGAAUUCUUGAAGUAACAAAAUCCACCGUACCAAUCUAGCCUUAGAAUCCUUCUUAGAAAGAAGAUAUUUCAACGCUGCAUGAUCGCUAAAAACAAUAACAGGUGAGCCAACAAGAUAAGAUCUGAAUUUUUCACAUGCAAAUUCUACUGCAAGUAAUUCCUUUUCAGUGGUAGUGUAAUUCAUUUGAGCACUAUUUAAAGUUUUACUUGCAUAGUAAAUCACAUAGGGUUUCUUAUCUUUUCUUUGUCCUAAAACAGCACCCACGGCAUAAUCACUAGCAUCACACAUUAUUUCAAAAGGUAAUGACCAAUCAGGAGGUUGAAUGACAGGAGCAGAAGUAAGCAAGUUUUUAAGUUUAACAAAGGCUUCUUCACAAUGUUCAGUCCAUUCAAAAACAUUAUCUUUUGUUAAAAGGUUACACAAUGACUUAGAUAUUACACUAAAAUCUUUGAUGAACCUUCUAUAAAAACCAGCAUGUCCUAAGAAUGAUCUAACAUUUUUAACAGAUUUUGGUGUUGGCAAGUUGGCAAUUAACUCGAUUUUAGAUUUGUCAACCUCAAUUCCUAUUGAUGAAGCAAUGUCACCAAGUACAAUGUCAUUUGUUACCAUAAAAUGACAUUUUUCCCAAUUCAGCACAAGAUUCUUCUCUUCACACCUGUUCAAAACCUUUUCCAAGUUAGUUAAACAAUCAUCAAAUGAAUCACCAAAAACAGAAAAAUCAUCCAUAAAAAUCUCAAGAAAACGUUCAACCAUAUCACUGAAUAUGCUGAGCAUGCAUCUUUGAAAUGUGGCUGGUGCAUUACAUAAUCCAAACGGCAUCCUACGGUAUGCAAAUGUACCAAAUGGACAUGUGAAAGUAGUUUUCUUUUGAUCUUCAAAUGCAAUUUCAAUUUGGUUAUAACCUGAAUAGCCAUCUAGAAAACAAUAAAAUUCAUGACCUGCAACUCUUUCUAGAAUUUGAUCCAUGAAAGGUAAAGGAAAAUGAUCUUUUCUAGUCAUUGAAUUAAGUUUCCUAUAGUCAAUGCACAUGCGCCAACCAGUAAUAGUCCUAGUUGGAAUUAACUCAUUCUUCUCAUUUGUUAUCACAGUAACUCCAGACUUUUUAGGUACAACUUGGGUAGGACUUACCCAUUUGCUGUCAGAAAUAGGAUAAAUGAUUCCAUUAUCUAGAAGCUUAAUGACUUCAUUCCUCACUACUUCUUUCAUGUUACGAUUAAGCCUUCGUUGCAUUUCUCUAGAGGGUUUAGCAUUUUCCUCCAAAUAAAUCUUGUGUGUGCAAAUCAAAGGACUAAUUCCUUUUAUGUUAGCUAUGGUCCAUCCUAAUACAUUUUUGUGCAUUUUCAGAGUUUGUAAUAACUUACCUUCUUGAUGAACAUUAAGUUUGGAAGAAAUUAUUACCGGAAAAGUUUUAUUUUCUCCCAAAAAUGAGUAUUUGAGAUUAAAUGGUAAUGGCUUCAAAUCGGGUUUUGGUGGAUGAACACUUGAAGGUAUGGACUCAAUUGAUCGUGGUGGCAAUUCCUCAAUUUUUGGUCUCCAACUAUUUGCCUUUGAUUCUUCCUGAAAAUAAACCAUUUGCAAAUCUUCAGAUUCAUUAAACUCAGUUUCACUGGAAGAAUUUUCAAAUUGAUCAUAAAUUAAAAUUUCAAUAAAAUCUACUUUCUAUAAAUCAUUAUCAUCUCCAGGUUGCUUGCAAAUGUUAAAAACAUUCAUCUCCAAUGUCAUGUUUCCAAAAUAUAACUUCAUCACUCCAUUCCUACAAUUAAUCAAUGCAUUAGAAGUUGCAAGAAAUGGACGUCCUAAAAUAACAGGAAUUGAAUUGCAUGCUUCAACAGGUUGUGUAUCCAAGACAAUAAAAUCCACAGGAAAGAUGAAUUUAUCAACUUGUACUAACACAUCUUCAACUAUUCCUCUAGGCACUUUUACAGAUCUAUCAGCAAGUAAAAAAGUUACAGAAGUAGGUUUUAACUCACCUAAAUUGAGACUUUGAAAAACCGAAUAUGGAAGAAAAUUCACACUAGCUCCAAGAUCAAGUAAAGCUCUAUCAAUUUUAUGUUCUUCAAUAAAGCAAGAAAUUGUAGGACAACCAGGGUCUUUAUAUUUCAAAGCAUUAUCGUUCUGAAGAAUGGCACUUACUUGUUCGGCUAAAAAGGCUUUCUUUUUCACAUUCAGUUUUCUCUUCACAGUGCACAGAUCUUUCAAAAUUUUAGCAUAAGAUGGUACCUGUUUAAUAGCAUCUAACAAAGGUAUAUUGAUCCUUACCUGUUUGAAAGUUUCAAAGAUUUCAGAAUUGUGAUUGACUUUUCUUUGUUUGGUCAUGGCAUGAGGAAAUGGAAGUGCUGGUGGGGAAUCAGUCUCCUCCUUGCAAUGUUCAAGUUCAACCCUUUCCUUACCCUCAGAGACUAACUGAUCUUCUUUCUCACAAGGUUCAAGAACGAGUUUUUCAAUAACUUUACCACUGCAGAGAGUAGUGACUGAUUUGACUUGAUCCAUAUGUUGGCUUCCGGAACUGCUUGCACUUGAAUUGUAUUACCCUUUGGGAUUUUGCUGGGGUUGAGAUGGAAACUUACCUUUCUCCUGAAAACUAAGAGCAGAUGUGAACUUUGCAAGAGUAUCUUUUAGAUCUGCCAUGGUUUGAGCAUUUUGAGUGUUAAUUGUCUCUUGAUUUUCAAUGAAUGCAUGUAGUGUUUCCUCAAGAUUUCUUCUAGGAGGGGGAACAUAAGGAGGUGCAUAUCCAUGAGAAUUUUGAAAAUUAUGUUGUGCUUGAAAUGGUGGCUGUGAAGUUUGUGCAUUAUUGUUACCACUCUUCCAACUGAAAUUUGGGUGAUUUCUCCAACCAGGGUUGUACGUUUGGGAGUAUGGGUUAUGACUUGGCCUUUGGAAACUAUUUAAAGCAUUGGCUUGUUCAUGGAGACAUUCCUUAAAAAAAGGCAAAGUUGGACAAUCAUUGGUUGAGUGUUUAUUAGUUUCACAAAUUUGACAUACAAUUUCUUGAACAGAUUUUAAUUGUCCACUCUUUUUUAAUUCUAGUGCCUCGACUUUUCUAGCUAAAGAUGCAAAUUUAGCUUGGAGGUCAUGAUCUUCCCUAAGGUUGUAUAUGCCUCCAUUAGAUGUAUGAGGUUGAGUUUUACCUGGUGCCUCACACGUACCUGUAGUGUCCCAAUUUUGAGCAUUUUCAGCUAGCAAGUCUAGGUACUCCAUUACUUCAUCAGGGUCUUUAUCUUCAAAAGUUCCAUUGCACAUCAAUUCCACCAUUUGCCUAUCUUUAGGUGUUAACCCUUCAUAAAAUUGUGAGACCAAUCUCCAUGUUUCAAAACCAUGAUGAGGACAGGUAUUAAGCAAGUCUUUAUAUCUAUCCCAACACUUGUAAAAUGUUUCUCCUGGUUUUUUAGUGAAAGUGGUGAUUUGUCUUUUGAAAGAAUUUGUUCUGUGAGACGGAAAAAACUUUUUUAAAAACUGUUGUUGCAUUUCAUCCCAAGCACGAAUGGAUCCUGACCUAAUAUUUUGUAGCCAUGUUUUAGCUUUAUCUUUUAAUGAAAAAGGAAAAAGCUUUAAUCUGAUGGUGUUCAUGCUACAAUUUAAGUCAUUAUAGGUGUUACAAACUUCUUCAAAUUCUCUUAAAUACAAGUAUGGAUUUUCUAAUUCUAAGCCAUGAAAAGUGUGUAAAAGUUGAAUAAUACCUGGCUUAAAAUUAAAAUGAGAAGCAUCAGGAGGAAAAACUAUACAUGAUGGUGCACUUGUUCUUGUUGGAUUCAUGUGAUCUUUAAGUGUUCUCACACGAUUAUUCUCAUUAUUCUCAUUAUGAAUUGACUGGUUAUCUUCUUCGGCCAUGUUUUCUAAAGAAAAUGAGGAUUUCCUAGAAAGUCUACCACUUAAUGUACGUGUCCAAACUCUCAUGCAAGUGCAAAAGAAAAGAAAAGAAAAGAAAAAGAAAAAGAACAAAAAUUAGAAAAACAAAUAAAAGUAAAAAACAAAAGAAAAUAAAAGAAAUAUAAAAUUUAUACAAUACUUACCUCCCCAGCAACGGCGCCAAAAACUUGACACGAUCAAAGAGUUGAUGUCUUAUCCCAAGUGCAGGAGUGUCGAAGUAAUAAAUAACUCGGCAAGACCAGGGUCGAACCACAGGGAGGUCAAUUAUAUAAAUUACAAAUAAAGAGAAAGAUUUGAAGAGAAUAAUAACAGAAAAGGAGUUGAAGAGAGUUUUGGGAUGUGAUAUUGGUGUAAGGAUUAAACAAUGAUAAAACAGAUGUCAAAGUUAGAGGAUUCACUAAUGGUAUUUCAAAUAAAUAUAAUAUAAACUCUUUUUAUUACUCAAUUGGAAACCACACACAAAGGAGGUUCCAAUCGGAUGAUUUAUCGUUAUUAGCUCAUUAUAAAUUAUUAACAUGAUCAUAUUAAUCAUCUUAUCUAAAUAACACCAUACUUAUAAAUAUCAUCAGGCAUUCAUGUUGCUAACUUAUGUUAACAACAAAUCAAGUUCCUAUCAUAACAACGAUGUCGGCCGAAAACUAUGAAGGAUCAAGCAUUUGAUGUACCAAGUGUUAUACAACACAAAUCUAGAUUAACCAUUUAACAAGCAAGGUAUUAAGAAUUAGUAAGAUAAAAAGAUAAGACAUGCUAAUAACAAUUUUUCUUGGAUAUAAACAUUAAAGUCCAUGUUGAGUUUAUAUUAUACCUAUUCUAACACCAUUAGUGAAACCUUUUCACCUUGACAUAAUUAACUUAGCUAAACAUAAUGAAGAAGAAAAACAUAAAUAAACAAUACAAGAACAUAAACAUGAUAUAAGUUAACUAAGUAUAGGAAAGGAAAUGAAAAAGCAUAAACAAGAUAUUAAUAUAGCAUGAAAGAAAACUUGAAUAUUACAAAGAUAUAAAGAGAGAAAGCAAGAACAUGAUUUUGAUCUGAAAAAUAAUAUGACUAAAUACAUGGCAAAUGCCUCCUUUUAUAUGCUAAGAUUCAGAACUAUUGAUUGGCAGGCAACUAUUGAUUUGGUGGCUGGUUUUUGACAUUGUUGGCUACUGGUUCUUGAUAUUGUUGGCAGAUUUUUGAUAUUGUUGGCUGCUGGUUCUUGAUAUUGUUGGCAGAUUUUUGAUAUUGUUGGCUGGCCAAAACAUCAUUGCUAACAUCAGAAUUUGAGCCCUUUAUUCCAUGAAAGUUGUGGGCAAUUGUCUCAGCUUUCCAACAAAAAAAACCAGAGCUCAUUUGGACUUCUAGAACACAAGAUAUGAGCUGAAAACCGAACAGUGUUUGAGCUGCAAGACAGGUUCCAACUUCUCCGUUGUUGCUAAGAUUUGAACUUGAAAACGGCAGAAUUGAGUCUUGAACUCUUCAUGAACGUUUUAGGUCUAUGUCUUAUCUUUCCAUCCAUAUAAAGUGGACCUAAAUCCGAGUUCUACAACUCCAGUUAUGAUCAAAUAACCGAAUGGUGUUCUAGUUUGGAAUUGAACCAGCAUCUCUUCUCUUAGCCUAGUCCUCUUUUUGUCUCUUCACUUUCAAUUGUUAAUCACAUCAAUCAAUCCUUUGAAUUGUGAGAUAUACCUGCAUUCAAAACAAGCAUUUACCAUAAAUUAAAGAUAUAUUAUAUUAUUAGACUUGUUAUUAUAAAACAUGCUUUAGUUAGGGAAUUUAAUGAUACUUUAGUGCAAUAUGAUGAUAUAAAGCCUUAAUGAGAAUGCACUUUUAAGUACUAAUCAGAGUGUUGUUUGCUUUUGAGUCAGGUGAGUGGAUAAUUUUCCAUAUGCAUGAGAAAUAUUAUAAAUAGUUGAUUUGUUAAUAUGAAUUGGAUCAUGCUUCUUGAUAAUAUAUAUGUUGAUUAUUAUUCUUAUUAUGAUAAAGCAUGAUCAAUUGUUGAAUCUGGAUUUUUGAUAUGAACCAGUAUAUAUUUUGAAUUGACUUCUGGAUUGAUAGCUCCUCAUUUGAUUGAUGUCAUGAAUUGAGCCUUGAGAUAUGAAUAUGUCUGUUUGAUUAUGAUUAUGAACCUAUGGUAUGUCAGUCAGAAUACCCAUGCUAACAGGGUAGUGUUAGUCUUUGUGCACAUUGUAUCUGAACCCUAGUUGGUCGGGGGAGUCACCAACCUGUGUGGACUGAAAUCAAUCCGUUGAUUUCGCCACAGAAUUAUUCUCGUCGUUCUGCCAAGAAAGCAACCACGCUCUGAUACCAAUUGUCACGGGGUCAAUUUUUCAUCCUAAAAACAGACAUCGCGCGGCAGUCUAGCCCCACUAGACUCAGCCUUUCCCUCGCCUCACUCGUGUUUGCCUAGCAACUAAGUGUUUCCCUCACCAAGAGGUUUCCCACACUAAAUGUAACACCCCACCUCACUAGCAAGAUAUUGUCCGCUUUGAGCCUCCCAUUCCACCCAUGUCCAGGGCUUCCACCCAGGUCCCCCUCACGGGUUUGUUCUUGGCAGCCACACAUGUCGCCAAAACGCGUCUUACUAGUCAAGGUGAACAUGCACUUAUAAGGCCCUGGCUCUGGACGCUCGCUUCCGAUGUGGGAUAUCACAAUCCCCCCACCUUAAGACGAGCCGUCCUCGGCUCUGAUACCAAAUGUAACACCCCACCUCACUAGCAAGAUAUUGUCCACUUUAGGCCUCCCAGUCCACCCAUGUCCAGGGCUUCCACCCAGGUCCCCCUUACGGGUUUGUUCUUGGCAGCCACGCAUGGCCCCAAAACGCGUCUUACUAGUCAAGGUGAGCAUGCACUUAUAAGGCCCUGCCUUUGGAUGCUUCCGAUGUGGGAUAUCACAGAUACAUUGUUGAAUUCCUUGCAAGCAACGAUAAAUUAAUUGUGAAAGAUGAUGUCUUUUAAUUUAGUGAUCCAUAUCAAGUUGCUCUGUCUAUUGACUUAGAAGAAAAUUUAAAUUUUUGCAUCGUCAAGAAUAUUUUUAUUGAUGUUGAUGCGAAGAAGUUGAAUGAUGUUUUGAGCUAUAGCGCACAUACACAAGUCAAUGAAGAUGAUAACGACAAAAUCAACACACAAGAUUGUGAUGGAGAUAAGGACGGGUCAAUUGACGAAGUAGAAGAGAAUUCUGAUGAAUUUGUGCAACACAAAUGUGUAAUGCCAUAAACUAUAAUGUAAUAUUUAUGGACGAGAUUCACUUCAAUGUAAUGACAAUGAUGUUAAUUUAUUAUUGAAAGAUAAGAAAAUAUUUAUUUUCUUAUUGUGAUGUGAACUGGUGUUAUUGUGUUGUGUGUGCAGCUAUGAAUUUAAGCAUUUAUAGGAUGGAUAAAUAGGGAAUACAGAUGCAAUUUGGCAUCAGACACCAUUUUACACCGAUAAAAAUACCAACAGACUAUAUAUUACAUAUAGGUAUAUCGACAAAAUGUAUCUGUUGAUAUAUUCUAGAAACCAUAAGAAUUGUUCCCCUUCACCCUGGCAUUAUUCAUGGUGUUUAUUACAUACAGGUUUAGCGACAGAAUGUGUUUGUCGGUAUAUUUCAAAGACCAUAGGAACUGUGCCCCUUCACCAUGACACUAUUCACGGUGUUCAUUACAUACGGGUAUAUCGAUGGAAUGUGUUCGAUGGUAUAUUCUAGAGACCAUGGGAAUUGUUCCCCUUCACCCUGACAUUGUUAAUGGUGUUCAUUACAUAUGGGUAUACUGAUAAAAUGUGUUCGACGAUAUAUUUCAGAGACUAUGGGAAUUGUGCCCCUACAACCUGGCACUAUUCACGGUAUUCAUUACAUAUAAGUAUAUUGACAGAAUGUGUCUGUCGAUAUAUUCCAGGGACCAUGGAAACUAUUCACUUCUCAAUGCGAUAAUAUUUAAUGAUGUUUUGACUGUUCACUUUUUUUCCUAAUAGAAUCACCGACGGAAUGAAAAGUCAUCGAUAAUAUAUGAAAGGGCUUUCUAAAACUUUUCACACAAGUUGAGAAUUUUCAUUUGACUGUACAGACAAAAUCACCAAUUGAAAUAUUAAAAAUAUUAAUAUUUAAUUUCUUGUCGGUAAAAACUAAAAUAAAAGACCUGCAUCAUGAUAGAUUAGGGCUUCAUCUUCUUCUCUCUUUCUCUUCUCUCUCUCCUUCUCAUCUUAGAUCAAGCAUUCUCUUCUCUUCACAUCCUAAGGUAUGUUGUCUUUCUUCAUUUUUCUUCUUGUUUUUCUUUUCUUUGUUUUAAUUAAGAGCUUCAAUAAAGCACGUCAUUAAGGUAAGAAUUUUUCAUUCCUUUUUCUUUCUUUUUGGUUUUUUUUUUCCAUUAUUUUUUUCAAAUUUGUUGUUCUUAAUUAAGAGCUGAAAUAGAGCAUUAUUUUUGUUCAAUUUUGUGUUCUUAAUAAUUUUAUUAAUUAAUAAAUGACAUGAAUAUUAGUAGUUAUUGGAAAACAUUUUGCAUUAUUUUGUUGAAAUUUAGUUAUUUUUUCAAAUUUGUUGUUCAAUUUCAAUUAAAUGUGUAUAAAUAAUUUUAAUUACUAUUUUCUAUUUAUUCCAUUUAGAAUAAAUUUUUUAUAAAUUUAGGAUUAAAAAUAUUAUCACUUAGAAAUAAUUGUGUUUAAUUUUAUGUGUUAUUGUAAUAUAUUUUGCAUUAUUUUGUUGAAUUUUAGUUGCUGUUUUUCUAAUUUUGUUUUUCAUUUUCAAUUAAAUGUGUAGGAUUAAUUUUAAUUAUUAUUUUGAAUUUUUUAAAAUUUAAAAUAUUUUUUUGUAAAUUUAUGAUUAAAAAUAUUAUCACGUAGAAAAUGAAAAUUUUCUAUCAAACUGAAUUAUGCUAAAUUGUUAGAAGAAAUUGAAUAAAAUCAACUGGUUUGUGGCAUGUAUAUUAUAUAUUUCCAGGUUUAAAAAAUUUAGGUAGUCUCCCGUAUAGGGUAGAUGUUUCUGAAAUUUAAAAAAAAAGUAGGAAUCUUUUAAAUUGUUUUAUCCGUUAAUUUGUGUAGAUGUCUAGGGGAAAGUCUAUUACACGUUGAGAGGACAGAAUCGCUGCUAGUUCUUCUAGUAGCGAUGCUGACAACCAUGAGUCAUUAGGUACCGAGCAAGAACAGUCACUUGAGGCACACAUAUUGACUCAUGACGAGGGCUCGUCGAAUGCGAUGCCGCAACAUCAAGGGGGGUCUCUUCACAGCAGGAUCCAUUUACCCUCAAGUACGAGGCUAGAGAAAGGACAACCUUUCAAUAUAAGUUUUUUUUGCUUUCACAACGACACGUUUAAUAAUUUUUUAAAAAAUAAUAUCAUUUAACGAAUGCAAUUUCAGGUUUACAAAUAUUGAGGUUCCUAGAACAAUAAUAUUGGCCUUUAAAUCGUCGAUGGAAAUUCAAUUAUUUCAAUGAAGACAGGUUUCCAAAUAUCCUGAAUAGAAACCGCAGGUUCAUGCAUUGUUUUCAAGGUUCAAGGUUAGUAUUAGCUUAAAUAUUUUUUUAUGUUAAUUUGAACCGUUUAUCAAAAUUAAUUCUUGAAAUUUUCCUUUUAUAAAUUUUUACUUUAGGGGAAAAUUUGAAUGGGAGAGAGUUGAUGAUAAUUUUGCAAGGAUAGUUUGAGAGAAUCACGCUACAAUUAGAUAAAAAUCGAAUUUAGGAUAAUUUUUUUAUUCCAAAUAUUAAAAUUUUAUUUUUCAUUUACUAACAAAUAAGUAAUUUGUACCAUAUAGGUUGCGUGAUUUUUUGUACGAGGCGCAAAAGAAAUCCAAAAAAAUAUGCAAAAGAAAGAGAGCUUCCAAGUUGGAAUAAUAUGGCGGUUUGGAAGGAUUUCAGAUCGUUGUAUGUCUCAGAGGCUGUAUGGGUGGAAUAAAUUCAGCACAUGACGUUCGCGCGUUUCACUCGACGGUCAUAGUCCGGUAUGGAUAACCGGAACCGGCGCGUUCAUGGUUCUGUUAUCACGCAUAUUGGUGGCUCCAUUCCAUUCGUUUCACAUGCGAAGUGGAUAAUAGGAUUUUUUUUAUAACAUCCAUUUUUUAUUGGUUGUUUUUUUUAUAAAUAUGCUUAACUGAAAACAUUUUUUAUUGCAGACUACGAUUCUUAGAAUCGAGCCAAGCCCAAUGGAGUUUUUUGUUGAAACCCAUGUUUAAGUUAUUAUUUCCUUGAAUUUAAUGAAUUUAUUUUUUCUUUCCAGGAUACAUAUAACAACAGUUGAAGGAGAGAUACGGGGACGAUCCUUUGACCCAUCUAGAUAUUGUUGCGAUGUCGCGGUCGCACAAAUUAAUUACCCUAGCUUCAAACACAACACACAAGAUAGUAUAGAGCAAGCAAGGGGUCGAUCCCACGAGGAAGUUUCAAGUCACAUUUUUAUGUUGUACGUUAUGUAAUUGGGGGGAUUUGGUUUGUGAUUAUCUAAACUAUGGCAACAAUUAAACUAGCAAACAAAAUCAAUUAAAACCGAAACUUAUCAAGAAAACAAAUCUUGGUCGCAAGCACACAUCCACCAACGGAAAUUAGAACUGAUCCUUGAAACGAAAAUUGCAGUUUAUGUUCUGAAAUUUUAUCUUUUCUUAACGUUGAUUAAUUAACGGAUCCGCCGUAUAACUAAUCUUAACCAACAAACAAUCAAAGUGUCUGCACUAAUGAUUCAAUUUAAUGGUAGCUUUAAGAACUAGAUAAUUUCAUCAAGAUUAACAUACAAGCUGUCCGCAGCUUGUGUCACUUUGUUCAAAUGUUCUCCCUAAGUUCAAUAACGUAGUUCUGCCACAAUUAUCAAGCUUAGUUGCUUCACAAGUUCAUAUAUCACAACUCCGGUUUUGAUAUUAAACUUAGCAAUAGAUUGUUCACAACAAUAACUUAGAGUCCGCUCUAGCAAUCAUCAACAACAAUCAUAGGAAAUAUGCAUAGGAAAACAAUCAUACUCAUUCCUAACAUAAACUGAAAAUAAAAGGAAGAAUAAAUCUCAUGGUUCUUGAAAUUCGAAGGUUUGUUGUGUCCUUGCAACCAAGAAAAGAGCUUAGCCUUGCAUAACUAUUGAACAACUACUUCUAAAGAAUGAAAAGAGCAUGAUUUUUGGGUUUGUAGAGGAGAGAAUUUGUGUUUAUUCUCUGCUGGCUGCUGCCUCCUUCUGCUCUCCCUCUUUUCUGCUGGCUGCUGCCUCCUUCUCUCUUUCUUUUUAUAUGUUAAGAAACCCUAGUCUCUAUUUUACAAAAUAGUCCUUCCUUGAGUUGACAGUUUACAUUUAAGUACUUCAAUAACUAUUUUUCCUAAAAGGAGAAAUAGCCUUGCAUGAAAUCUUCAAGCUCUGACUUAGAGGAGCUAAAUUGCUGAUAUAAAAACUUGGAUGUCGGUAAAGAUGCUUCGGAAUGUAAUUUGGACUUGUUUCUUCACGAAACCUGUUUGCUGGCAGAAUUCAGUUGUCAUCUUUGAAAAAUCAUAUCUCCCUCAUAUGACAUCUUUUUUGGCUGCAAUUUGGAGCGUUGAUAGGUCUUUAAGUUAUGAAUCCACUAAAAUUGAGGUUAAAUCAAUUGGACUUCUGUAGCUCCAUAUAUUAAAUUUUGAAUGGCCAAAGGUCAACACUGGCAGAAUGCGAGAUUUGACUUUGCAGGAUGUGAUUUCCAUGAUCUUUGUCUUUUUAUUUUUCUUGCAUUACAUUUCCAGAAAGUUAUGGAUGUUAGAGUUUUAGUGCCACUGGAAUCACUUCAUUUCAAUCUCUAGAACUCACGCUCUGCACAAAACAUUGACUGAACGUCAAAUCUGCCAAUUACCUCUAAUUUACUCCUUUUUGCAUCUUUCAUCCAAAAGUACCUUCGAAACAUAAAACAAAGAAUAUCAAGACAUUUUAUAUAUAAAACAUGGACAAAACAUUAGGUAGAUGUGGGUGAAACUAUCGAAUAAUAUGGUUACAUCAAAUACCCCCAGACUUAGCUCUUGCUCGUCCUCGAGAAAGGAUAAAUAAAAUUAAAUUGAAAAUAACUAUGAUCAAUCUCUUAAUCUCCCAUCAAUGUCCAAGAGUACAAGCAUUAUAAAUAAGAAUACAAUCAAGAAGGAUAAAGAGUAUAAUUCUCAUGAAUUCAUUUACAUGCAAACUUCAAAACUCAAUUAAUCGUCGGGAUUUAAAUGAAAUCUAUGCCAUGCCAAAGUGAUAGGUCCUCUCAUUGAUAUACGCUCCAACACUCACGUGUUUAAGGCUUAUAUGUUUAAAUCUCUCAAAUUCAAUCAAUGAAUAUGUUCUACCAUAAGCUUGCUCUUCAAUCUCAUCUCCAUUACUAACAUAUUACAAACAAUGCAUGAAUCAAAAGGUCUUAUUUUCUGGUUGUAAUGGGGCUAAGGUUAAGGUGAGGUAAAAGAGAGUAAAAGAAAAGGUUCAAACCAAAGAAAGUAAAGCAUUCUAAAAAAUGAUAUUUCAAACAAGAUAUUUCAUCAAAGCACAUAAAUUUUCCAUCUUUAAUCACCAAUGCUUAGCUUCUUUUGAUUUCAAGCUUUUUCAACAUAAAAUCUUAAGAACAUAAAGGAACACUUUUUUUUUCUUUUUCUUUGUUCUUUUUUUUUCUUUCUCUCUUUUUCUCUCUCUUUUUUUUUUUUACCUUUGGCAACUUUGCCCAUCUUUUCAUCAAGCAUCACUUCUUCUUUCUUUUCACAUAAUUUCCAACCAUAAUUCCAUGAGAUAUCAUAAGUAUAUGCUCUACUAAUCCUUGGCCAAGGGAAAAGGAAAACAUAUAAAAAGUUAAGGCUUAUACAUGGAUAAAGCAAAGAAAAGAUAAACAAGCUCAAAAGGGGCUCACUAAGGAUAAUAUGCUUUAGGUUGGCUUUUUGGCUCAAGUGGUUAAAAUUUCUAAUGCCUUUAUCAUCUUCAUGUAUAUAUGUAAUGCGAAUGUAAUCUCAACAAGAUAUGAAGCAAGUUCUAGAGAUACAUAUCAUUGAAAGAAUGCACACUCAAAGAAUAUAAUGUUGAAGGCUCAAAAGCUUGCAUUGGUAUAACACUAUAAAGUCAACAUGGCAUAUUCUCAAAGUCAAUCCCUAAACCAAUUAAACCUUAAAAUUUGCAUGCAUACUCCUUCAUUUGAUUUAUAUCUUCAUCUAUCUCAACUAAUUCUCAUACAUAAUACUCAUAUUCUCAAAAACCAAUGGGAGUUCAAAAGAUCAAACAUAUAUUUUUUUUUUAAAAAAAUAAUAAUAAUAACAAAGAAAACCAAAAUUAGAAAACCAACAUUCUCCCAAUACCCCCACACUUAAAACACAACAUUGUCCUCAAUGUUGAAAUAAAAGAAAAGGAAUAUUGGAGAAUAACAAAAAUAAAGUAAAAUGCAAAAAAUAAAAGAUAAUGGGAAAAAAAAAGCAAAUCUGUUUUUUUUUUUUUGUGCUGGGUUGCCUCCCAGUAAGCGCUUUUGUUUUAUGUCAUUGGCUCGACAUGUUGCAUGCUCAUUCUUCAUAGAUUGGUUCAAUUAACUCCACAGAAGCGGUGAGUUCUGCCGUCCAACCUUCAUAGAAAGGUUUCAAGCGAUGCCCAUUUACCUUGAGUACUUUGUUGGUUUCUAAACUUGUAAUUUCAACUGCACCAUAAGGAAAAACAUUAGAAACAACAAAGGGUCCAAUCCAACGAGAGCGCAAUUUUCCAGGAAAAAGUUUCAAACGCGAAUGAUAAAGAAGGACUUUGUCUCCAACAUGAAACUCCUUUCUUGUAAGCAUUCGGUCAUGAAGAUUCUUAGUCUUUUCUUUGUAAAUCCUUGCAUUCUCGUAAGCAUGAUUUCGAAUUUCUUCCAACUCUUGUAGUUGUAGUUUUCUUGCAAUCCCAGCAACAUCAUAAUCCAUGUUACAUUGUUUAAUGGCCCAAAACGCUUUGUGUUCAAGCUCCACCGGUAGAUGACAUGCUUUCCCAUAAAUCAUUCUAUAAGGUGACAUUCCUAUAGGUGAUUUAUAAGCAGUCCGAUAAGCCUAAAGUGCUUCUCAAAGACGUAGACUCCAAUCUCGCCGGUUAGGUUGCACUAUUUUCUCCAAAAUGGACUUGAUUUCUCGAUUUGAAAUUUCAGCUUGGCCAUUCGUUUGAGGAUGAUAUGUUGUGGAAGUUCGAUGAGUCACAUGAUAUUUGCGUAGCAAUGCUUCCAUGGAACAAUUACAGAAAUAAGUGCCACGAUCACUAAUGAUAGCUUUAGGGAUUCCAAACCUGUCAAAUAUAUGAGUCCUGACAAAAUCUAAAACAACCUUAGCAUCGUUAGUUCGUGUGGCUUUCGCCUCAAUCCAUUUGGAUACAUAAUCAACAGCAAGAAGAAUAUAAAGAUUGCCAAAUGAAGAAGGAAAUGGACCCAUAAAGUCAAUACCCCAAACAUCAAAAAUUUCACUAACAAGAAUAUUUGUUAAAGGCAUUUGAUUCUUAUGAGUGAUAUUUCCUGUUCUUUGGCAUUUUUCACAUGAUUUGCAGAAGUGAUAUGCAUCUUUAAAAAUAGAAGGCCAAUAGAAACCACUUUCAAGUACCUUGUGGGCUGUUCUUUUUGCUCCAAAAUGCCCACCACAAGAAUGAGAAUGACAAAAAGUGAGAAUGGAAUGAAAUUCAUCUUGUGGUACACACCUCCUAACUACUUGAUCCACACAAAAUUUCCAAAGGUAAGGAUCGUCCCAAAAAUAAUAUUUAGCAUCAGCUCGUAACUUAUCUUUUUGGGGUUUAGACAAACCUGGAGGGAAUUCUUUGGUGACUAAAUAGUUUACCAAAUCAGCAUACCAUGGUCUUGUAGAGGAAUGCAACAUAUACAACUGCUCAUCAGGGAAUGUCUCUCUUAUUGUUUCGAUCUGUAUAUCCUCGGUCCUCAGUCGGCUCAAGUGAUCAGCCACAUGGUUUUCAGCACCUUUUUUGUCUUUGAUCUCAAGAUCGAAUUCUUGUAAAAGCAAGAUCCACCUAAUCAGUCUUGGUUUGGACUCCUUCUUCUUCAAAAGAUACCUGAGAGUUGCAUGGUUAGUAAAAACAAUGACUUUUGUACCAAGUAGAUAUGAGCUAAAUUUUUCAAGAGCAAACACCACUGCAAAAAGUUCCUUUUCAGUUGUAUGGUAAUUGCAUUGUGCUCCAUCCAACAUGCGAGAAGCAUAGGCGAUAACAUGCAAAUUCUUCCCAAUUCUUUGCCCAAGCACAGCUCCUACCGCAUAGUCACUCGCAUCACACAUUAUCUCAAAAGGUUCAUCCCAAUUUGGUGGUUGGAUGAUAGGGGCAGAUGUGACACGUCUCUUAAGCUCAUCAUGGGCAUCUUUACAUGCUUGAUCAAACACAAAAUCCACUUCUUUGGCUAAUAGUUUGCACAAGGGUGCCGUAAUCUUCGAGAAAUCUUUGAUAAAGCGUCGAUAGAAACCUGCAUGACCUAGAAAAGAACGAACUUCCCUCACGCAUGAGGGGUAAGGCAAUGAUGAAAUAACAUCUAUCUUAGCUUUAUCAACCUCUAAUCCACGUGAAGACACAACAUGCCCAAGAACUAUUCCUUGUUCUACCAUAAAAUAACACUUUUCAUAGUUCAAGACAAGGUUAGUUUCAAUGCAACUUUUCAAGAUUAAAGAUAAAUUUUCUAGACAUUUAUCAAAAGAAUCACCAUACACCGUGAAAUCAUCCAUAAAAACCUUGAUUAUUCUUUCAACAUAGUCAGAAAAAAUACUCAUCAUGCAUCUUUAAAAAGUUGCAGGAGCAUUACAGAGACCAAAAGGCAUUCUCCUAUAUGCAUAUGUACCAAAUGGACAUGUAAAUGUAGUCUUUUCUUGAUCCUCAGGAUUAAUAACAAUCUGAUUGUAUCCACUAUAUCCAUCAAGAAAGCAAUAAAAAGACUUACCUGCUAGGCGUUCAAGCAUUUGAUCCAUGAAUGGUAAUGGGAAAUGAUUUUUGCGUGUAGAAAGAUUGAGCUUUCUGUAAUCAACACACAUUCUCCAUCCACUCGAGAUGCGAGUAGGAAUGAGCUCAUCAUUUUUGUUUUUCACCAAUGUGAUUCCGGUCUUUUUGGGCACCACAUGAUUGGCGCGACCCAUUUACUGUCAGUGAUGGGGUAAAUGACUCCUGCAUCUAACAGUUUUAAAAUUUCAGCUUUCACUACCUCCAUCAUAGGCGGGUUCAACCUCCUUUGCAUUUCGCUUGUUUGUUUUGCAUUGUCCUCCAAUAGUAUAUGAUGCAUACACAUUGAGGGACUAAUGCCCUUGAUGUCGGCUAAAGUCCAUCCAAUGGCCGUCUUGUGAUCACACAACAACUUCACAAGUUUUUCCUCUUGCAUACUUGUCAAACCUUUUGCUAUGAUAACGGGAAGUGUAUUGUUGUCGCCAAUGAAUACAUACUUCAAAUUAUCAGGCAAAGGUUUUAAUUCUAACUCGGGGGCCUGUAAAAUAGAUGGCAAAAGCUUUUUAUGUGAGAGUACUAAAUCAACAAAGACAUUACCAUGGGGAACGGUUUGCAAAGCUUGUAAGGCCAAUACUGAUUCGUGCACGUUUUGGGGAACACACACGUGCCUCUCCAUCUCUUCUAUCUUGGUGAAAUCAUAGCCAUAGCUUAAAGCUAUGCUUAAUCCGUCUUCGCAAUCAAAAUCACAAACUUGCUGCACACACUUAUCAAUUUGGUCAUAACAUGUGAUAGAAUAAACAUUGCUAUAAGGAUAUUUCAUUGCAUCAUGAAAAUUGAAUUCAAUUUUUUCAUCUCCUACCUCCAUAGACAAGGUAUCCUUACCACAAUCAAUCUUUGCGUUGGCGGUUUUCAAGAAUGGUCUCCCAAACAAUAUAGGAGUGCUGGUUGAUGAAUCACAAGAAUCAUGUUCCAUAUCAAGAAUAUAAAAAUCACAUGGAAUAACCAAACUAUCAAUCUUGACUAGGACAUCUUCUAUCACACCAAGUGGGUAAACAAAACUACGAUCCGCAAGUUGUAUUACAAUGCUAGUUUUAUUCAAAGGCUCAAGACUAAGAGAAUCAUAAACAUGUUUGGGCAUAACACUAAUGGAUGCACCUAAAUCGCAUAAAGCUCUUUUAAAACUAGCAUUACCAAUAACACAUGGGAUAGUAAACGCACCUGGGUCUUUUUGUUUCAAAGGCAGAUUCUUUUGAACAACGGCAGAUACAACUUCACCCAUACUUACCGUUUCAUGACCUUUCAGUUUGAAAGCUCUCCUGGUAGUACACAACUCCUUCAAGAAUUUGGCAUACUUGGGAAUUUGCUUGAUAGCAUCAAGCAAAGGAAUGUUGAGUUCUACUUUCUUGAAAACCUCUAAAAUCUCUUUUUCUUUGUCCUCUUUCUUUGACCUAGAAGAACUCACAGGAAAGGGUGCAAUUGUUUUAAAACUGGAAUUCAUUGAGUGAGGACUUACCUUUAGAGUGUUAGUCGUGGUUUCAAUUUGUGAAGGAGAAGGAUGUUCCUUCUUUGUACUCAAUUCAAUUUUUAUCUCUUCUUCUUCCUCCAUCUAAAUUUGUUUCGACCUUUUCUUUUCAAGUUCUUUCCCACUUCGCAGCAUGAUCGCACUAACAUUCUCUUUUGGAUUCAAUGCUUGGGAGGGCAAUUUUCCAUUCAUUUGUGCUUCCAAUUUCCCCACACUUGAAGCAACUUUUGCCCCAUUUGCUUUUCCAAGUUGUGAAUACUUGACCUUGUUUCCUGUUGAAAAGACAUGACAUUUUGUUGCAAAGUAACAGUAUUAGAAGCCAAAGUUUUCAUCAUCUCACGAAGAUCAUCAUUGGGUGACGACCCCACAACAUUGGAGUUUGUGAAUGGAGGAGGUUGUCUUGCUUGAUAAUUCUGUUGGGAUUGAAAUCCAUGGGGAUGGAACUAUCGGCCUUGAUUGCCUUGUUGGGAUGGGUUGUCGUAGCGUAAGUUGGGAUGAUCUCUCCAUCCGGGAUUGUACGUGUUGGAAAAGGGAUCAUAUUUACGCUGGGGCUGUCCGUUGAAUGCUCCAUCAAUUGCAUAAGCUUGUUCAAUGUAGUCUUCUUGCAUUGUUGGGCACAUAUCCGAAGCAUGUCCUUGUAAGGAGCAUAUGCUACAAACUUUCACUUGCUGCACAUUUCCACAAGCCAAAGAACGCACAAGAGAAGUAAGAUCAUUAACUUUAUUUUCAAGGUUAGAAAUACUUACCUCAUUUACUCGUUUGUUGGAGAAGUCUCCACGAGUGCCAAAUUGUUUUGAGUUGGCUGCCAUGUUUGAGAUCAAUUGGCGUGCAGCCUCAGGUGUCUUAUCCACCAAUGCGCCUCCACUUGCAGCAUCAAUGAUACUACGGUCAGUGGGCAUCAAUCCUUCAUAGAAAUAUUGAAUGAGCAGCUGAUCGGGUAUUUGAUGAUGAGGACAUUGAAUGCAGAGUUGCUCAAAUCUUUCCCAAUAAUCAGAGAGUGUCUCUCCAUGAGAUUGCCGAAUCCCACAUAUUUCUUUCCUUAUGUUGGCAACUCGAGAUGCUGGGAAAUACUUCUCAAGGAAAAUCUUCUUCAUAGCAUUCCAAGUUCCAAUAGAUCUUGGGAGAAUAGAGAAAAGCCAUGCCUUUGCUGCCCCCUUCAAAGAGAAAGGGAAAGNNNNNNNNNNNNNNNNNNNNNNNNNNNNNNNNNNNNNNNNNNNNNNNNNNNNNNNNNNNNNNNNNNNNNNNNNNNNNNNNNNNNNNNNNNNNNNNNNNNNUGCAAGACCAUUAAAUGUUGGUAACAAAUGUAUAAAACCAGAUUUGAGCUCAAAGUUUACAUUAUUGUCAAUUUUUAUGCACAAUGGUUGAUUUUCCACGUUAGGAGCAGCAAGCUCCUUGAGUGUUUGUUGUCGUGCAAUAGCCAUGGUGUUGAGGCGAGCUUCCUUUCUUAACCUACGUAAAGUGCUUUCUAUUUCAAGAUCAACCUGCACUUGAAUUUGAUUAGUAGAACGGGUCACAGGCAUAAAUUGCUAAGAAAACUCAAAAGAAAGUAACCACACAAAAGAUCAAAAACAAUGCAAAUUGUACGAAAAUCCUACGGUAGAAAACUAAAACUGCCUAAAAACACUAGAAACCAGCGGAAUUUGGCCUCAAUAGGGUGGGGCUAGUGAUUUAUCACUAGUCCUGUUCAGAACGUCGUUUCCCUUCACAAAACAAAAGACCGAUACCUAAUUCCACAAAAAACUCUGUUUUGAACAGUACCGCUGCCGCAAGUGAACAGUACCGUCGCAAGCAAAAAUUUUGUUUCUCUUUUUUUUUUUUUUUGAAUCACAGCAAAUAAAAAUAACAGUACAAGCACAAGAAUCAACUAAAAUUACUUCCCCGGCAACGACGCCAAAAUUUGUUGCGAUGUCGCGAUCGCACAAAUUAAUUACCCUAGCUUCAAACACAACACACAAGAUAGUAUAGAGCAAGCAAGGGGUCGAUCCCACGAGGAAGUUUCAAGUCACAUUUUUAUGUUGUACGUUAUGUAAUUGGGGGGAUUUGGUUUGUGAUUAUCUAAACUAUGGCAGCAAUUAAACUAGCAAACAAAAUCAAUUAAAACCGAAACUUAUCAAGAAAACAAAUCUUGGUCGCAAGCACACAUCCACCAACGGAAAUUAGAAUCGAUCCUUGAAACGAAAAUUGCAGUUUAUGUUCUGAAAUUUUAUCUUUUCUUAACGUUGAUUAAUUAACGGAUCCGCCGUAUAACUAAUCUUAACCAACAAACAAUCAAAGUGUCCGCACUAAUGAUUCAAUUUAAUGGUAGCUUUAAGAACUAGAUAAUUUCAUCAAGAUUAACAUACAAGCUGUCCGCAGCUUGUGUCACUUUGUUCAAAUGUUCUCCCUAAGUUCAAUAACGUAGUUCUGCCACAAUUAUCAAGCUUAGUUGCUUCACAAGUUCAUAUAUCACAACUCCGGUUUUGAUAUUAAACUUAGCAAUAGAUUGUUCACAACAAUAACUUAGAGUCCGCUCUAGCAAUCAUCAACAACAAUCAUAGGAAAUAUGCAUAGGCAAACAAUCAUACUCAUUCAUAACAUAAACUGAAAAUAAAAGGAAGACNNNNNNNNNNNNNNNNNNNNNNNNNNNNNNNNNNNNNNNNNNNNNNNNNNNNNNNNNNNNNNNNNNNNNNNNNNNNNNNNNNNNNNNNNNNNNNNNNNNNGGAGUAAACAUGAAAUUGCGAUGACCCAUCACAUAUAUGCAAACAGAAGGCAUGGGAGUAGUCAGUUCCCCUUAUUAGCAUGCUGAACACAUCAUAUCCCAAGGAGCUAGCUAGUCGAUCUGCUGGAAUGUCACGUUUAUGCCUGUGAAGGCAUGGGACUGUUUUUUUUUCUUUCCUUAUUCAAUUCAGAAAAAAAUUGUUAUGAGAAGACAAUUGCCAUGAAAAUAUGAAAACUAAACAGUACUUUAACUUGGAUAUUCUUUCUGUUUUUCAUAGAUUAACUUAGAUUUGUUUUAAAGACUAGCAAUUGAUAAAGCUGGAUGGGUUUAACAUACUGUUUAUGUUUUUUAUUUUUCCAGCAAUAUGAAUGGCUUAUUGGAUCACAAUAUAAAUCAAUAGAGUUGGCUAAGUCUGAUUGGGUUGCAACAAGGAAAUCUCCACCUUGGGGCAUUGAUUAUUGGGGCUUUGGUAAGUCAAUUUUGCUCCAUUUUUUGAUGGUUGCUUAAUUAGAUUAUGCUUAAUUUGUCUGCUGGGCAUGCCUAUUGUAAUCUUUUCAAUUAAUUGGAACUCUGCUUUUCAUUGGGAUAAGAUUAUUCAUAUUUAAAUUUAUUGUCCUUGUAGAUCCUAGUUUUGGAGGUUUAUGUGAACAUGAUGCUGGGAUUAUAUUCAAUUAACUUUUCUGGGCAUAGUACUGUCUUUUUUAUUUCUGCUUUUACAUAUUGCUUCCUGAAGUUCAUGUUUUUGGUGUUUUUUCUCUUAAGAAGAAUAAUUAAUGCUUUUACAAUAAGCUGUGGGGGGGGAACAUUACAAGAGUAAAAAGAAUGCGGUAAGAGGUGAUAAGGACAUAUUUAAGGGCGGAAUCUUAUGGGGAAACUUUAUUUUUGCUAGUGGAGGGUGUGGUGACUGUUUAAGGAUUCCUUAAUUUGUCUGUAAAGUCGGGGUGUUUUGUAGCUUUGAGGUAAAAUUGGAUUUAUAAUUACGGGGAAAGAAAAUAAAAUUAUUGGUUGACAGCAAGCUGUUGCGCUGUGAAUGGAUGGUGGAGGAAUGAGGAGAUGUUUUGGACUGUCAUAAUGCUACAUUGAUUUAUUUAUUUAUUCUCCACUGUAAAGAUAUUUAUUUUCAAAUUAAGUUGUAUAUCAACUGGAAAGUAAAUCUCUUAUGUUACACGGGCCUCAUAUGACAUCAUCAUAAAUGAAAGUAUUGCUGUAAAUUAAAGCACAAACGUCAAUUGUUUUUCCUUCCAUUUCAUGUAGUAAUAAAUAAGAAUUGGAUUGAAUAAUUCCAAGAUAAAAGAGACCUAAAACAACGCUUUUUCCUGAGGUGAAGCAGUUUGCCAAGCAUCUAGGUUACAUAUUAUUCUUGCUUCUGAAAGAAAAAGUAGGAGUUUGAAUGCUUGUGAUGGAAGAAAUAAGACCAAACAAGAUUCUUGAUUUAUUGAUGCACAUGCAACAAUUAAUAGCACCAAUAUCUUUUGCUUUAUUUGUUGAGCCAUCAAAUGACACUAGCUGUGGGUGAAUAUUCAGUGUUUCAAUUAUAUUCACCAUCAUAAUUUCCUCAAGAUUGAGUAAUUCUCAUUUCUCAUAUAUGAUAUUCUCACCUUCAUCUUGUUUGCUGGUGGAAAAGGAAAGAAAUUUAACUGGGAGUUUCCCAAUUUUAUCCAUUGGAUGACCAAAACUAAGCCCCCCUUUGCCAGACAUUUCAGUGUCACUCCUAGUCUGAUGUACACAUUCUUUUCUAUGUUAAAAAUCUGUCUCGUCAGACCUGUAACCAAAAGAAUGUCUCGGCCAUUUCUUCUGUUGACAGACUAAAGCAUACAGAAGUUGUUUGGGCAUCAGACCUGUAACCACUCAAGUCUAACAAUAUAGAAAUAUAAAAGAACAAAAUUAGCUAACAAAAAUGUGAACAACAACCAGAUUGAUAACAGGGUCAGACUCUAUAAUUAGCAACCCCAAAUGGUAGAAUCAUCAAUGAACACUCCUGUGCGAAAUUAAUUGGUCAAAUGGAUAUCAGACAUCCACAUCAGACCUAGUAUAGGACUGCUUCAAAUAAAAAGUAAAACUGAACUUGAGUACUCCACAUAAAAUCAAAAGGGUAAACUGAAGAAAAAGGAAAAAAAAAAAAGUUCCCCAUUCAGGAGUUACUAACUAGUGAAGUUUUAUUGCAAGUAAUGAUUUCCCAUUUGAAAAGGAGAUGUCUGCUUUUUUCUCAUGCUAAAUUCCAACAGAUUCCAAUUAGCUAGCACAUAUCUGAAAGACCUUGUCUUCUGGAUCAUUUCAAGCUUUUUACACAAAGCAAGCAUCCGAUCCCUCUGUGCAUUUUAUUUCCCUUCAUGUCUUUCCACCCUCUCAGGCGCAUCCUUGGAAUCAAUUUAACUUGGAUUUGUUUUAAAGACUAGCAAUUGUUAUAACUUGAUGGGUGUAACAUAUUGUUUAUGUUUUUUAUUUUUCCAGCAAUAUGAAUGGCUUAUUGGAUCAUAAUAUAAUCCAAUAGAGUUGGCUGAAUCUGAUUGGGUUGUAAUAAGAAAACCUCCACCUUGUGCCAUUGAUUAUUUGGGCUUAGGUAAGUCUAUUUUGCUCCAUUUUUACAUGGUUGCUUAAUUAUAUCGUGCAUAAUUUUUUUUAUUGGGCAUGCCUAUUGUAAUCUUUUCAAGUAGUUGGAACUCUGCCUUUUAUUGGAACAAUAUUGAUAGUUUGUAUAAGAAAACUAAUUGAAUGAUUUUCUUUUAUUAAAUAUGAUAUUGAGUUUAUUUUGGAUGGAAAUUAUGAGACCAAAAUGAAACCUAGAGGUGGCUGAAUAAUAUAUCAAUUAAUUGCAAAUUUAAAUGUCGUGCUAUUUGUCAAGUCUUGAAACAUAUUGUGACGUUGAGAUUGAGAAGACAACAUUUCUCUUACGGUCUGCUCAUGUCAAUUAAUUAACAAUAAUAUUAUGCUCCAUACAUAUUAAGAGAAGAAAGAAGGCAACAAAUCUACUAGUACAUGAAAUUAACUAAUUUGGAUUGUGCUUAAAGAAUUUAUAAAACAAAUGUAUUUAUAUUUUCAUCCACCAGUAUUAUAAUUAUUAUCUAAUUAUUAUUUUACUACGACACAAAAGAUAGAUACAAUGUAUAUGAUAAGAGACAAAGAUACAAAUGUGAGUAACUAUUAUAACCCAUAAUAAAUUAUGUUUUUUUUUAUAUUGCAUUUUCAUCUUUUUAAAAAAAUAAAAAAAAUUCUUUAAUCUUGUAUUACCUCGCAUGUUUCUGAUUUCAUUUACCAUUUCUUAGUUGAGCAAAAAAAGAUCCGAAUAAAAAUAAAAAGUUUGAUGGAUCCAAUAAAAAUAAAAGGAUCCAAAUAAAAUAAAAAAAACUAUUUCAGGUGGUAACAAAAGUUAGAAGGACGAAUAAAAAAAAUGAACUCCAAAACUAUUAUAAAGAUAAAUUUAUUUAAUAUUUGUUCAACUAAAUAUAUUUUUUUUCUUUAUCCAUUCAUUCUGUAUAAAAUACUAACCGAACAUAAUCUAAAAAGUAUAUUUUUGUUACUAGUUAGAAAAUAUAAAUGACAAUAUGAGUGUGUGGGAAUUCCUCACACACUCAUAUUGUCACACUAAACAGCCCAUAUAAUUAAAAACUCAAUAAGAAAAAGUAGAAGAAAAACAGUUAUCCAUUUUUUAGCUUCAUAUAUGUUUGAGCUGGACAAAUAAUUAAAGUUUAUUCAUGUGGUACAUAUUUUAUUUUAAAGGAUUGUUUAAGUACUAGUAGUUAAAGAAGUAUGCUUAUUUCAAAAAAUGCUUAUUGGUGUUGUCAUGUUAAUUAGAUUAACAUGGAUGAUCGAUCGUGGAUGUAUCGUCGUUUUAUGGAUGGUCGCCUUCGUCCUGAAUACAUUACUGGUGUUAGAAGAUUUAUCAAUUUUGCAUUUUCAAUUGAUAAAAAUAUAUCUGGGGGAAAAAUUAGAUGUCCUUGUGUGAGGUGCAAAAAUCAAAAGUUUUUAAAGGAAGAUGAUGUUUGUAAACAUCUAUUGACAAAAGGUUUUUUACCUUGUUAUGAAAAUUGGACUGUACAUGGGGAGCCUUAUGUCGCAGAACCAAUAUUGGCUGGACCUUCAUCGAUUAUAAUGAGUCAUGAUGUGAAUGAUGUUUGUCUAGAGAAUCCAUAUAGGAAUCUGGUUAUGGAUGCAAUGGGGGUUGGUGAUGCAUUCUAUAAUGAUAAUGUGUCUAGUCCUAUGGUAGCAGGGGAAAUUCCAAAUCCGGAGGCAACUAAAUUUUUUAAGCUUUUGAAAGCUGCGGAGGAGCCGUUGUGGGAUGGGUGUACCAAGCAAUCCAAAUUAUCUGCUUGUGUACAAUUGCUUAAUAUGAAGUCAACUUUAAAUUUGACUCAGAAUGCCUUCAACAAUUUUAUUGACUUUACAAAAAGUUGCAUGCCUAAUGAUGAAAAUUUGGUUUCAAAUUUUUAUGAUGCCAAGAAAUUUAUGCGGCCACUUGGACUUGGUUAUGAGAAAUAUGAUGUGUGUCCUAAUUACUGUAUGUUGUACUAUGGGGCAGAUGCAAUGAAAAUAAAUUGUGAUUUUUGUGGAAGUUCACGAUACAAACCUAGAAAUCCAACUAGUAAAGGUUCCAAUAAGGCGGAGAAGCAACUCCGAUACUUUCCUCUAACACCAAGGCUUCAGAGACUAUUCAUGUCUCCAUAUCAUGCUAAAGAUAUGACAUGGCAUCAUUUUCAUAAGUCUGAUAAUGGGGUUAUGGUGCACCCAUCUGAUGGGGAGGCAUGGAAGGAGUUUAAUCGUGUCCACUUAAGCUUUGCAUCAGAUCCGAGAAAUAUUCGGUUAGGGUUGUGCACUGAUGGGUUUUGUCCAUUUGACAUGUCUUCAAAUACAUACUCUUGUUGGCCAGUAAUUGUGACUGUUUAUAAUUUGCCUCCGUGGAAGUGCAUGACUAGACCAUUCAUGUUUUUGACAAUGAUGAUUCCUGGGCCAAAGAAUCCGGGUAAAAAGCUUGAUGUUUUUCUAAGACCUUUGAUUGAUGAGUUAAAGAAUUUGUGGUUUUUUGGUGUUGAAACAUAUGAUGUAUACAGAAAGGAAAAUUUUCAAUUAAGGGCAGCUUUGAUGUGGACCAUUAGUGACUUUCCAGCAUAUGGCAUGUUAUCGGGGUGGAGUACUCAUGGAAAUUUGUCUUGUCCUUAUUGUAUGGAGCAUAACAAGGCUUUUAGAUUAAAAAAUAGGGAGAAAACUACAUUUUUUGAUUGUCAUCGACAAUUCCUACCCAUGAACCACCCAUAUAGAUUUCAAUCUGAUAAGUUUUUGAAAGGAGUAAUUGAAAGGCUUCCUCCUUUACCUCAUCCAUUUGGUUUGGAAAUGUUAAACGAAGUGUCCAAGUAUACUGAGGGACAUAAUGGAGGUUCAUCAUAUAAUGAUAAAAUUCCUGGCUUUGGUGUUAAGCACAAUUGGGUGAAGAAGAGCAUUUUCUGGGAGCUUCCAUAUUGGUAUACAAAUUUGAUUCGUCAUAAUCUUGAUGUCAUGCAUAUUGAGAAAAAUAUCUUUGACAAUAUUUUUUAUACAGUAAUGGAUUGUCCGAAUAGAAGCAAGGACAAUUUAAAGGCUAGGUUGGAUAUUCAAUUGUAUUGUCAGAAGCCAAAUUUACAUUUGCAACAAGAUAUGAGUGGUCGGCUUUACAAACCUAAAGGCACUUAUUGUCUACACAAGAAGCAACAACAAGAAGUUUUGUCAUGGAUGAAGGAAUUAUCAUUUCCUAAUGGUUAUGCUUCAAGCAUUUCACGAUGUGUGAAAGAGGCACAAUGUAAGGUUUCGGGGAUGAAGAUCCAUGAUUGUCAUGUCUUCAUUCAAAGACUUCUUCCAACCGCUUUCUGACCUUACUUACCUAGGCCACUGUGGGAGGCAUUAACUGAACUGUCUGUAUUUUUUCGAGAUAUUUGUUCAACAAAUUUAAAUGCCCAGCACAUGGAGUUAAUACAGAUGAAUAUAAUUGAAAUAAUUUGCAAACUUGAAAGGAUUUUUCCUCCAUCCUUCUUUGACUCCAUGGAACACUUGACGAUACAUCUACCUUACGAGGCAAAAGUUGGUGGACCAGUUCAAUAUCGAUGGAUGUAUCCAUUUGAACGAUAUGUUUUCAUACUAUGUUAAUUUUAUUCACUUUUUAUUUUUUUAAAAUAAACUAAUUGACAGAAAUGAUAUAGGUAUAUGUUUUAUUUGAAGAAGAAAGUGACCAAUAAAGCUAAAGUUGAGGGUUCCAUAUGUGAAGCAUACUUGAUUGAUGAAAUUACCAAUUUUGCAUCUCAUUAUUUUGGUGAUGACUUGCAAAAAAAUUGGAAUCGAGUUCCACGGAAUGAUUAUGGUGGCCUUAGAAGUGUAGAUGGAUGUCUCUCUAUUUUUUCCUAUACAGCGGAAAAAAUUAUCCAAAAGAUUUUAUAGAAGGCAGUUGUCACAUGCUGAAAUGCAAAUUGCGCAUAACUAUGUGAUAUUCAAUUGUCAAGAACUGAAGCCUUAUUUAGAGUAAGUAUGAAAUAUUAUUUUGUACUAAAUUUAUAAUAAUUUAUUAUUAACUUUAACAUUUUAAAAUUUUAGGCAAUGUCGACAAGAGCUAAAGUCACAACAACCACAUGCGAGUGAUGGUGAAAUUGAAAAAUUAUGCGAAGCGAUCUUUCCAAAUUGGUUAAAAAAUAAUGUAAGUAUUUUAAUAAAAUUAAUUUAUAUUUUAUGUCAAUUAGCUACUUUAAAAAUAUUAUUAAUCUCUUUUAAAUCAUUAUUUCUUAUGGAGUUAACUAUUAUGCUAGGUGGAAUACCAAUCUAACGGAAUUGAAAAUCAACUCUUUGGACUUGCUAUUGGCCCUUCAACUUCAGUGAAAUGUUAUAAUGGGUAUUAUGUGAAUGAUUUUAAAUUUCAUACUCAACGUUAUUGCCGUUUUAAAAAGACAAUGAAUAGUGGAGUUUGUGUGAAAGGAAGUUGCUAUGAUGAUAAUGAAUGUGAUUAUUAUGGAAUGCUUAAAGAAGUUGUUCGGCUAAAAUACUUGGGGAGUAAGUGCAAGUUAUUUAUGUUUAAAUGUAAUUGGUAUGAUACAAAACGAGGGAUUAGAGUGCAUCCUUCGAAUGGUUUGGUUGAAAUCAAGCAUACAUCUCGACUACACGGAAAUGAAGAUUUUGUGUUAGCACAACAAUGUCAACAAGUCUACUAUACAUAUCCACCUGGUAAUAAAUCAUCUGAAUGGUGGACGAUUAUUAAGACAACCGCUAGAAGUCAUUAUAAUGUUGACAUGGGUGAAUUUAUUGAAGAUGCCAACAAUGUGAGAUCAUUUGAUGUUGAUCAAUCAGAUGAGAUUUCUCAACCAUGUCGUGUCCUUCCUACUCAAACACUUGAUGAUCCAAAUAUACUUGUUGAAUCAUCUUAUUAUGAAGAAAUCAAGCAACAUGAAUUGAUUCAACUUGACAUGAAUUGGGGAAACAAAGAUGAUGAAGAUGAUGAAGAAGAAGAAGAUGGUGAUGGUGAUGGUGAUGGUGAAGAAGAAGAAGAUGAUGAUGAUGAGGAUGAAUGUUAUGGUGGUGAUGGUUAGGAAUGAUGAUAAUAAUGAGUAGCACAAGUUAAUUAUAUUUUGUAGUAUAUGUAAUGAAUUAUCUUUAUUAUAUGUAUGAAUGAUUUCAUAUUAUUUGACAAUAUUUAGGCUUUCAAUGUUUUUUUUAUUAUUUUAUUCAAGUGUGUGUUAUGCAUCACAUUACAUAAAUCAUUUUCAUUCACCUUUGAAACCAUUUAUAACCUUUCAAGUAUCAAUCUUUAAAUUGUGAUUCUGAUGUUAUAUUUUAUUUUGUGAUUCGUUUUCUUGCUUAUAGAUGCUGAAGCGUGAAAGAAAGGGUUCUUCCAACUCAAUGUUUUGAUUUAUAGGACCAAACAUUAAGGUAAGCAUACUCAUAAAUUUUGAUUUCUGCUUAAUUAAUUAUUUAGAUUUUUAUUUUUAUUAUUGUUUGUGUUAAUUGGCUUUUGACAAUUUAAACUUCAUGGCUGAGUUUUGUCAUUGCAAGGAAUGCUUAAUGAAAUUGUCUUGAUGUUAUUUAUAUAUUUGGUUUUGUUACAGUAAUUAUUUUAUUUGAAGUAUAAUAUUUUUCGGAGUGAUGACUAUUAAGUGGACAAUCCAUACUGAUUUUGAACAUCAUAAACUAGAAAUUUUUUGUAAUGAAUUGGGGAAAAAAUGAGAUUUAACAGUUUGUUUUCAUUCUAGUUAUGGCAGUCUUGGGAAAAUAUCUGUGAAUUUUUUAUUCCUGAUAGUUUAACUAUGAGCUAAUUUAUUGUUAUGUUGUAUAUAUUCAUAUUAAAUGUUAGUUAUUUUUUUCUGGUUUUUAGCAUGCCUCGACGAGGAUCCAUAUUAGAUUCUAGGAGUGACAGGUCCACAUCAAGGAGUGACAGGUCCACUUCAUCCAAGUCAUUUCAAACUACAUCAAGGCAUAAUAACAAAGGAUCCACAUUUCAUCAACCUGUGUAUCAGAACGCAAAUGAGUAUUAUAUACCUACUUUGGGGAGUACACAUCCUCCUCAACAUGAUUAUGGGAGGGUUGAUGCAUAUCAAUAUUGUGAGGGCUUUCGUUUUCAAGAUUUGCUUCAAACUCAAGGAGGUUUCUCUCGAGAUAACCAACUUGUUUAUGGAGGACAUAAUUUAUAUGGGAGUUAUGGGAGAGUUGAUGGUAAUGAUGAUGAUGUAAACAUUAGAAAUGAAGAUGAGGGAGACGGUAGUAAUGAGAGAGGUGUAUGUGAUGAGAGAGAUGUAUGUGAUGAGGAUCAAGAUGGUGUUCCAUCAUAUCACGGUUCAACAUCUUCUCCAUACAAUUAUGAUCAAAGUGUUAAAAGGAAAGGUUUUGACACGCCAAUAGAUCCAAUAACAAGAAAAAAAGAGCUUUGUUUGUAUGGAACAACAGAGUAAGUUCAAACUUUUAAUAACUAACUUAUUAAGGUUAUAUUUUAAAGUAUGAAAAAAAUUACUUAUUAUUGUGUAAUUAUUUGUUUAAUAUAAGUUUGUUAUUAUAUAUUUUCAGGUUCAAUAACGCAUCGUGUGGCCGUGCAAUCAGAGAUAUUUUGAGGUCCAAUUUUAAGGGAGCAUGGCACUCUUGGGAAAAAGUUGAUCCAAUGUGCAGGGAUGAACUCUUUAAAGAGUUUAAGGUAAAAACCAACACUAAUUGCCAUAAUAUUCUUUUCAAUUUUGAUCACUUUAAUGUAGAAUUAUGAAAAUUAUCAACUGAAUAGCUAUAACUGAUUUGUGUUAUAAUUUGUUCUUAUUUCUUGUUUACUCUUUAAUAUCAUUUAAUUUCUUUAGUUAUUACAUCAUCUUGCAAAUUCUGAACAAGAUAACACAAUAUGAUUAAUUAUUUAUAUAAUUUGAAAUUUUGUGCACUCUUUUUACUUGGUAUAUAUAUUAUUUGGUAGAAAAAAUAUUCCUUUCCUGAGGAAGAUGAGUCGAUUGUUUGUAAUAUUUGGGAAGAUAAGGCUAGGAUAGCUUUGAAUCAACAAUUGACACGAGCUUGCAAGAAAGCCAUGUCAAAAGAAAACACUACAAAUAUUAUAGAUUGUCUUGAUAAAGGUCCUGCCUGGAUAAACAAUGAUAACUGGAAUCAAAUGAUCAAAGAUGUUUGGUCCACCCCUGAAUUUCAAAGGAGAUCUGAAUCUGCUAGGAGGAAUCAAUUAACCAAAACAGAUGGCAAAAUAAGCACUCAUUCUGGAGGAACAGUGUCAUUUGCAUCAUAUCGAGCUAACAUGGUAAGGAUUUUUUUUUUUAUGCUUAAGAUAAUAAAUUAAAAUUUAUAUAUUUAUCUUUUAUAAUAUUUAUUAAUCUUGAAAGCAAGAGGAAGCUGGUGGAAAAGAACCUCUAUGGGAUGAUGUCUUUUCAGCUUUGCAUCAAAGUACUAAGCAAUCUGGUAGCUUCGUCGACAACAAGUCUAAAAAAGUGGUUGUAUGUAUUUUUAUUUGAUUAUUUCUUAAUAUAACUUAAGUAUUAUUCAACAUUCAAAUUAAUUUAUUGUUGCAUGUAUUUUAUUUGUAGGAAAAUUAUAAAAUGGAGAUGAUUUCAAAGUAUGGAACUGAUCGGGAAAAUCAUCCUUCAUUUGAUGGAGCAGCUUGGUGUGUGGCUUCAGGAGGAGUUACAAAGGGUAGGGUAUAUGGUGCACCUCAUAUGCCAAAAUCAAAAGUUAGUACAAGCUCUUCAUCACAUUCCUACUCGGUGGAGUCAUCAUAUCCCAGUUCAUCGUAUCGAGCAUUGCAAAAGGAGAUAAAGGAUAAAGAAGAGGAGAUAAAGAAAAAAGAUGAUUUUAUUCUUGAAAUGAAACGGCAGAUGGAUUCCAUGAAAGAAUAUCUUGUGAACAAUCUUGGAUACCAUGGUGGGACAUCAAAUAUUGAUCAAGGUAUGCCACCACCUUUGACUCCAUCAAUACCGCCACCUAUGGCUCCUCAGAUAAUGACACCUAUGGGUCCCGCAUCUCAACCAAUUUUUCGACCUAUACCUCGACCUUUAUAUCCUGAUCAAUCUUGUGUUGAUCCACAAUAUCAUGGUUCGUCUUCGCAACCAGCACCAUGAUUGUAUCUUUUGUUGUUUUUUUUUAUUGUAUUUGAACUUAAUUGUAUUAAUGCAAAUUUAACUAAAAUUUUUUAAUAUGAAUAUUUUUUUUUAAUUAAUGAUAUAAUUAUUUUUAAUAUUAAUUAAUUUAUGGUGGUUAUAUAUAUUCUACAACUUUUAAAAUAUCCAUAAAUAAUUAAAUAAAUAAAUUAAAAGUCAUUUUAAUAAAUAAAUAAAAAUUAAUUUAAUAAAAACAAAUGCAAUCACCAACGGAUUCUCCGUUGGUGAUUGCAACUGAUGCAUGAAUCAGCAACGGAGAAUCCGUUGCUGAUUCACAAAACUAGCAACGGAUUUAUCCGUUGCUAAAAUGAGCAACGGAUUAUCUGUUGCUGCCAAAUCAGCAAUGGAUAAAUCCGUUACUAAAAAAUCAGCAAUGACAAAUCUGCAUCCGAUUUUUGCCGUUGCUGAUUCCGUUGCUAAAUUGUUUUAGCAACGGAUUUUAGUAUUAUUUGCAACGGAAUAGUCCGUUGCUAAUUACUCCAUUUUUUAGUAGUGUCAGGCUCUGAGUUUGCUCCCCAGAGAUCACCAGUUCGAGUCCCACAAACCUUAGGGCCACUUAAGACUUACAUGAUCGUUAACUUCAGGGCCCGUGAGAUUUAUCGAGAUGCAUGCAAACUAACACGGACACCUACGUUAAUCUAAAAAAAAAAGGAAAAGAAAUGCAUUUGGCACAUUUAAUGAUUCAAAUGCUCAUAUGAAUGGAAUAUAAAAAAAAAUGAUGUAGGAUAAAGCUAAGCCUAAAAAGAGAUAUAAUUACAUAGAAUAAGUAGUCGAACAAAAAAGCUUGUAAUUUUUUAUCUAAAUGUAGAAUUGGACUCAAAUUUGACUAGAAGGAUUUAUAUGCCUAAUUCUAUAAUAAGGCCUUCAAAUUACACUCAAAAGAUGUUUUUUGAUUCAGUUAAAUCGGAGCCGUACAUACACAUUGAACUUCUUGAAAUAAUUAGAUUUUAGUGUAUAUAUAUACAAUUGAUUUUUAUUAAAAAGUUUCCAAAUUUUGUCACACAACAUCUCAAAAAUCCGAAAGUCACAUUCCAUCUUCCUCCCACUAUGUUUCUUUUGAAAAGAUGCUUUUGAGCCUGUUGGAAUUGGAUGGGAUGUGCUUUUUUGAAGGAUUUUUUUUUUAGAACAAGGAAUUAUAUAGUUUAAAGGUUUGGAGAACAUUUUUUUUUCUUUUGAAAGAAUCAAAUUUGUAAAUUCACAAGUAUUCACAAAGAAAAGAAUUACAGUUCUGAUGCAUCAUAUGCUACAAAGUGCAAACAACACAAGAUAAAUGGCAACUCGUACUCUCAACUAAGAAGUAUCAUUGAAACAUUUUCCAAGCUAAGCUCAUACCAAGUAUUUUGAGCUAACUCAUAGUGGCUGUACCUUUGAAACUCGGAAGCCCCCACUGUAAUCAAAUGCAUCCUUGAUAUAAAUGCUCGAUAUUUAGCAGUUCCCUUGCUUACAUCAUCGUAGUUAUUUAAAAUUAACAAAUACAAAUAAAAAUACUUAUAGAAAAAUUCUAUAGAUAAAUUGUGAUGAUUUUUACCGGCAGAAUUUUCCAUCCCUAUAUCCAUUGGUAGACGCUGACAGAAAGAUUUUCUUGGCAUAUUUCAAGAAAAUAAUUGAGGGUAUUGCAGUGGGAUUCAAAAAAACAAAUCAUAUGAUGACAUGACAUUUUUACCAAUAAAAUUACUGACGAAAUAAUUCUAUCUGUAAUGACAUUGAUAAUAUUUAAUUUAUGACCUGACAAUCGACCCUCCUCUCCCUCUCUCCAAUUUUUCCUUCUUCCUUAUGAAUUUUUUUAGCUAACGUAGUUAAUUAAUACAUGUUGUCAUCAUUAUUUUAAAUAAUUACUUUGCAUGUUGUCAUCAUUAUUCACCCUAAGGGUUGCAGAUGAUGGAUUAUUGUAAUGAGAUUCAGGGUUUUAUUAAUUAUACACUAUCUAAUCUGAGAAAUAUUAGUGAAAUGGGUAUUAAAUGUUCAUGGAAAAGGUAUAAAAAUAAUUUUUUUCUCGAUUCAUAUGUUGUAACAAUGCAUCUUUAACAAAAAGGAUUCAUGGAGAAAUACUUGUAUUGGUAUGCAUACGGAGAACCAUAUGUUCCACACGAUACCAUGGUAGAAAGGAUGAUUGGGUCAACUUCUACUUCUAGCAACGUGCAUGGAGUUGUAGAUGACAAUAGUAAUCUUUAUAGGAAUAUGGUUAUAGAUGCAAUGGGAAUGAAUCACGAUCAUGCUAGUCAAUGUCUAAUCGUAAAUGAAGAACUUAAUGCAGAUACGAGUAGGUUUUUUAUGUUUUAAAAGAUUUUGACGAACCAUUAUGGGAUGGCUACAUAAAUCACUGUAAAUUAUUGGUCGUUGCACAGGUGUUCAACAUCAAAUGAGAUCAUAGGUUGAGUGAUGCCGGUUAUGAUAGAAUUUUUGAAUAGCCGAGAAGCAUUUUACUUGAAGGGAACAGGCUGAAAGAGAAUUUCUAUGUUGUUAUGUCCAUGAUGAAACUCCUUGGUCUAGGAUACCAGAAAAUUGACAUGUAUUCAAACUUUUGCAAGUUGUACUACCUUGAAAAUGCAGAGGUGGCCGAGUGUAGGACAUGUGGGCAUUCUCGUUGUAAACUCAUGACUGGCAGGGGAAGGACUCUUGUCACACAUAAAAGAAUUAGAUAUUUUCCAAUCACACCUAGAUUACAGAGGUUAUUCAUGUCACCAAAGACUGCUGAGCACAUGACAUGGCACCAAUCACAUGAUGCGGUGGAUGGAGUGAUGGUGCACCCUUUCGAUGGUGAAGCCUGGAAACACUUUAACAAUAUGCAUCCUUAUUUUUUAGUGGAGAUAAGGAACGUGCAUCUUGGGUUAUGUAUAGACAAAUUCAAUCCAUUCGGGUCAUUUCCUGCUCCUUAUUCUUGUUGACCGGUGAUACUCAUAGUUUACAACUUGCCAUUAGGGAUGUGUAUAAGGCCGGAGUUCAUGUUUUUAUCUACGAUCAUACCUGGUCCUAAUAGUCCAGGUCGGAAUAUAGAUGUUUGUCUUCAACCGUUGAUUGAUGAGUUGAAGUAGUUGUGGUCAUCCGGGGCUUUGACUUAUAAUGUAUGAAGGAAACAAAAUUUUAUGUUGAAGGCAACUUUGAUGUGGACUAUCAAUGAUUUUCUAGUUUAUGGAAUAGUUUCCAGUUAGAGCACGCAUGAAAAACUAGCAUGCCCAUACUAUAUGGAAAAUAACAAGGCAUUCACACUAAUAAACGGCCUUAAAGUGCUUUUUUUACUAUCACCGUCGGUUCUUGCCAACAGAUUGCAAGUUCAAAAAGAACAUAAAGGACUUCUUAGUUGGUAUGGUUGAAAGGGAUGUUGCACAACCACUUCUUUCAAGUGAAAAAUUGUAUAAUGUGGUAUCAGAGUACGGUGACAUUGUGUUUGGUUUUCAAUCCGGUAAGCAGAAGUUUCUUGGUUUUUGUUUGACCCACAAUUGGGUAAAGCGAAGUAUUUUCUGGGAGCUUCCUUAUUGAAAGACCAAUCUCCUCUGCCAUAACCUUAAUGUCAUGCACAUGGAAUAGAACGUGUUUGAGAACAUUUUUAACACGAUUAUGGAGGUGAAGAGAAAGACAAAGGACAACAUCAAGGCUAUAAUGGAUAUAGCUUUGUUUUGUCACCGUAAAAAUAUGGAGUUAGUUUAUGUUGGGUCACGGGUCGCAAAGCCCAAAGUCAGCUUCACCUUAGACAAGAAUGCAUAGUUUCUUGUUUUAUCAAUGGCUUAAAAGUCUGCGUUUUCCUGAUGGACAUGCCUCAAACAUAUCAAGGUUGGUGAAUUUGAAGGAUUGCAGAUUGUAUGGAAUGAAGAGCCAUAAUUGUCAUGUAUUUAUGCAAACACCCAUUUCAUUAACUUACCGGGAUUUAUUGUUGAAAGGGAUAUGGGAUGCACUCGUGGAGAUUAGUCACUUCUUUAGAGAUAUAUGCUCCAACAAGUUGCAGACACAAAACAUAAAGAGAUUUAAAAUGAAUAUCGUCCAAAUAAUAUGCAAACUUAAGAUGAUAUUCCCUCUAACAUUUUUCGACUUAAUAAAGCAUCUACCCAUACAUUUACUGUUUGAGGCAAAAGUUGGACGCCCAGUACAAUAUAGAUGGAUGUAUCCAUUUGAGAGGUUAGGGUUAACACAUGCAUCAUAAUUAAAAAUUUAUUAUCUUCCUUUGCUUAUUUCAAAACAUUCAUUUAAUUUCAUGCAGGUACUUGUUCAACCUUAAGAGAAAAGCAAAAAACAAGGCAUAUGUUGAGGCUUCGAUAUGUGAGGCCUAUAUUGUUGAAGAGAUCUCAACAUUUAUCUCGUACUAUUUCGAGCCUUAAUUGAGAACAAAAAUCAAUUGUAUUUCAAAGUAUGACAAUGGUAGGGAUGUGCCUUCGAGUAGGAACUUGUUAAUUGAUGAAGUAGAAGAGAACUCUGAUGAAUUUGCGCAACACAAAUGUGUAAUGUCAUAAGCUAUAAUGUAAUAUUUAUGGACGAGAUUCACUUCAAUGUAAUAACAAUGAUGUUAAUUUAUUAUUGAAAGACAAGAAAAUAUUUAUUUUCUUAUUGUGAUGUGAACUAGUGUUAUUGUGUUGUAUGUGCAGCUAUGAAUUUAAGUAUUUGUAGGAUGGAUAAAUAAGGAAUACAUAUGCAAUUUAGCAUCAGACACCGUUUUACACUGAUAAAAAUACUGACAUACUAUACAUUUCAUAUAGGUAUAUCGACAGAAUGUAUUUGUUGAUAUAUUCUAGAAACCAUAGGAAUUGUUCCCCUUCACCCUAGCACUGUUCAUGGUGUUUAUUACAUACAGGUUUAGCGACAGAAUGUGUUUGUCGGUAUAUUUCAGAGACCAUGAGAACUAUGCCCCUUCACCAUGACACUAUUCACGGUGUUCAUUACAUACAGGUAUAUCGACGAAAUGUGUUCGAUGGUAUAUUCCAGAGACCAUGGGAAUUGUUCACCUUCACCCUGACAUUGUUAAUGAUGUUCAUUACAUGCAGGUAUACUGAAAAAAUGUGUUCAACGAUAUAUUUCAGAGACUAUGGGAAUUGUGCCCCUACAACCUGACACAAUUCACGGUAUUCAUUACAUAUGGGUAUACUGACAGAAUGUGUCUGUCGAUAUAUUCCAGGGACCAUGGAAACUAAUUCACUUCUCAAUGCGAAAAUAAUUAAUGAUGUUUUUACUGUUCACUUUUUUUCCUAAUAGAAUCACCGACGGAAUGAAAAGUCAUCGAUAAUAUAUGGAGGGGCUUUCUAAAACUUUUCGCACAAGUUGAGAAUUUCCAUUUGACUUUAUAUUAUCGAUUAGGGCUUUCUAAAAAUAUUAAUAUUUAAUUUCAUGUCGGUAAAAACUAAAAUAAAAGACCUGAAUCAUGAUAGAUUAGGGCUUCAUCUUCUUCUCUCUUUCUCUUCUCUCUCUCCUUCUCACCUUAGAUCAAGCAUUCUCUUUUCUUCACAUCCUAAGUAUGUUGUAUUUCUUCAUUUUUCUUCUUUUGUUUCUUUUUUUUUUGGUUUAUUAACAAUGUAUUUUUUUAUUGUUUUUUUUUAAUUAAGAGCUUACAUAAAGCACGUCAUUAAGGUAAUAAUUUUUCAUUCCUUUUUCUUUCUUUUUGGUGCUUCUUUUCAUUAUGUUUUUUCAAAUUUGUUGUUCUUAAUUAAGAGCUGAAAUAGAGCAUUAUUUUUGUUCAAUUUUGUUUUCUUAAUAAUUUUAUUAAUUAAUAAAUGACAUGACUAUUAGUUGUUAUUGAAAUAAUUUUUGCAUUAUUUUAUUGAAAUUUAGUUAUUUUUUUAAAUUUGUUGUUCAAUUUCAAUUAAAUGUGUAGAAAUUAUUUUAAAUACUAUUUUGUAUUUAUUCCAUUUAGAAUAAAUUUUUAUAAAUUUAGGAUUAAAAAUAUUAUCACUUAGAAAUAAUUGUGUUUAAUUUUAGGUGUUAUUGUAAUAUAUUUUGCAUUAUUUUUUUGAAUUUUAGUUGUUGUUUUUUCAAUUUUGUUUUUCAUUUUCAAUUAAAUGUGUAGGAUUAAUUUUAAUUAUUAUUUUGAAUUUUUUAAAAUUUAAAAUAAUUUUUUGUAAAUUUAUGAUUUAAAAUAUUAUCACGUAGAAAAUGAAAAUUUUCUAUGAAAUUGAAUUAUGCUAAAUUGUUAGAAGAAAUUGAAUAAAAUCAACUGAUUUGUAGCAUAUAUAUUAUGUAUUUCCAAGUUUAAAAAAUUUAGGUAGUCUCCCAUAUAGGGUAGAUGUUUCCAAAAAAUUUUAAAAAAUAGGAAUCUUUUAAAAAAAUUUAUCCAUUAAUUUGUGUAGAUGUCUAGGGGAAAGUCUAUUACAUGUUGAGAGGACACAAUCGCUGGUAGUUCCUCUAGAAGUGAUGGUGACGAUCAUGAGUCAUUAGGAGCCGACCAAGAACAGGCACUUGAGGCACACACAUCGACUCAUGAUGAGGGCUCCUCGAGUGUGAUGCACAACAUCAAGGGGGGUCUCUUCAUAGCAGGAUCCAUUUACCCGCAAGUACGAGGCUAGAGAAAGGACGACCUUUCAAUAUAAAUUUGUUUUGCUUUCAUAACGACAUGUUUAAUAAUUUUUUUUAAAAAUAAUAUCAUUUAACGAAUGCAAUUUCAAGUUUACAAAUAUUGAGGUUGCUAGAACAAUCGCUGGUAGUUCUUCUAGAAGUGAUGGUGACGACCAUGAGUCAUUAGGAGCCGACCAAGAACAGGCACUUGAGGCACACACAUCGACUCAUGAUGAGGGCUCCUCGAGUGUGAUGCACAACAUCAAGGGGGGUCUCUUCAUAGCAGGAUCCAUUUACCCGCAAGUACGAGGCUAGAGAAAGGACGACCUUUCAAUAUAAAUUUGUUUUGCUUUCAUAACGACAUGUUUAAUAAUUUUUUUAAAAAAUAAUAUCAUUUAACGAAUGCAAUUUCAAGUUUACAAAUAUUGAGGUUGCUAGAACAAUAAUAUUGGCCUUUAAAUCGUCGAUGGAAAUUCAAUUAUUUCAAUGAAGACAAGUUUCCAAACAUCCUGAAUAGAAACCGCAGGUUGAUGUAUGGUUUUCAAGGUUCAAAGUUAGUAUUAGUUUAAAUAUUUUUUAAUGUUAAUUUGAACCAUAUAUUGAAAUUCUUGAAAUUUUCCUUUUAUAAAUUUUUACUUCAGAGGAAAUUUUGAAUGGGAGAGAGUUGAUGAUAAUUUUGCGAGGAGGGUUUCAAAGAAUCACGCUACAAUUAGAUAAAAUCGAAUUCAGGAUAAAUUUUUUUCUCAAAUAUUAAAAUUUUAUUUUUCAUUUGCUAACAGAUAAGUAAUUUGUACCAUAUAGAUUGCGUGAUUUUUUGUACGAGGCGCAAAAGAAAUCCAAAAAAUAUGCAAAAGAAAGAGAGCUUCUAAGUUGGAAUAAUAUGGCGGUUUGGAAGGAUUUCAAAUCGCCAUAUGUCUUAGAGGCUGUAUGGGUGGUAUACAUUCAGCACAUGAUGUCCGCGCAUUUCACUCGACGGUCAUAGUCCGAUAUGGAUAACCAGAACCGGCAUGUUCAUGGUUUUGUUGUCACGCACACCGGUGGCUCAAUUCCAUUCGUUUCACAUGCGAAGUGGAUGGUAGGAUUUUUUUUUAACAUCCAUUUUUUAUUGGUUGUUUUUUUAUAAAUAUGCUUAACUGAAAACAUUUUUUAUUGUAGGCUAUGAUUCUUAGACUCGAGCCAAGCCCAAUGGAGUUUUUUGUUGAAACCCAUGUGUAAGUUAUUAUUUCCUUGAAUUUGAUGAAUUUAUUUUUUCUUUCCAUGAUACAUAUAACAACAGUUGAAGGAGAGAUACGGGGACGAUCCUUUGACCCAUCUAGAUAUCGAUCUGGAUUUGUGGUUGAAGGCAAGAUCAUCGUGGACCCGAUAGAAAUUGUGUGUACGGACUCUCUAACACUAUAGCUAAACUUGCAGACAACCCAUAGUGCUUUGACAGUUGGAUGCAAUCGAUUCUGAGCAUUCAGACUCUUGAUUUCACAGUGAUAUUAGACCAACGGGUACAGGAUCGAACAACCGAUCUUAAUGAUAAAUAUGAACGACUCGCUACUGAUUAUAAAGAACUCUGUUUAUUGGUAAUGGAGAUGAGAUCAUAUAUGAGUGGUUCAUAUGCAACCCCUAAUUGGCCCUACGGUUCCUGCGACCAUCAACCUUCUCCUCCAGCGUCGCCUCUAUUUUAGAUUUAUUGUAUUUGAAUGUACAAAUGUUUAAAUUUGUAAUAAAUAUUUUAUUUUUAUACUAAUUGAUUUUAUUUUAAUUAUUUUUCUACUUUUUUUCAAUAUUUGUUUUAAGAAAAUAUUUUUAAAAUAUUACUGACGGGGUUACCAACAACACAACUCUGUCAGUAUAUUCUAGAGGGUUGAAAAAAAAUUACUACAAAUGCCACUAUUACUGAUGGGGUUACUGACAGAACUAGAUUGUCGAUAUAUUCCAGAGAGGUGAAAAAGAAUUACUGCAUAUAUCACUGCUACUAUUAACGCACCGAUGAAAUUACAGAAGGUAUUCUGUCGGUGAUAUGUUAUAUUUACCGAUGGAUAUACUGACAGAAUAAAGCGGAUAAAUUUGUUUUUGGCGUGCUGUAUCAAUUUGUAAAUCCAUUGGUAUAUUUAUUGUUGACGGACUUAACAACAGUCCAUAAAUUACCAACAUGAGUUUUUCCAAAUGACUGUUUAUGUCUAAGACUCUGUUAGUAACAUAUGUAAACACCAAAAGAAAUUUCUAUCACACUAAAACUGUUAAGUCUGAAAGUCGUUUGCUAGUCAUUUAAAUUCACAUAAAUAAAUUCUGGUCAGUCAAGAGAUAAGAGGCAAAGAAAACUCCAAAAAAUAUUUGAACUCACUCGUGGAAAGAAUGCUUCCGUCAGUCACCAGCUUGACCCAUAAAGAUAUCAGAAUUUCUUCCAAACGAAUCUGUCCCUCUAAUUGCAAACACACGGGUCCCCUCCGACCACUCCCCUCCAUCAAUCCUUGCAAGAAUCCAUUCUCUCUUGGAAUUGCAGCACCUGGCCUGAGAAACAACUAGCACAGCAUGCGAGAAAUGUAUUGAUCCUUGACGGCAGUACUGCGGUUUCUCAUGUGAUGCAAACAAUCAGUGAAGUGCUAGCUGGAAAUUUAUUUAAUUAACAUGAAUGAAAAAUUCAUCUAAAAAAUUUCUUGGUUUUUUACUUAAAUAAUUUUUUAUUUUUCUAUAUUUAAUUCCUGAUUUAUAAUGAUUAAUCAGAGGUUGAUAAUGGUAGGAAUUAAUUCUUCUUCCUUUUCCCUUCCAAAACUCACUAUUAAAAACGAAGCGAAGAAAGAGUUUUCAACUUGAAUUUUUCAGAUUCUUACAGUACUCUUACUUGCCUCAUAUUUUAGUGUUUUAUUCUCAUUUUAAUCUUUGAUUUUUCUCUCAAAUUUAGAGAUUAGAUUCAUCUUAAUUAUUAAAACACAUUUGAGUUUCAUAUUUUUUUUUUCAAAAACAUUGUUUAAAAGUACAUCUAAACUAAAGUGGUAUUGUUAGAGUCUUGAAAGAUAUAUUACAAAUAUCCUAAUUGCACAGGUGAGAAGCAGUAAAAUCUUAAGGACAAAUGAUUCAUCUUUAAUAAUAACAAAAAUUUCAUUACCUUAAACUACUUCAAUAAAUAAGUACCCUUUAGUAUGCAUGCUAGAAUUUUAAAUUAAUAUCAAUUGCAGGUUAGAUUAUAUGCUAAGUAUGCAUACUAGAAUUCGUUUUAUUAUAUUUAUGUUGAACACACGCUUGUCAUGAGUUAUGUUUUUGCUUGCUUAUAGUUUUAAACAUGUAUAAACUUCUAGGUUUUUGUUGGAUGUUUUUUUUUAGGAUGUAUUUGUGAUGAUAAACUAAAUAUAUUUGCUCACUAGUCUAAUAUAUUUACAAAUUUUUAGUAAAAUUUAUUUGCUUUAUUAGUUAUUUUUAUUUCUUAUUUAGUUUAAAAAAUAAAAUCUUAUAUUUAAUAAUUGGAUCUUUAUUGUUUUUUUUCUUUAGGUUUUCAAGUUUAUGUUAGUUUUUGAAUUUAUUUAAAGAAUUAUAAACUUACAACAUACUACUUAUAAAAAAUAUUCAAUUAUAAAAUUAUGAAUUAAAAUUCUCUGAUCUUUUAAAAGUUUUGUAUUCCUAUAUUUAUUAUCUUUUAUAUAUAUAUAUAUAUAUAUAUAUAUAUAUAUAUAUAUAUAUAUAUAUAUAUAUAUCCAUGUAAAUUGAUAGAAGAGCUCUCCAUCAACAUACUUACACUCCAUGAUAACUAUAACAUAAAAAGAAAAAAAGAAUGAAGAACAUUGUCAAUAAAAAAUUAAAAAAAAAAGUGGAAAUUAACCGUCAACAAGAACAUUAUUGACCACUACAGUAGUUCAUUUUAUCCUCUAAUAUUUGAUAGCCCAUGUCAUUAUCAAUGUUAUGAGACAGAGAGAGUCUUCGUAAUUCUUCUACCAUCUUUAUUAUUAAUAACAAUUGAGAUUGAGGAGUUCAAGUCUUCCCAUUAUAUAUCAAAUCAUUAGAUUAAUCUGGAUAAAAUUAUUUUUAUUAAAAAAAAAAAAUUUUAUUAAAAAAAAUUAUAUUAAUUAAACUGAGUUUAGCUAGGUUAAUCAAAUUACUAAAAUUUUAAUUAGAUCCAUUGGGUUUUACAGGUCAGUCCCUUUUCUAUUUCAAUUUAAAACUUAACCCAAAACUUUUUUAAUCUUUGAUUAGAAUAUUAAUAUUUAAAAAAUAAUAAUCGUUAAAUAAGUAUAUGAUUUUGAAUUCAUGAUUUAAAUUUCUUUUUCCUUCUAAAAAAUACAUGGCAUUGAAAAAAAAGAUCUGAAUAGCGGCUAGCACAAGCCAAUGGUCUCGUAUAUCAUAAUCGAUCAUUGAUCAAAUCCAAGCCACUUCCGUUCUAAAAAUGUAUGGAUGUUUAGCGCCUCCCUUGCUUGCAUCGUCGUAACUUGCCGAAGUGGAUGCAGAAUCCGCAUUAGGGUUCAGACCAGCAAGAUGCAAGAUAUUCUCAAUCUCUUUCACCACUUCACCCAUUGUUGGCCUGUCACUUUCGUUCUCUUCUACACAUUUCAAUGCAACGUCCACAAACUUAUCUAGACCUUUCAAUGUUGUGUCUAAACCAAUGCUUGAGUCAAGAAGUUCGCCGAGGUUGUACAAAUAUUUUGCUCUAUCCAAUGCCGUCUUUACCUCUCUCACCACGUACUUCCCCUUUUCUAUCGGCCUUCUUCCGGUUAAUAGUUCCAGCAUGACAACUCCAAAGCUGUAAACAUCACUCUUCUCUGUCAGCUGCUGGGUCAUGUAAUAUUCUGGAUCCAUAUAACCCUGGGAAAAAAAUGCAAUAAUUAAUACAAUCAGUUCUAUCAUCCAGUCCGGUCGUGCCAAAACUGCAUUUCAUUUUGUAAAAUCAAUCGUAGUUUAUGUAUUCUCGUAAUAUAACAUAUAACGAAGCGGCCUGUUUGCAUGUAGACACAGAGCCAAGAUGAUGAUUUUUUUCAUUUUAAUUCCAUAUACCAUAAGAACAGUACGAAAUAAUGGUAUGACGCAGAUGGAGUGGAGGUAUGGAGGCACUGACCAUCGUCCCCUUCACUUGAGUUGUAACAUGAGUCAGAUGACCCGUUUCGCUGUCUCCCAUAGGCUUGGAGAGACCAAAAUCGGCAACUUUUGUAUUUAAACGCUCAUCUAAUAGUAUGUUGCUUAAUUUUAUGUCCCUGUGGAUAAUGGGAGGGUUGGCAAGUUCAUGCAGAUAGGCCAAACCUCUUGCUGCACCUAGGGCCACUUUUAGUCUCCUCACCCAAUCAAGCCUGAUUCCUGUCUUCCCUGCUUGGAUUGGAAAGAACAAAUAGGAGAGUGUGAGGGGUUAGUGUAGUUUUAUCUACACUUAUAUUUUAGCUUCAUUACGCACAAGAAUUAAAGCAAUAGAGUUUUGUUAGAUGGCAUACACUAAAUUUUCAUGAAAAAAAGAUUGUAUGGUAGCAAAUUCCAAGUAUCAAAUCGAAGCAUUGAUAGCUCAUAGGUGCCGAUGAAAGUACCUGAUAGGCUUUCCAUGAGACUGCCAUUUGGAACAAACUCAUAUACGAGCAUUUGUUCACCUCUGUCGAAGCAAAAGCCUAUAAGGCUUACAACAUUUUUGUGGUGGACUCUGGAUAAAAGUUCAAUCUCAGUCUUGAAUUCUAGCCCACCCUGCAUCGAUCCUUGUUGAGCUCGUUUGAUGGCAAUUAGUUCUCCAGUAGGAAGAACUCCUCUAUAAACCUGUAAGGAUGUUAUCAUAUUUAAAUUCCAUGUUUUUCAGAAACCAAAAAAGAACAAAAAAACAUCAAUGCGAGGGAUUCUUCUUGUAAAUUUGAAAAUAUACUAUGAUUAAGCAAACAUUUUCCAUGCUAGUGUGAGAAAUGAGCCCAGUAAAAUUGAAUACUAACAGGCCUCUUUUUCACAGGUUUUUGUCGGGUGGAUUUAGGACAAAAUUGGCAUAGUUUACCAUGUAAAGAUUUUAGGAAACCAGACCAGACGUAGUGAAGUUGUAAUAUAAGAAUCAUGAUUGACAAGAAUCAAGUGUUGUGCACCAGUUCCGAAGAGCUUGAGAUUAAGGGUUUUCUUGAUUUAAAUCUUUACGUGCAUCAGGAACAUGAAUAGUUCAAAUGCAAAUAUCCAUGCGCAGAUACAUAAGAUGUGGCUAGGCUUUCAGAGAGAAUCAGACUUACGUUUCCAUAACCCCCAGAACCAAUGUCAUUGGUCUCUGAGAAGUUAUUGCUGUAUUUCCUGAGCUCUUCAAAAGAGAAGUUUCUGGCUCCUUUUAAUUGAGGAACACCUCCGAUACUCUUGUUUGAUUCCCACUGUGCUGAAAAAGAAACAAAACAUAUCCAAGAUAUUCCAUAACUGUAAAUACCAAGUAAAUAAUCAAAACCUUUUCAUACCAAAAGGAUUGUUUUGUUCAGUUGCCUUUUCUGCUCUCUUCUUUUGGCGAUGAGCAUAGAGCCCAGCGCCGAGCAAUAGCAGCAGGAGGACAGAGCCACCCGCCACAGCUCCAAUGAUAACACCAGUGUUUGAUGAUUUGUUUGAUCCUGUAACUUCUUCUGGAUGAGUAGAAAGACGGAGGAGAGAGAUGUUACAAUAAGAAAGGAGAAACAGCAGGAUAAGUUUUUCUUGUAGUUCUGUAUCAGUUAUGAGACUACCUGCGAAAUUUAGAUACGUAUCACCAUGAAACACGAAAGGUCCGAAUUGCGAUGGAGGCUUGAAAAUCUGGUUGCUCAGCGCAAAACCAAUUCUUGAAAUUCCUGUCCAAUUGAAACGAUCUUGGCCAAAUGGAAACACUUGCAGAUUCAUAACAAGGUAUGUUGAUGAAUCUUUUCUUGGAUGACUUAGAUUUACUGAAUCCACAGGAAGUUGAUGAAACUUGAAUGAGUCCAUCAGAGACUGUUCUAAAACAGUGUAAUAAGUGUCGUUUCCCAGGUUGAGAAUGAAGGAGCUCUGAACUGUAGAAGUCCUGUGUAUGGAAAUGCACAUUUACAGUUCGGACUGGAAAUCUGAUAAGCAAAGCACGAAGAAGCUACACAGUUAUUUAGAGGCGUUGAAUAGGAAGAUUCGUUUUGGGAAACACUGCAGUAACUUUCUGUCACUCCUGUUUCCUGACAAACUGGGUUGUCUACAAGUCUGCAAAAUUUUAACAGGUAAACAAGAUAAAGCUAGAAACAAGCAUAUAUCCUGGCAAUUCGACUUUCUCAAGAGUACUGAAAUGGUCUUGUCUAGCAGUGUAAUGGAUACAAACAAGGAAUCUGGCUUACAUUACGCCCACUUUUUCUACUCCGGGUCUUUCUGUGAAGGCAGAAAUUUGAUUUUCUCGCAAAUCAAUCAAUGACAGUUGGUUUAUAGAGCUUGUUCUAAUAUCCAAUGUGCCAUUGAACUUGUUAUUUCUUGCAUCCCUGUCACCAGAAGUCAAAUCAGCUAUCAACUAGCCAUGUCAUAACAUGGAAAUAUCUAUCUAAACCCAUUUUGUAUGAAUCCAAGAAAGGAAUAAGCUAAUUUUCGUUGAACAGCUUGAAGCUGACUCUUACAGAGUCUGCAAAUUGGAAAGGCUAAAGAAGUCAGAAGGAAUCUGUCCUUGAAGUUGUGUUGUCUCCAUCACCCUGCAAUGAGAAGGUAAUGAUAUCAUACUAAGACUGGGGUCUUAAUCUCUUUUUACGUUUUCAAAGUUCAAACAGCAACUAGGCACUCAUGCACUUGAUCAUUGUGAUAUUUGCAUGCAUGCAUGCACAAAGAAACAAGGAGAUAUAAUAUGGCAAGCCCUAUAACUGAAGCUAGAGAAACUUGCCAAGAUUUUCCAGCAUUGUAAAGGCCAGCACACACAUCAAUAUGAAGAGAAUGGAUGAUGAGAAAGGUAAGAAGGCUGCAUUAUGUCAGCAAAAGCAUGAGAAAAAUCAUGUCUUGUGCCUUCACGAACAAAUGCAUAUAUAUGAAAUACGAGGUUUCAUGAAGUGGAUGCUAAUAGUAUUGUUUACACAAACAAAUCAAAUAGCACAUUUUAUGAAAACUACAAAGAGAUAAUAAAGCUUGGGAUGGGCAAAGCUAAAUACAAAUAGAGGAGUUAUGAAAGAGUAUAAAGCUGUGAUAAGCUUAAUGUACUGAUUCAUUCAUCUACAAGUUAGAUAUUACUCAAGCAGAUAUAGAUUACUCAAGCAGAUAUUACUUCCUCAGAUUGGAGGUUAGACUUGUUAGGAAAUUGCCAUUAUUGUGGCAAAUGCCCCACCCACCACUAAGCAAGUGGAAUAUUUAGUGCCACCAUUUGUGCCUUAUUUUGUGGCUUUAUUGUCCCCUCCAUGUUGACAUUUGUGUGCUGGAGGAGCUCACCAUGAAAUGCCUAUAAAGGAGGCAUAUUUGUUGAGAGCAAAAUGAGAUGGUUGCAAGUGAGAGAGAACGUGAGUGUGUGUAAGAGAGUGAAGAGAAAGAGAGCUGCAAUGGCAGCAGCCUUGCUGCCAUUGCAGCAGCUGCAAGUGCAGCAAGAGAGUUGAUGAGUUGAGUUGAGUGGAUGUAAUCCUCCUCCUCUACAUGUAUUUUUGUAUCCUUUCUCUAAUCUCUAAUAAUAUAGACUCUCUCCCGUGGAUGUAGGCGAUUUGCCGAACCACGUUAAAUAUUGUGUCAGUGCGCAUUACCCUCCGAUGAGCAACUAUCAGUACACCCCCGGUCCGCGUAUGGGGGUGCCGGAAUCCGCAACAAUUGGUAUCAGAGCUGAUGGUUUAAAGGGGUGUUUGAUUUUUGCUCAGAAAUGAAAGUUGUCAAAAUUGUGUUUUGACCAUACCACUGUGUAGAGGAGGCCGAGACGAAGCCACUGGUGAAAACGGCGUCAAAAUCGGACGUCGGACAUGGCCGCACUCUCCAUCACUCUCCGGCAAGGCGUCUGCCCACGCGCGCAGACGCGCCCACGCGUCUUCUUCGCCCGGAUGAGUUGACCCGACCCGAAUACCAGUUGACUCGACCCAUGUGACUGACCCGGAUAUGAAUGACAUCAGCAUGACGUAAAAGUGACGUCAGCGUGAAUAGUAGACAUGCCAGGGAUGACAUUAGCAUGAUGUAACUGUGACAUCAUCAUGUACAGCAGCAUGGCCCAUAAUGACAUCAGCAUGAUGUAAUGAAGAUGUCAGUAUGCACAGUCAGCAUGACAUGCCAGCGUCCAGUCAGCAGACACGUCAGCAAAGUGGGACCCACAUGCCACGUCACCAUCCUCGAGCCGAGCGGAGCCGAGCCGAGUUGAGCCGAGCCGUUUUGUAGCCGAGCCGCGAGCCGAGGGAUAAGAUUCUGUGCAGCAGAGUCUAUGUGAAACCGGAUCUGAGAUUGAAUCUGGGCCGUUCAUCAGGCCAGAAUUGUUUUGAUCAAAUCGUAGCCGUCUGAAAUGCGAUUUGGACGAUUUCAGACUUGUUUCCAGCUAAUUUGAUCAUUCCGGAUGCAAUGGUACGGUCCGAUCAUUGAGAUUUGAGACCAAAAAUGGCGGUGGUGAAUUAACAAAAGAGAUUGCCCGAUCAGGAGGCAUCUGAAGGUCAUCAUGGUGGUCGACGGAGAUGAAGAAGAAGAAGGUGCACAUGUUUACCCAAUUACAUGUGCUGAACUGCUAAGUGGGGAGAAUUUUUCAGUUGCCUUGAAGGAAGGCAAAAUUGGGACACUCUGGACACCCGAUUAUGUGGACAAUUUGAGGUGUAGAGUGGAAACUGAUGAAGACCAAUCUUGACGAAUCUAAGCACUGGUAGUCUCGCCAGAUGUUGAGAAAUGAUGUAUUAAACCAGUAUAUUCCAGAUCACUUGUAAAGGAAAGCCGCAACAAAGCUAGCAAAUGGUUGUAUAUACGGAAAGACAGUACGAUGGAUAGAUAUGGCCUAAGAAGUUCUGUCUAGGAGAUUGAGUUUUAAGCGGGACCAGUGUGACCCCUCCAAUCUUUCCUGGGAACUUGCUUAGUGGAAGGAUUAUCCAUACGGUACUAUUUUCGUAUAUAUAGCAGUUUGUAAUGAAACGGUUGAAGACUAGCAGGACGACGGCACAAGGGAACAGUUGGGUUCCGUAUGAUCAAGGAUCUGAUGAAGUGGUGAUUUCUCCAAAGAAGUUAGAUUCGGUGACUGUGAUUUCUCGAUGGGAGAAUUGAUGAAGACCCUGAUAAUGGAAGAGGAAUGCAGCAAGGGGAUAAAGAUUGGCACCCUAUUUUGACUUGGACAGGUGUUAUGACAGGAUGAGCUGCUGUCAAACAUAAGCAAGGAAUAGGGGAAAAUCUGGAGAACAGAAAUUGCACGAGAGCACACGGAGAUUGUGCAGGAGUACACAUAGGAUCCAACGAGGUACUGUAAUGAGACAACAGGUGCAAGGAGAAGAAGUGUUUCCAGAUGAAGCUCAGAGCAGAGACUGUUAAAGUUUGUAUAACAGGAAGUCUCUUAUGCUCUUGAUAAAGACAACAGGCGAAGACCUUUCCAAUGCAUGCAAGGAUGGAAAGAGAGCUGUUGCAGAGGCACCUAAUUGAGGGGGUGCAAAUGCCUGUGAUACAAGGCAACCGCCUAUGAUGAAAGGCGAAGACACCAAAGAGAAUUGGUGUAGGUGGAGCUGUCAAGCAGAAAGGCACAGAAGCUCCAAACAUAGAAAUUGAGGUGGAGGAUUGCGAGAAGUAUACCGCAACUUUCUCUUUCUAUGUAGUCAGUGGCAGUAAUCUCUCCCAUAGUGCACAUGGUGGUAGAGAAUUUUGGAGCCACUUUAAAGCAUCUCAGCUGAAGGAGGAUGCGACCGCCCCAUGACAACGGGCGAAGAUACCUUAGAGAAUGUGUGAGGGCCAUUAGAGGAGCCCCAAUUCAGACCGCCGCAUGACGACGAGCGGAGACACCUGAGGAAAAGGUGUGUGGGCCAUGAUAUGAGCCCAGGUCAGAACGCCCCAAAGCCGAUGUGAUGGCUAGAUACAAGUGGACAGGUGUAUGGAUAGCCAAUGAAGUGGUUAUGAUGAGUAUGGAGACAAAUGCAGGAUUGACUUUCAUGGAUAUUGCCCCCAUGCUAAAGAUCAAUGAGCUAGAAGACAUUUGCCUUGGACAAUAAGUGUGUGACUUGUGGAGCAUUAAGACGCGGCUGCUAUGAAGAAGCAGAAGGGCAUGCGCAGGUUCCGAGAACGAGUUGACUCUUGUCAAGGUGGUGAGCUCGGUAAUGGCAUUGUAAUACUCAGAGUAUGAAGACAGAUAUGGAUCAACCUUUAAUGGGCUGCCCCCAUGGUUAAAGGUAGAGAGCUACCUGGACUCUUACGACUAAGAGCGAGAGACUCACGGAGAAGUAAGGCGUGGUUCCUAGGGUGGAACAGAGGGCAGGCGCAACUCCUGGAUGAGUAGACUCUUGGAAGAGUGGUGAGCUUGUGAUCACAUUGAAAUACUCAAUGACUGUCGCUGUUGCGAUGUCGCGGUCGCACAAAUUAAUUACCCUAGCUUAAAACACACAAGAUAGUAUAGAGCAAGCAAGGGGUCGAUCCCACGAGGAAGGUUUAGUUCAGAUUUUUAUGCUAUACGUUAUGUAAUUGGGGGGGUUUGAUUUGCAAUGAUCUUAAACUAUGGUAGAAAUUAAACUAACAAACAAAAUCAAUUAAAACUGAAAUAUAUCAAGAAAACAAACCUUGGUUGCAAGCACACAUCCACCUACAGAAAUCAGAACCGAUCCUUGAAACGAAACUUCAGCUUAUAUUCUGAAUUUUUAUCUUUUCUUAACAUUGGUUAAUUAACGGAUCCGCCGUAUAACUAACCCUAACCAACAAAUAAUCACAGUGUCCGCACUAAUGAUUUAAUCCAAUGGCAGCCUUAAGAUCUAGAUAAAUUCAUUAAUCUUAACAACCAAGUUGUCAGCUUGUGUUGCUUUGAUCGAAUGUUCUCCCUAAGUUUAAUAACGUAGUUCCGCUACAAUUAUCAAGCUUAGUUGCUUCACAAGUUUAUAUAUCACAACUCCGGUUUUGAUAUCAAACUUAGCAAUAGAUUGUUCACAAUAAUAACUUAGAGUCCGCUCUUAGCAAUUAAGAUAAACAAUCAUAUGAAAUAUGCAUAGGAAAACAAACAUACUCAUUCAUAAUACAAACCAAAAAUAAAUAGAAGAAUAAAUCUCACAGUUCUUGAAAUCUGAAGGUGUUUGCGUCCUUACAACCAAGAAAACGAGCUUAGCCUUGCAUAUCUAUUGAAAAACUACUCCUAAAGAUGAAAGAAUACAUGAUUUCUGAUUUGUAGAGGGGAGAGUUUGUGUUUCUUCUCUUAUGGCUGCCACCCUUCUUUCUUUGAUUCUACUGCACUCCCUCUCCCUCUCUCUUGGCUCCCUUAAUAUCAUGAACUUAGCUGCCUAUUUAUACACAAAUUGCAAGUAAGAAAAAUCAAAGUUCAAGUGUGAACAUCAAGAGAUGGUGGUAGUGUGAAGGCGGCUGGCGGCUGGCGGCUGGUGGCUGGUGGCUGGCAGCUGGUUGGUGGUUUGAGGUUGGUGGCUUGAGGUUGGUGGCUGCCUUCCUUGACCUUCUGGAUUGAUGUUCUUGAGGAGCUAAAUUGCUGAAAUUAAAACUUGGAUGUCGGUUUUGAUGCUUCGGGAUGUAAUUUGGAUUUGUUUCUUCACGAAACCUGAUUGCUGGCAGAAUUUAGCUGUCAUCUUUGAAAAAUCAUAUCACCCUCAUAUGACAUCGUUUUUGGCUGAAAUUUGGAGCGUUUAUACAACUUUGAGUCAGGAAUCCAAAACAAUUGAGUUUGCAUCAAUUGGAUAUCAACAUCUUCAGAUAUUGAAUUUUGAAUGGACAAAGGUCAACACUGGCAGAAUGCGAGUUUUGACUUUGAAGGAUGUGAUUUCCAUACUCUUUGUCAUUUUAUUUUUCUUCACUUAGAUUUCCAGAAAGGUAUGGAUGUUAUCUUUCUAAUGCCACUGGAAUCACUUCGUUUCGAUUUUUAGAACUCACGCUCUGCACAAAACAUCGACUGAACAUCAAAUCUGCCAAUUAUCUCCAAUUUACUCCUUUUUGCAUCUUUCAUCUAAAGGUGCCUUCAAAACAUAAAACAAAGAAUAUCAAGGCAUUUUAUACAUAAAACAAUAGGCAAAACACUAGUUAAAUGUGAGUGAAACUAUCGAAUAAUAUGGUUACAUCAGUCGCACUUGGAAAUAUUUGUUUGAGGGGGUGUUGGAAGCCUUGGUGUAAGGCUUGAAAAAUCAUUCUGGACCGAGCAUGGUUGAUACGCUCGAAGGGGAAUGUUGUGUUGAAGACGCUCUCAAAAUGGAAACUUGGAAGAACUGCAGAUUGCAAGCUUGUGCUGAAGAAGCAAAAAGGACAAUUGCCCACAUAAAUGGCAAAGGGGGUGAUUGUUAGGAAAUUGCCAUUAUUGUGGCAAAUGCCCCACCCACCACUAAGCAAGUGGAAUAUUUAGUGCCACCAUUUGUGCCUUAUUUUGUGGCUUUAUUGUCCCCUCCAUGUUGACAUUUGUGUGCUGGAGGAGCUCACCAUGAAAUGCCUAUAAAGGAGGCAUAUUUGUUGAGAGCAAAAUGAGAUGGUUGCAAGUGAGAGAGAACGUGAGUGUGUGUAAGAGAGUGAAGAGAAAGAGAGCUGCAAUGGCAGCAGCCUUGCUGCCAUUGCAGCAGCUGCAAGUGCAGCAAGAGAGUUGAUGAGUUGAGUUGAGUGGAUGUAAUCCUCCUCCUCUACAUGUAUUUUUGUAUCCUUUCUCUAAUCUCUAAUAAUAUAGACUCUCUCCCGUGGAUGUAGGCGAUUUGCCGAACCACGUUAAAUAUUGUGUCAGUGCGCAUUACCCUCCGAUGAGCAACUAUCAGUACACCCCCGGUCCGCGUAUGGGGGUGCCGGAAUCCGCAACAAGACUCCCAAGUUUUUAUGAGUUCAACUGGAAUUUGUACCAAAAUAUAAAUAAAAAUUCAGUAAGAAGAUAGUACAGAAAGCCACAUGUUACAGAACGGCAGAACGAAUAUACAGCCCGAAUUAACAUUAUGCUGCUUAAAGGUGCAUGUGGAGAUAGGUGAUUAGAAAAUAAGAAGUGAUAAUUUAUAGAGAAACUUUCUUGAGUUUAAGAGAAAAGAAAACAAAUGAUUGAUAUGCCGAUAGCAUUCAACACGCAGAUGGCUGUAAUCUGUCAAGUUAAUAUAAAAGCUCAUUCAAAGCAAGAUGAUGGAAAGAGUUUGUGCUUUGAAUGAGCUUAGGAAUGUAUAUGUCAUAGUUUAGGGAGAGCAGAUUUAGACUAGGAAAGGAGGCAGAGAACCAUACAGUGUUGUCAAAGACUGCAAGGUUGAAAACCAUGGAGGAAAAUCUGUAGCGCCGAAAGUAUUAUUGCUCAUGUCCCUGCAAACAACAUUUUCCUCAAAAUACACACAGAAAAAAGUAGAGCUAGAAUUCAUCUCAACAAUUGAUUAUAUGUACGUCUAAACCAUGUAAAAUCUUACAAGUAGGUGAGAUGAUCCAUGCCAGUAAGGUUGGGAAGUGGCCCAGUUAAGCCAUUGUUGGAUAAAAACCUGAAAAUUGGUCACCAAGCAACACACUUAACAUAGAAAAAACUCCCAGAAGAGAUAGUAAUGACUUCAACAAAACCAGUUGUAAUGGAAGGUCUCUCCCCUCCAUACUUACAUCUCACUGACACUGGUAAGAUUAUUGAUGUUUGUUGGAACAGGUCCAGUGAGCGAAUUAUUAUCAAGACGCCUGUAACCAACAUUGCAUGUUCAAUUACAACAUUAAGCAUCAAGAAUCUCAGUACAAAAUGACUUGAGUCUCCAAUAUCGAUACUUACACAACCUCCAAAGACUUCACAAGGCCAAGGGUGGAAGGAAUGCUGCCUGUCAGAUUGUUGCUCUCAAGAAGUCUGCCGAAAGAAAGACAAAGAAACCAAAAGAAUCAAUCAAAGAAAUGCUUAAACGGGCAGAUAUCUGUGAUUAUGAAUUAUGCAAUUCCAAAAGAUUCAAACAAAAGUGAAGCAAUCUUAAAAAUUCGAGAAACGAAUAAUGAUCUCAUAUCCAAUCUAUAAAGUAGUUAUUUAGCAUCAUCCAGCAUUUGAACUGAAUGGAACUUACACAUGUAUGAGAUUCAUCCCUGAGCUAAAAAGUUUAGGCGGGAUUUGGCCUGAGAGCUGAUUAAAUCCAAGAUGACUGUAAAUAGGUUUAAGAGGAACAUUAACACAUAGAAAACAGAAUCGUUAAUUUAUAGGUAGAAAGAAGCAAUGAGAUGGAUAGAACAAGGAGAAUUGACAUACAAGUGUUUUGUAUGAACUAGUAGGUCAAGGCCAGGAGUAGUGCCUGUAGAAACUGGGAUGGUCCCANNNNNNNNNNNNNNNNNNNNNNNNNNNNNNNNNNNNNNNNNNNNNNNNNNNNNNNNNNNNNNNNNNNNNNNNNNNNNNNNNNNNNNNNNNNNNNNNNNNNCGAAUUGAGAGAUCUGCAGGUAAUACCAGUGAAUUGAUCCACUGAAGCGAUUCGAAUUGAGAGAUCUGCAGGUAAUAUGAUGAAAGAAUAUUACAAUAGGUGCCACGGGCAUAAACUGAACUUCAAAUCAUGAACAGUAGUUGAUUCACUGAUGUUGCGGUAAAGCAUGGAAAGUAUUACAAGUUGAAAAAUACUUACAGAUCGGUUAGCUGUGACAAAGAUCCUAUUGCAUCGGGGAUAGGACCAGAGAAACGACAGCGAACCAGUAUUCUAGAAUGGAAGGGAAAAUCAGGACUGAAACCAGGAAAGAAAUUGAGCAUCAGAUAACAUUAUAGCGCAAUAGAGUAUCCCCUUACAAGUUUGUUAGCUUCUUCAAAUCCCCAAUUGCUAGAGGAAGAGAGCCAGUCAAUUCUGUGUUGUAGGAUAAAUCCCUGUAUAAAGAUGCAAUGAUUAGAAAUGUAUCAUAGCAAUCCUUUCCAAGGAAAUCAAUCCCUUUUUUCUGUCAUUUAAUCGCUAUAUCUGAAAUCAAUCCCUUGGCAACAGCUAUUCUAAGCGAUGCGCUUCUCGAAUACAAAAAGAAGCUCUAUACGCGAGUGAGGCAUGAGCCUAAUCAGUACUUAACGCAUAGCAUCAACCUUUAGAACAAUAAUCCAAGAACAUUAGUUGUAAAUUGGAUGCUUCGAUCCUUUUCAUAGCAUAAAGAAAAAAAGGUAAUAGUGCACAGAGUGAAGACAUACAGAAUCUGCAAUUCUGACAAGAGUGAGAUGUCUCCAGACAGUGUUCCUUUCAAUCCCAUGCUUGCCAAUGUUCUGCAGAUGAGAAUAGUCAGGUUAAUCUAAAAAAGUAGAGGAAGGAAUGAUCUGCAAGCCUCUAUAAGCUGUACAAGAUGAAAUAAAGCCAAUGACUUACAUGGAAGUCACACGCGAAUUGGUGCACACAAUGCCAUCCCACCUGCUACCACAAGGGUCAGCCCCCACCCAUGUUGGUGGUACGUUAUCCCAGACAUCCUUGAGAGCUUUCAGUGCAUUAACUGCAUCAGGAAUCAAAAGAAUAUACAUAUAUUGAGGGUCUAUAUAUAGAAAGCUAAUAACAAAUUUACAAUAACUAGUCUUAUUCCCCAGAUUGAACGAGCCUAAUGGACAAUUCUGGGGCCUAGCUAGCAUCACCAGUUCCAACAAUCAUCAUAUAAGAACAGGAAAAGGCAUCCAAUGAAGGCUGGAUACACUUCUGAGUUUGACAAAGUAUCUCCCAGCUCCAGCUUCUACUUUACAACCAGAAUUACAGAAUCAAAACCAAGUAAAUCAUAAGCCAGAAAUGAUUCCCUGACUCUUGGAAUUGCAAAAGCAAGUGGAAUCUGGAGUCCUAAAUCUACAGUUCAUCUUAGUAUAUGUUAGACAAGAGGUCAUUAGACAGUUGAUACUAAUUUGGAUCAAAAGAGUGCUAAAACAACAUGCAUGUUCCAAGUAAUUUACCAAAAACAAGAAAAAACUAACUGUAAAGAACUUACAAUCAUCAUUGUUAGUCACUGCUGGUGUGGUGGUACAAACUUGAAUUAGAGCAACAACCAAGAACACAAGAAUUCUUGAACCCAUUUCUCAAGUAACCCUACAGGAAGCUCUUUGUUUUCAGUUGGUAAAGUCGAAAAACUGAAAUCCCAUUUAGUAUCAGCAGUUAAAUCUCACACAUGAAGGUCUUCAAUUCAAACUGUUGAAAACUUGGUCUUCUAUUUUUCCAAAUUAUACCACGUCAAAACUCACAAAAAAAAAAAAAAUUGUCUCAAGUUGAAUCAUCUCCACACGCUCUAUUAUACCAUGUCAAGAGGAUUUGUCUUCAAGUUGAGUUGCACAAUUUUUUCGAUUUCUCAUAUCAUGAUCACGAGUUUAAAGAAAAAAAUACACAAUACAAUAGAAUUCUCACCAAACACCUUCAUUGAAUUAAUAAUGAAAGGGGACCAUCCAGCAACCAGCAAAAACGUGAGAACUUGGGGACACAUUUCUCAACAAAAUUUCAAAGCCCUUUGUUAUGAAUGUUGCAUAACUCCAAAACCCUUUAAUAGCUCUUAAAAUGAUAAAACAUAGUGGGAACAUCUUUACAUGUCCCCAUCGUUUACUUAUCUCAAGAUUUAUAUCGUGGAAGGACAUGAAUGGGACAAUUGUGUUCGUAUGAAUCACAUACUAAAUACAAAGACAAUUGACCCCAUCUUUAGUCAUUUUCAAGUUUACAGUCAAUAGAAGAACCCACCAAAUGGUUUCUUGCAUAUAGCACUGUAGAGUGAUACUUGCAGAGUGAAUAGUAUUUCCCACCAAAUGGUCAUGAUUGUCUGCUAAAGUCAUUUUUGAAGCGAUCAAUACAAAAAGUUAUCAUCAAUUGUUAAUGAGAUUUGUAGAUGAUUUUACUAACUCUACUAACUAGACAAGUAGAAAGAAAUGCUCUUUGAUUUAGUUUUGUUAUUGUUUUAUAUUUCCAGUUUAAUUUGGAUUUAAUGUUUUUUUUUUUAUCGUAUUUGAUUUAAGAUUUUGAUUAUUUUUUUAUACGAUUUAGCAAGGUGAUAGCGCAGGAGCUCUGAUUCUCAUACGGGUAUUAAUUAAAGUUCACUAAUCUCAAAUAAUUUUCUUCUUAAUUAAGAAAAGAGAAACCGUAAAAGAAGGGAAAGAAAUAGUUGUUUGCUAGUCAUUUAAAUUGACAGAAAUAAAUUUUGGUCAGUCAAGAGAAUAGAGCCAAAGAAAAUUCAACAAAAUAUUCGAACUCACUCGUGGAAAGAAUGCUUGCUUCGGUCCCGCGCUGAUUUGCUUGACCAAUCAUCAGAUUUGCUUAUUACUUGACUUGCUGCUGCCAUUGUUAUAUAUUAACAAGCAAAUGAUUCAUGAAGAUAUCAGAAUUUCUUCCAAACGAAUCAUUCCUUCUAAUUGCAAACACAUGGAUGGGUCCCCUCCUCUCCAUGAAUGCUUACAACAAAUCAUUCUCUUCGACUUGACAUUGCCUGACCUAAUCUUGAUCCCUGGGGAAGACUGUUGGUGGAAGAAACCACUAGUGGUGGCUUUGAAACACUCAGAGGGGAUAAAACACACUGUUUUAUUUCAACAACAACAAACUUACAAUAACUAAACAAAAGCUCAAUACACGCCCUCUCUUUCUUUCUAGUGUUUCUCUCUAAUCUCACCACACAUAAUAACAUAAACUUAGCUGCCUAUUUAUACACAAAUUGAAAGUAAGAAAAAAUCAAAUUUUAAGUGUGAAGGCGGCUGGCGGCAUACAGCUGGUGGCUGGCGGCUGCAAGUGGUGGUUAGGGGUGACAACUGGUGGCUGCAAGUGGUGGUUGUCUUCCUUGACCUUCUAGAUUGAGUUUACUUCAACAAAUUCCCCCUUUAAACUCAAUCGAGGGAUGUCAUGCCAAGCAUGAACUUCAAUCUGAUAAAUAUUUCUCCCUUCAAUGGCUUUGUAAAGAUAUCUGUAAUUUGAUCAUUUGUCUUGCAUGAUUCAGUUCAACUUCUUUGUUCUUCACAUGUUCUCGGAUAAAGUGAUGACGUAUAUCAAUGUGUUUAUUUCUUUCAUGAUACACCGGGUUCUUUGCUAAUGCAAUCGCUGAUCGAUUAUCAAUAUAAAUCUCUGUAGGAUUUUCUUGAGGAAAUCCCAAAUGCUUCAGCAUAUUUCUUAACCAUAUUAAAUGGCAUACAACUGAGUUGGCAGCAACAUACUCAGCUUCACAGCUUGAUAACGUUACUAUCGAUUGCUUCUUGGAUGACCAUGUGAAAGAUGUAUUUCCCAUGAAAAAGACAAAUCUCGUUGUGCUUUUCCUUUCAUCCAAAUCUCUACCCCAAUCACUAUCCGAGUAGCCAACAAGAUUGAAGUUUGUACUUGAGGUAUAAAACAUACCUUCAUUUAUUGUUCAUUUGAUGUAGCGAAGAAUUCUCUUGGCUGCAUUCAAGUGAGACUGGUCUGGUGUCUCCAUGUAUUUGCUGAUAAGACCAACUCCAUUUCAAAUCAAUUGUUGAUAAUAGGUAUAUAAAGAACUGAAUGUUGAUGAUAACCAGAAAAACAAAGAAUAAAGAACUUGCAGCGAAGAACAAAGAGCAGAAUGUUUUUCAUAGGUUACUGUCAUCCCUUAGCUUUUAUUUAUAGAUGAAAUCAAUCACAACAAAAUUAAGAAACGUAACUAACAUAAACUCCUUCAUUUAAAGAGCUAUGUAACUUAUUCUAAAUAAGUUUCAAAUCUAAAGAAGUAAAAACUGACUAAACAACAUUAAGAUAAUGAUGUUACUAAUAGAUAGACAUUAAUGAAAGAUAACCUACAGCUGAUACAUAAAUUUUAGCUUUGGUGCCAUAACUUCAACACUCCUCCUUGGUUCCAAAGCUGCACAUUCCUAUCCUCUCCCUUAGAUCUUCAAAUCUAUCUUUAGCUAAAGGCUUGGUGAACAGGUAGGCUAAUUGCUCUUUUGACGUGCAUUAUAUCAUCUCUAGUUCCCCUUCUUGCUGGAAUUGCCUGAUAAUAUGGAACUUGAUUUUCAUAUGCUUGGUCCUAUCAUGAAAAACAAAAUUCUUUGAAAUAGCUAUUGCUGAUGUAUUGUCACAGAACAAUUCUGUAGGACUUCGUUGAUCAAAGUCUAGAUCAUUCAACAUUUUCCUUAGCCAUAUCAAUUGCUUUGCUGCCACAUAUGUUGCUAUGUAUUAUGCCUCUACAGUGGAAUGUGCAACCACUGAUUGCUUCUUUGAAUUCCAACAGAAAAUGCUUCCUCUAAUAGCAAAGUAAUAACAUGAGGUACUCAUCAUUUCUUCAUCACUUCCCGCCCAAUCACUAUCAGAAAAACCAAUUAGUUUAACAGAACUUGAUUUCACAAAAUGCAUGCCAAACUCUAAGGUCCCUUUCAGAUAUCUCAGAACUCUUUUGGCUGCAACAAAAUAGAUUUGACUUGGACUUUGCAUGAACCUAGAGAGGUAAUUGAUAGCAAAAACAAUAUCUGGACGUGUAGCAGUUAAAUACAACAAGCUGCCAACUAAACUUCUGUAGGUUUUUCCAUCAGUUUUGGGAUCUCCAUCCUCCUUCAUUAGCUUUUAUCCCAGUACCAUUGGUGUACUGAUUGGUUUGCAAUUUUUCAUUGCAAAUUUGUUUAGUAGCUUCAUUGUAAACCUCUUUUGACAUAGAAAAUAACCUUGCUCCGACUGAGUUAAUUCCAUGCCUAAGAAAUAUGACAGCAAACCCAGUUCAUUCAUCUCAAACUUAUCCUUCAUGUUAGUUUUAAACUCCUUUACCAACUGCUCCUUGUCUCCUGCAAUCAAUAAAUCAUCUACAUACACUGAUACGAUCAGAGUAUGUUUGUCAACAUUGUUCACAUACAAAGUUACUUCAUUUAUGCUUCUUUCAAAGCCUAAGCUCAAAAAAUACCCAUCCAAUCUGCUGUACCAGGCUCUAGGAGCCUGUUUAAGUCCAUACAAAGUCUUCUUUAGCAGAUAUACUUCAUUUUAUGUUAUUUCCUUUUCAAAGUCACCAAGUUGUUCAACGUAUAUUUCUUCAUUUAGAACACCAUUAAAAAAUGCAGACUUAACAUCUAACUGAAAAAUAUGCCACCAUUUUGUGCUGCUAAAGCAAGCAAGAGCUUUAUUGUAUCAAGCCUAGAUACUGGAGCAAAUGUGUCAGUGAAGUCAAUACCUAGCUCUUGUGAAUAACCCUUCACUACAAGUCUUGCUUUGUGCUUAUUGAUACUCUCAUCUGCAUUCAGUUUGGUUUUGAAAAUCCAUUUUACACCAAUUACCUUCUUGUGAACGGUUCUGUCAUCGUGAGCUCCUCCUUCAUUACAGUUAUCCAUACUUGUGAGUUGAUAGCUUCUUCAAAAUCUAUUGGUUCUACUUCAGCAACAUUGCACCUGCUGUAAAUGUCAGCUAAGGACUUUGUCCCCCUUACUGGUUUGUCUUCGAUAGUAUUGUCGCACCCUCGCGGCGGAGUGCGGCGUCGCGGCGAACCCUCAAUUGAUUUUGGGGUCUUUGUUGUUGUUUGUGUAAAGGAGUCGCCACCUAGUAUUUUGGUCACUAGGAACCCUUACUAGUCUUUCAGAGAUUCUAAGGCAAGGGACUGGUUGCGUAAAGGGAAGGUAUUAGCACCCCUAGUACGCCCUGCCUAAGGUAAGCUGCUUGGUGUUUGGUUUGCUUUAUAAUUGCUAUGGUGUUGGUGUUUUCUAAUCACAUCAGUUUUCCUAGGUUUGAUUCAAACUAAAUUUAUUAAGAUAGAAAUCCAAGGAGAUUUCAUGUGCUUUAAAAGCUUAUUUUUCCCUUAGUAUUUCAAGAGUUUGCGACUCGUAAAUUGCAAGGAGGGACAAAAAUCUAAGGAAAUUCAUAAUGCUUUAAAAACAUAUUUUUGCCUUAGUGCAGAGAAGAAAACACAGCUACUGCUGGCGAUGGGGAAGAGAUAUGGACGACUGGGAUCAGCUGCUGGUGCAGAGACGAGACUGGUCGCCAUCCUGGAUUGCUGCUGCGGCUAGUACCUGCUCCUGGUGAUUGAUGGGCUGCGAGUCAGCGAUGGCUUCCGGAGCUGAAGACGACACCGUUGUUGAAGCUGGAGACGGCUGCGUACUGGUGCAGGACUCAGAGAAGAGCUGUUUGUUUGGAAUGUUAAGCAAAGCUCCUGACGUAUGCUGCUUGUGGCUCACGGUUUUGGCUGGUCUUAAAAGAAGUUGCCGGACCGUGGGGGAGAAUCUGGUGGUGAUGGGGAGAAGCCAAAAAGAAAAGAAGGAGAGGAUGAGGCUUUGGUUUUCUUGCUGUUCAGGUGAUAGAGGGAAGAUGUGUUUCGGUUUUGAGAAUGGAGAUGGAAAGGGCUAGUGUGCGGCUGAAUCGAGAGAGAGUCUGAAAGUUUAUGUUGAUGAGCGGCUAUGGGCUGUUUUUUAGACUGACGGGAAGGGAAAACUUUGCUGAGGGAAGGGGAAGGUUUGUGAAAAGAGAGAUGGGGCUGUGACUUUAAUGGGGUUCUCUGGUUUUGCAAGGGAAGAAUGGAGAUGGGGAACUAACAGAGAGAGGAGCUGCUGUGUUUUGGAGGAGAGAUGGCGAUGGUGGAACGGCUGAGAGGGGAAUGGGGGUUCUGGUGAAAGGGAGAGGGGACAGUGUAUGGCCAGAGAGAGAUCCUUUAUUUCCUCAAAGGGAGGGGCUGCUUCGUUGUUUUUAUUUUUAAAAGAUGAGCAGGGGCUACGGCUUCUUUGCUAGAGAAAUAGGGUUAGGGUUUUUCUGUGUUUCCCUUGAUUUUUGUUUGUCUCUUUGCCUCUUGUAAAUUUUUCUUUUCUUUGUGCAUAUGGCUGGAUCUUCAUUUAUAUAGAAAAUCUCUACACGUUCUAUUUAAAGAAAUAUUGCAAUCAUUAUUACAGAGAUUGUCUUCUAUAACCAGCACCAACAAAUCAUAUAUAUAUGGUAUUUUUUAUUGUAGUGAUUAUUUUCCAUAACCAGCACGAAUCAAAUCAUAUAUCUAUGAUAUUGCAGUAAUUAUAUAUGAUUCAGUAAUUAUCUCCUUGACAUAUUGCUUCCUUAACCCUGAUGCUCUAUGUUCUCGCCACAUGUAAAUCUUUAUUUUUUUAUUUUAUUUUUAUUUUUUAUUUUUUUAUUUUUUUUAAAAAAUUAUCAAAACAUGGGUCAAAUUUUGGGUAGCAACAGAUGCCCCCUCUUUACAAUGCUUACGAAGCAAAACUCCUCAAUGUUUGCAUAGUAAGCUUGUAAAGAAAAAAAGUCUUCCUUGCUUGUUGAGUGAUCCACUCAUCCAAGGACUUCAUUUUUUAAAAGAAAAUUUGUCUCGCUAUCAUGGGUGACCUGCCCCGUUUUUUUUAAAAGAAAAUUGAUCUAUUUUCACGGGCGACCUGCCCACACACAUCCAAACCUGGUCUAUUUUCAGGGGCGACCUGCCCACAUACUCACGCUGGUCUAUUUUCACAGGCGACCUACCCAUUUGAUUGGGUUAACCUGAGAUCCCAUCUGGCGAUCUCCUUUAAUCCGAAGCAAAGUCGGUGUGUAGCUCGGUUAACCUGAAAUCUCAUCUGGCGAUUCCCUUUAACCAAAGCUAAACUCUGUGUGUGGUUGGGUUAACCUGAGAUCCCAUCUAGCGAUCUCUUUUAAUUUGAAGCAAAGUCGGUAUGUAGCUCGAUUAACCUGAAAUCCCAUCUGGCGAUUUCCUUUUAACCAAAGCUAAACUCUGUUUGUGGUUGGGUUAACCUGAGAUCCCAUAUGGCGAUCUCCUUUAACCACAACCAAUACAAAAAAGUGUGUGUGGUCUCAUUAUAACGGGUCACCUACUCAAAUUAAAAUUCUUAGAAAACUCCACGCUUUCCUAAGAAAUGGUCUCAAUAUCGGGUGAUAGGCCCCUCCUAAAAUUCUUAUAAAACUCCACGCUUUUCUAAGGGAUGGUUUCAAUUUCGAGUGACCUGCCCACCUCAAAAUUUUUUUUAGAAAACUCCAUGCUUUUCUAAAAAAUGGUCUCAAUAUCGGGUGACCGGCCCCUCUUAAAAUUCUUAGAAAACUCCACGCUUUUCUAAGAAACGGUUUCAAUAUCAGGUGACCGGCCCCUCUUAAAAUUCUUAGAAAACUCCACACUUUUCUAAGAAAUGGUCUCAAUAUCGAGUGACCGGCCCAACUUAAAAUUCUUAGAAAACUCCACGCUUUUCUAAGAAACGGUUUCAAUAUCAGGGAACCGGCCCCUCUUAAGAUUCUUAGAAAACUACACGCUUUUCUAAGAAAUGAUCUCAAUAUCGAGUGAUCGGCCCAACUUAAAAAUUCUUAGAAAACUCCACGCUUUUCUAAGGAAUGGUCUCAAUAUCGGGUGACCUGCCCAUCUUAAGAUUCUUAGAAAACUCCACGCUUUUCUUAAGAAAUGAUCUCAAUAUCAGGUGACCGGCCCAUCUUAAAAUUCUUAGAAAACUCCACGCUUUUUUAAGAAACGGUUUCAAUAUUAGGUAACCGGCCCCUCUUAAAAUUCUUAGAAAACUCCACGAUUUUCUAAGGAAUGGUCUCAAUAUCGGGUGACCUGCCCAUCCUAAAACUUCUUAGAAAAACUCCACGCUUUUCUAAGAAAUGGUCUCAGUAUCGGGUGACCUGCCCAUCUCAAACUUCAAAAGAAAACAUCUUACCUCGAGGAAAUGAAGCAGUGCUGGUUCACAAUUCCUAUCCUUUUCCAUAGUUCCGUUGACCAGAGAUUUUGGACCUCAGCAGUUUUCCCAAAAACUUGGAACUAUUUUGGCCUUCGUCACACCUUCUCCUGCCAGGUUAGUGUUAUGACAAUAUAGCAUGCAUGUUUUUUUGUUACCUAUUUUGGAAACAUAGGUCCCCCUUUCUGUUGUAGACUUAUUGAGCUCUUGUUUCCAUUUGCUUGUCCGAUUCGUCCUCUUGAAACAAAAUAUGCUCCAUACGCUAUACUUCUUAUCCUCUUGGUGAAGAGAUCUUUGGUUCUUUAUGGGGCCCUUUUUUUCUCCAUCGAGUAUUGUCUUUUAUUAUUAUUUUAAAAGGAAAACUCAAAAGAUUUAGUUUUGUUCAUGAAAACUAAAACUUUCAAUGCAAUUAGCAAUUCUCAUAAAAUAUGCUUUUUAGAAGUUUUUAUGAUGAUACCCCUUUGGGCUUUGGUUCACUAUGGACCCCUAUGUGCACUUCGUACACUUCUUGCCCCCAGUAUGGUGUGCAAAAAUAUGUCAAGUUUAGAUUUGAUUUGGUUCUCUCCAAUUGAUGGAGUUAUCUCCUUAGUCAUGCGUAAAAAACAGUUCUUUUAAGUAAAAGAUUUCAAAUGCUAUGAGAUCAUACGUUUUAUGAAAAAAAGGUUCUUUACAAAGAGAAUUCAUGGCCGAACUUUAUUUUAUUGACUGGGAAGCAUAGUAUUUAGAGUCAGCAUUCAUAGGUUUAACUAUAUCUUCUCCAUCCAUUCUAGAUAACAAUAAAGCUUCUCUCGAGAACGCUUUCUUUACCACCAAAAGGCCCUCAUUGUUUGGCGCCCAUUUACUCUGAUCUUCUCCUGGUAAAAGGCAACAUUUUCUUCAUUACAAGAUCUCUUUCGUGGAAUCCUCAAGGUCAAAUCUUCUUGUCGUAUGAUUUGGCCAUCCUUCUUUGAUAGAGUUGAUGAUGACAGAUUGCGGCUAUCCUCUUUUCACUGAUCAGAUUCAGCUGUUCAUAUCUAACCUUUGCCCAUUCUACCUCUUCUAGCUCAAAGUCUAUCAAUACUCUUAAUGAGGGGAUUUCCACUUCUAAAGGCAUCACCGCCUCCAUUCCAUAUACCAACGUAUACGGGGUGGCUCCUAUUGAGGUAUGGACUGCGGUGCAGUACGUGUGAAGGGCAAAUGACAACAUCUCAUGCCAAUCUUUGUAGGUGACUACCAUCUUCUUGACAUUUUCGUUAGCAGUUUCUAUAACACCAUUCAUCUUUGGACUAUAUGGCGAGGAAUUGGAAUGCUUGAUUAUUUAGCGAAGAGUUCUAUUAUCAUCUUGCCAUUGAAGUUAUGGGCAUUAUUAGUCAUAAUCUUUUCUAGUGGACCAUAUCGACAGAUCAAAUCUCUUUCCAUAAAUUUCUUCACCACUUUUCACCUCCAUGUCAUCUAAACAUCUCAACAAAGUUCCGUCAGAUGAUUUCUUAUACAAAGUUUCCCCAUCAAGAUAGAUAUUCAUUGCCAACCUCCUCAAAGUCUUUUUGUCGAUUUUGGAUGCCCCCAUGGGAUAUGUCUGGUUUUUGGAUGAAAUUCUUGAUAUCAUAGUACCAAGGGUUUCCAUCUAUUUCUCUCUCAACUGAGCAACAAUGAGCUGGGUUAUUUCUGAUAUCAAUGUGUACCGACCGUACCUUGUGCCCAAAGUUUAUUCUAGCCAUAGAAGCUAACGUGACCAAAACGUCAGCAAAAUGGUUUCCUUCCCUUCCUAGAUGGGUGGACUUUAUUUCCUCAAAUUCUCUAGCCAAUUUAGACAGUUAUUCUUGGUAAGGUCUCAACUUCUCGUCCUUGAUUUGCCAUUUUCCUUUCACUAAUCAAAAUCGAGUCUCCAUACAUAUCUAUCUUUCUAAUAUUCAACUCCAAUGCCACCUCUAAAAUGAGAAUGCAAGCUUCAUACUCCUAUGUUGUUAUUGCACCCAAACUUCAACUUAACUAAAAUCGAAUACUACUUUUUAUUAGGAGAGAUUAUCAUUGCAUCAACUCUAUUACCACAUUCGUUUACAACACCAUCAAAGUACAUAGUCCACCAAUCUAAUUUUCCUUCCUCAACUGAAAACACAUCUUCAUCAGGAGGUACUGCUUGAUUUUCUCGAAAGCUUCUUCACACUCUUAUUACAAAUUCCGAGAUUCUUCUUGCUUAACAAUCGAAGAUUGGGUCACAAGUCAUGGUUAAUUGGGAUAUAAACCGAGCAAUGUAAUUCAACCUUUCUAAGAACUUUCUUACAUCCUUAGGAGUUGGCAUAGAUUGAAUAGCCUUUACUUAACCAAGGUCCACUUCUAUCCUUUUGUCACUCAUCAUAAAUCCUAACAACUUCCCAGAUUUCACCCCGAAUGAACACCUUGCAUGGUUAAGCCUCAACUUGUACUUCCUUGGUCUUUCAAACAAUUCCUUCAAUAUUUGGACAUGAUUCUCUCCCUCUCUAGAUUUAGCAAUCAUGUCAUCCAUGUAUACUUUACUAUUUGUGCAUCAUGUCGUGAAAUAGAGUUACCAUGGCCCUUUGGUAGGUGGCCCCAACAUUCUUCGACCAAAAUGGCAUGACCUUGUAACAAAAGGUUCCCCAUGGUGUUACAAAUGUUGUCUUCUUCUUAUCCUCUUACGCUAUUUUUAUCUGAUUAUAGCCCGAAAAUCCAUCCAUAAAGGAAUAUAUGGAGAUACGUGAUGCAUUUGUCAAACAUAUCUAUGUGUGGUAGACAAACUCUGAUUUUAUCUUCCUUUUUUUGGUACAACCAUUAUGUUGGACACCCAUUGUGGAUAUUUGACUACUUCUAGAAAAUCGAUGUUCCACUGCUUUUCAAUUUCUACCUUUACUUUGAUCAAUACAUCCGAAUGGAUUCUUCUCAACUUUUCCUUAACCGAUUUGCAUCCUUCUACCAGCAGUACCCUUUGUACUACAAUAUCGGUAUCUAAGCCAGACAUAUCCUCAUAGGACCAAGCAAAAACAUCUAUAUAAUCUCGAAGUAACCAACUCUUCUCUUUCUUUAGGAGUGAUCAAAAAUCCCUAUCUUCAGCUCUCUCUUGAUUUCUUCAUUACCCACAUUUAUGGUUUCAAGUUCCUCUUUAGCGGGUCUCCAAGCUUGUUCUUGUUGUCCUAUUUUUAUCCCAUUCUUCCUCUUCUACAGCUACUAUGUAUUCUUUAAAGUUUGGCCAUUCAUUCUUAGUGUAAAGUGCAGGUGUUUGUUUUGGAAGAUCCACUUUGGAAACGGAAAGUGAUGUGUAAAAACAUCAAGAUGAACUUUUGAAAAUGCAUGAUCUCAUUAAAGGGAAAACGUUGUCUCAAAACAUUUGCUCGAGCAAACCGAUUAGGUGUGCAUCAUCAUUCCAAAUUCCUUCAAGCUCUUUUUGGUACUAGGUGUGACCUUUCAUCAUUUUCCUUAGUCAAGUGUUGUGGAUUCUAGAAGGGGGACCUAUGUUUCUAGGUCUGCAGAUGCGUGCAUAGAUGUAUAAGAAAAUGUAUGAUAUAAUGCAUGAUUAUGAUAAGAACGUAUUUGUAUAUUGGGUAUGGAUGCAGCCUUCUUGUGAACGAAUAAUAGCCACCACCUUAUAAACAUAGAUUCUCUUGUCACAUUGCUUUGCUAGGAGUACUGCCUUUCGAGUCAUUUGCUUGAAUCAUAUUCACCAAGAGACAGAUUUUACAUAAGAAGAUGGGUCAACGCCCUUUUCAUUAAUGCUUCAUAAGUUUAUUACAUUUAGAAAUAAAAAGGAAAUACAACAUAUUAAUCCCUUUCCUCCACAAACUCUCUAGCCAAAAGUAAGAAGGCAAACCCGCGGUUCUCAAUCUUCCCUAGAAAGGCAUCGGUUUCAGCUAGGCUUCGGCAAUAGCGAAUGAUGUCCGCUCCCACAUUUCACGCAUUGAUUCUAAUAAUUCGAGCAUGUGCAACAGCUUCAUCCAUUUGCUCAUCUAUCUUGGUCAUCUUUUCUAUGAGCAACAUAUUGGUUCUGUUCAAAGCAGUGUUAUUGGCAUCGAUUUGAUCCUUGUGUUUUUCCAUUGCUGCUAGCUUCUCGUCUAAAUACUUCACCUUUUCACGUUCCUUGUCAAGUUUUAUCCUCAUAACUUUUAUCUCAUUCUUCUUAACCCCUAAUUCUGUUUCAACAGCCUCAAAACGUUUCCUUUUACUUUCUUCUUUUGCAAUCCCCAUCGAACGGGUUUCCAACUCCAUAUAUUUCUUAUUCAAAUCCUCAUACUUCCCAAUCCUAUCCAUCAGUUCGAACUAGACUUGUGCAAAUUUUUCUUGGAAAUAUUCUGCACUUCCUUGGCAAUCGUUAAAGUCAAUCUCCAUUGCUUCAAGUUCAGAGCAACUUUGCAUCCAAUUCAAACUCAUCCCUCUUAGCUCCUUCUCACUUCUUUCCCUAGCAAUCUUCUCCUCACCUAGCUUUAACUCAAGCUUUGUUAUUCGCGCAUCUCUAGAUUGUAUUUGCUCAUCUAGAAAUGCUCUCCUUUUAUCUUCUUUUAGCAUCAUUUCUUCCAACAUUACCUUGUCUUUUCUGCUUUUUGCUCAACUCUGUCCGAAGUUUUUCCACUUGUCUUCUCAACUCCUCUUCAUUAUUGACCCUUUUCCUUUUAAUAGGCUCUUCUACAGUUUGGGGAGAUUUGACUCCUACACAAGGCAUGGCUGAAGCUGCUAAGUCUCUCCAUCUUGCAUAUCCUUCACUUGCACUUGGAUCUUUUAAACCUUCUAUCUCAACCAAAACCAGAUGCUUCCAAUCUUGUUUGAUGAUCUGCAAAACUUCUUGUGCAAUGGGAUCUUUGAACAAACCAAAGAACUGAGCAAUUCCCAUAGUCCUUGGAACAAACUACAUGCCCCCAAGUUGCCUUACCACUAGGGCAGGAGCAUAACUCACAUAACCUGUAAUCCCUACCAAUGGCACCCAACAUCUUUGUCCACAACUCAUUAGGACUUCCACUGUCGUUACCCAUGGGGCUCUCCACUUAAAAUCACUAUUAGGCAAACCUUCUAAUUUGUCAAACCAACCUUGGUUGUCUAGAUCUCCCCAUUCUUUUUCUUCUACUAACUUCAGGGGUCUUUAGGUGAACCACCAAAAAUUAUUGAAGACAGGCUUUUUUGUUUCGAUAUGGCUAACCAUCCAGAUAUACAACAACUGCGUGUAGCAUCUCAUUGCUCCAUUUCUGGUCCUCCUACAAUGAUUAAGUGUCAAGAUGGUUUCAGCUAAAAUAGCAGCCACUGGAUUGAUUUGUGUAUUCUCAUACUUUACAUAAGCAGCAGCGACCUCCAAACUCACUACACCCGUCUGACUUUGGAACAACAUAAGGCCAAAUAUGCCCAAGGCAAUCAAUCUCUCUUUUUCUAAUCCGGACUUCUUUUCCAGUUCAAUUUCUAGCAUCCUCCAUUUCAGACCAGUAGCAUUCUUUUCCAAAAACUUUUCCAAGUUGGAGAUUCUGAGCAGUUUUGACAGUUCGGGGAUGAUCUUGUCAGAUCUCAAAGGCAAAUAUAUCCGAUACAGAUUGUUUGGAAACUCAGUCAACAUCCCAUAUUCCUCCAUAGUGGGACAUAGAUCUAUGCUUCCAAAAGAAAAACACUGGUAGUCUGGAUCCCAAAAAUGAACUAAGGCUCGCACAGCUGGGCUUAAAACUUCUACCCUUGCGAUUUCCACCAAACAUCCAUAUUUCCUAAAAAAUGCAUCUUUAUCCACAUUCUGAAAAUGAGUCGUUAACUUGUUGACCUCAUUCAUAAUGCAAUUCAGGUUCUUGAUUGGUGACAUCUUCUUAGCAUCGCUUCUAAGGCAGUCUCCUUCAGUCAAUUGUGACAGUUCAGAAUUUUUCCCAUACUCUAUGAUGGAAGAUUUAGUGAUGGUGGCCAUUUCGUUCACAAGUCCUGCAAUUCAAGAUGCUUUAGGGUUAGACUUGUUUUGAUGCAAAAGAUAUUAUGGAGCAUACAACCUAAGGAUAGGUUCUAGUUCCUUUACGUGAGACAUACGGUAGGUUUACUACUUGGUCUCUAAAAAAAGGUCUCUUGUUGUCCUAGUGAUCGCCCUCGUAAAGGCAAUAUGGGGGUUCAACAGAUAAUGAGAUGGCACAUGUACCCAUUACUAUCAGUCUAAACACUCAGCAAAGAGUUGGGGUUUACACAAACUUAAACCUUGACUCAAGUCAUAAGGCAAGCUGCUAGUUCCCCACUUAACUUAAAGUUAAAUGUGUGUGCCCUCAAAAAGAUAAUAAUAAUAAAGUGAUGCAUGAUUAUACCAUGUAUGACAGAAUGUAAAGAUCCAUGCUAAAGCUUUUAAACAAAGUAUCAUUCAUGUAAGAAAACAAAAACCAAUAACACAUAGCAUAAACAAAAAAAUUACCAAGCCUAGUCCUAAGUCCCUAGUGGAGUCGCCAUCCUGUCGCACGAUCGCAGCGGAGUGCCGCGUCGCGGCGAACCCUCGAUUGAUUUUGGGGUCUUUGUUGUUGUUUGUGUAAAGGAGUCGCCACCUAGUAUUUUGGUCACUAGGAACCCUUACUGGUCUUUCAGAUAUUCUAAGGCAAGGGACUGGUUGUGUAAAGGAAAGGUAUUAGCACCCCUAGUACGCCCUACCUAAGGUAAGCUGCUUGGUGUUUGGUUUGCUUUAUAAUUGCUAUGGUGUUGGUGUUUUCUAAUCACAUCAGUUUUCCUAGGUUUGAUUCAAACUAAAUUUAUUAAGAUAGAAAUCCAAGGAGAUUCCAUGUGCUUUAAAAGCUUAUUUUUCCCUUAGUAUUUCAAGAGUUUGCGACUCGUAAAUCGCAAGGAGGAGGGACAAAAAUCUAAGGAAAUUCAUGACGCUUUAAAAGCAUAUUUUUGCCUUAGUGUUUCAUACUCUCACGGCUCGUAAACCGUGGAGUAAAAAAAUUGAAAUGUCCUCGAUUAUAAUCAAGGCUUCUUUCAAGGAUGUGUGGUGACUUAUUAUUCCUAGAAAAAUAUUUUGGAUAUUAACCACUUGGGGUUUCUUUAUCCAAAUAUUAACAGCGAAUAAUAACAAGUUAUUCCCAAUAAUAGAUGACUUCCCCCCAAAAAAUAAGAUUUUUGUAUUUUUUGGAAUAUUGGCCAAUACCCUUUGGAGUUUUACAAACAUGUUGUAAAAUCCAGAAAUGCAAGAGAAAUAAUUUUUUAUUGUGUUUAAGAAAUCCAUGCGAAAACACAUUUUCAAAACUUCAAAUAUUUAUUUUUUAUAUAUAAAAAAAAACGUUCAAAACAUGUUAGGGUAUUGGCCGUAUGCAUGAAAACAUUAUAUAUAUAUAUAUAUAUAUAUAUAUAUAUAUAUAUAUAUAUAUAUAUAUAUAUAUAUAUAUUUGCCAUCUUUGUGUUGAAAACCGGGUAUUCUAAAUGCGAGAUUGAUAUUUUUUUUAUAAUAAAAAAAAAUACAAACCUUAAAAUAAAUAUGCUAGAAAAUUAUCAAUCUCUCUCCCUUUCUUUUUUUGGAGAAAAAAAAAAGGAUGAAACCAGUAGAUCCAGUCGGGUCACUUGCCAAAGCAAGUGACCUUGGCAAGUGACCCGGCUGGACAAAAAAAAAAAACUCAGCUACUGUUCAAGUGAAUUAUAAUUCACUUGAACAGUAAACAUAAAAGGCAUGCACAGUAGCUAUGUAAUUAAAAUGCAAAGUGAAGAGAAUGCAUGGAAACUUACCUUGCGCUGAAACGGGCAAAGGCGAUGGCGCUGAGACGACUGGACGCUGCUCAUGAAGGAAGAUCCGGCCUGCUGCUCUUGCUUAUUGCUUCUCAAAGUGGCUGAGGAAUUGCAACUGGUGAUGACCGCGCCCAUGCUGGUUCUUGCUCCCAGUGCAGAGAAGAAAACACAGCUACUGCUGGCGAUAGGGAAGAGAUAUGGACGACUGGGAUCAGCUGCUGGUGCAGAGACGAGACUGGUCGCCAUCCUGGAUUGCUGCUGCGGCUAGUACCUGCUCCUGGUGAUUGAGGGGCUGCGAGUCAGCGAUGGCUUCCGGAGCUGAAGACGACACCGCUGUUGAAGCUGGAGACGGCUGCGUACUGGUGCAGGACUCAGAGAAGAGCUGUCUGUUUGGAAUGUUAAGCAAAGCUCCUGACGUACGCUGCUUGUGGCUCACGGUUUUGGCUGGUCUUAAGAGAAGUUGCCGGAUCGUGGGGGAGAAUCUGGUGGUGAUGGGGAGAAGCCAAAAAGAAAAGAAGGAGAGGACGAGGCUUUGGUUUUCUUGUUGUUCGGGUGAUAGAGGGAAGAUGUGUUUCGGUUUUGAGAAUGGAGAUGGAAAGGGCAGUGUGCAGCUGAAGGUGGGUGGUCGAGAGAGAGUCUGAAAGUUUGUGUUGAUGAGCGACUAUGGGCUGUUUUUUAGACUGACGGGAAGGGAAAACUUUGCUGAGGGAAGGGGAAGGUCUGUGAAAAGAGAGAUGGGGCUGUGAAUUUAAUGGGGUUCUUUGGUUUUGCAAGGGAAGAAUGGAGAUGGGGAACUAACAGAGAGGGGAGCUGCUGCGUUUUGGAGGAGAGAUGGCGAUGGUGGAACGACUGAGAGGGGAAUGGGGGUUCUGGUGAAAGGGAGAGGGGACAGUGUAUGGCCAGAGAGAGAUCCUUCGUUUCCUCAAAGGGAGUGGCUGCUUCGUUGUUUUUAUUUUUAAAAGAUGAGCAGGGGCUACGACUUCUUUGCUAGAGAAAUAGGGUUAGGGUUUUUCUGUGUUUCUCUCAAUUUUUGUUUGUCUCUUUGCCCCUUGUAAAUUUUUCUUCCCCUUAUGCAUAUGGCUGGAUAUUUAUUUAUAUAGAAAAUCUCUAUACGUUCUAUUUAAAGAAAUAUUACAAUAAUUAUUGCAGAGAUUGUCUUCUAUAACUAGUACCAACAAAUCCUAUAUAUAUAGUAUUUUUUAUUGUAGUGAUUAUUUUCCAUAACCAGCACGAAUCAAAUCAUAUAUCUAUGAUAUUGCAGUAAUUAUAUAUGAUUCAGUAAUUAUCUCCUUGACAUAUUGCUUCCUUAACCCUGAUGCUCUAUGUUCUCGCCACAUGUAAAUCUUUAUUUUUUUUUUUUAUUUUAUUUUUAUUUUUUUAUUUUUUUAAAAAAUUAUCAAAACAUGGGUCAAAUUUUGGGUAGCAACAAGUAUCAUCAUCCUCUAUAGCAUCCAGUUCAAUUUGAUGCUCCUAUUUUGUCCCUACAAUUGAUGCAGCUUCCCAGUUCCAUGUACCAUUCUCUGCAACUUUUACAUCUCUAGCAAUCACAACUUUGUUAGAUUUCAAAUCAUAGAUUUUACAAGCCUUAGAUUUUGUGCUAUAGUCUAUAAGAAUUCCCAUAGUAGCCUUUUGAUCAAGUUUUCUUCUCUUAACUUCAGGUUGCAAGACAUAGCAAGGGCUGCCAAAAACUUUUAAAUGAUCAACAUUGGGUUUAAAGCCAUAACAGAUUUUAUAAGGAGUCUUAUCUCCUAACACUCUUAUGGGCAUACGAUUUAGAAGGUAGGAUGAUGUGUUUAUUGUCUCUGCCCAGAAUUUUAAUGGCAUUUUCUUCUCAUAUAGCAAGCAUCUUGCCAUUUCCAUCAAUGUUCAGUUUCUCCUCUCACUGACUCCAUUCUGUUGUGGAGUGUAAGGCAUUGUUAGCUGAUGUUUGAUCCCUUCUUUUGCCAAAUACCCUUUAAAUUUUCGAGAGGUAAACUCACCCCCAUUAUCAAAUCUCAACAUCUUCAGUUUGUUUCCUGUUUCUAGUUCAACUGUUGUCUUAAAUCUUACAAACUCAGCAAACACAUUAGCCUUAGAUUUAAGAAAAUAAACCCAGCAAAAUGUACUAUAGUCAUUAACAAAUAAUAUAAAGUACUUUGAACCAUUCAAAGAUUCCUUGUGCAUCGGAUCACACACAUCUGUGUGUACCAGCUGGUGCUUUGAUGAUGCUCUAAAUGCAUUUAUCAGGAAAAACAAUUCUAGUCUGCUUUCCUAAUUGACAAGCUUCACAAAUAUCAUGUUGUUCUUGUAUUUUGGUAAACCAGAAGCCAUCUACAGAUCAGCCAUCCUUUUUAAGGUAGCAUAAUUGAAAUGCCCCAAUCUUUUAUGCCAUAAAACAGAAUCGGUUCUAUUAAAACUUCUUUUAUGACACAAGUGUUAACACUCAAACAAGCUUCUUUCCAAUCAAUAUUAAAACUUCUAUUCAUCAUCUUAGCAGAGAGCAAUAGUAUUCCCAUCUUGUCUCUAAUAUUGCACAUUCCAUCAUUAAAAGAUAAUGAGUAGCCAGAUUCCAGUAAUUGUCCCACACUUACUAGAUUCUGAUUAAUCUUAGGUACAUAAAGCAUAUUUUUUAGAGUUUUUGUACCUGACAUUGUUUCAACUUCAAUCACCCCUUUGCCUUCAACCUUCACAUACUCUUCAUUGCCAGUUCUGACUUUGGACAUGUAGCUUUUAUCCAAAUCCUUGAAUAAACUCAAAUCCGUAGUCAUAUGAUUAGUGCAGCCACUAUCAAUAAGCCAUGAUGAAUUGUUUACCACUGCUGUGUUGCACAUCUGUUCUAAUGUAGCCAUGAAUAAAUGAUCUUCCUUGGCUUUUGAAUUUUCUGCAAUAUAAGCUUGUUUCACUGCUUCUGAUUUGUUUUUACAGAACCUUUGGAUAUGACCAAAUUGUUUGCAACUUCUGCAUUGUGCAUUCUUAAGUCAACACCAAGCUUCUAGAUGAUUUGUUUUCUGAAAGAAUUUGCAAGGAGGGAAAUGUUCUCUCUUUUCUUUCCCUCGAGUGAUAAUGUUUUUGCUGAUCUGAUGCUAAUUAUUUGAUUGUCAACUUCUCCCUCUUUGUCUUUUUCCUUCUUGAUUGUUCCUGUACAAAUUCUUAGCUCGACUCUCCUUGGAAACUGCAACAAGAGCUCCUUCACUUGUUUCUUCUUAUCUGUAAGCUUGCCUAUGCUCUACCACUUGUAAUGCAUUAACCAAUUCUUGAAGACUCAUUUCUGAAAAAUCUUUGAAUCUUUCAAAGAGCAAAUCUUAUGCUCAAAUUUCUUUGGUAGACUUACCAGAACCUUCUCCACUAUUCUUGAAUCCAGAAAAUCUUCCCCCAAAAGUCUCACUUGAUUCACAAGUUUUAAAAUUUGAGAUGAGAAGUCUUUGAUGGUUUCAGUUUCCUUCAUCUUUAAACCUUCAAACUGUCUUCUAAGGUUUAAAACCUGUAUCUUUAUUGACUUCUCCUCACCAUGAAAUUCUGCUUUAAUUUAUCCCAUGUUUCUUUGGCAGAUUUACACGCCAUAAUCCUUAUGAAGAUUUCUUCACUCACAGCAUUAUGAACACAGGUAAGAGCUUUGAAUCGUUUUGCCUUUUCUUCAUUAAAAAACUUCAUUUGUGCAAUCGUAGGAUUGUUUCCUAGUGGAAUUGGUUGUUUAUCGCUCUCCACUAUCUCCCAUAAGUCAAAAGCUUUGAGAUAAGUUUCCAUUUUCACAGCCCACACACCGAAAUUUUGCCUUGUGAACACUGGUGUCUUUGCUGGAAAAUUUACAGAAUCCAUUUCUUAACAAAAAAAAAACUCACUUAAUCUCUUGUGUUUCACUCACAAUCCCUUCAAAGAAAACUGCUUUGAUUUAACCUCACUAAUCUCUCGUGUUUCACUCACAAUCCCAUCUAAGAUCAAUAAAUUUCUCUGAUACCAAAUGUUGAUAAUAGGUAUAUAAAGAACUGAAUGUUGAUGAUAACCAAAAAAACAAAGAACAAAGAACUUGCAGCAAAGAACAAAGAGCAGAAUGUUUUCAUACGUUACUUCCAUCCCUUAGCUUUUAUUUAUAGAUGAAAUCAAUCACAACAAAAUUAAGAAACGUAACUAACAUAAACUUCUUCAUUUAAAGAGCUAUGUAACUUAUUCUAAAUAAGUUUCAAAUCUAAAGAAGUAAAAACUGACUAAACAACAUCAAGAUAAUGAUGUUACUAAUGGAUAGACAUUGAUGAAAGAUAACCUCCAGCUAAUAUAUUAAUUUCAGCUUUGGUGCCAUAACUUCAACAUCAAUAAUAGCCGCUCAAACAUCAUCUUAGAUCUCAUACAUUGUGAUUUAUGGGGACCAACACCUAUAGCUUCCAUUUCAGGAUAUCGAUAUUACAUCAUUUUUAUCAAUGAUCACUCGCGCUUCACUUGGUUUUAUCCAUUGAAGAACAAAGCUGAUUUUUAUCCCACUUUCAUCCAAUUUCAAACCUUGGUUGAAAAUCAGUUCUCAUCAAAAAUAAAAAUAUUUCAAAGUGAUGGGGGGGUGAAUUCACGAGUGCAAUCUUUAAGUCUCAUCUCGUUAAAUGUGGCAUUCAUCAUCAAAUUUCUUGUCCUUAUACACCAUCUCAAAAUGGCAGAGCCGACAGGAAACAUAGACACCUCACUGAAACAGGUCUCACAAUGCUUUUUCAUGCUAAUUCUCCUUUUCAUUUUUGUUUUUAGGUUGAAGCCUUUAGUACAGCCGUAUACAUCAUAAAUCGCUUGCCUAAACCUGUCAUAAAUGAACUAUCUCCAUUUGAAAUUCUGUAUGGUAAGACUCCUUCUUAUGCUAUGUUUCACACAUUUGGCUGCUUGUGCUUUCCAUAUUUACAUGAUUAUGCUAAACAUAAAUUUGAACCACGCAGUCUUCCUUGUAUCUUUCUUGGAUACAAUACUUCCUAUAAAGGAUUCCAAUGUUUAGAUCCUAUAUCACAUCGAGUUUUUGUCACCAUGUAUGCACGAUUUAAUGAAACAGUAUUUCCAUUUUUAUCUUCUAAUAUGCAGCCUUCUUCAGCUCUUUCAGAUUUCAUUUUCUUUCAUGAUCCCUGUGUAUCGAACUCUUCCUUGUCUGGCUUUAAUUCUUCUGCAGAUUCUCAAUCCUCACAACACACAUCUGAGUCUCUGCCAUGUAAAUCUUGUGCCUUAGAGUUGGACAAUUCUCAUGUGUCAGCACUGCCUCUACCUUCUCCAAAUACUUCCUCAAUUGAAGUUAUAUCAGAUAUGCCGCCUCCAUCAAAUCUGCGCUCCUCAACUCAGAACUCUCAUUCUAUGAUCACUCGUGAGAAAGCUGGUAUCUCCAAAACUAAGCAUUCCAAUUAUGUUUGUUAAGUUCCGUCCUAUCCUUUGCUAUACUCUCUUAUAGUAACGAAGGAACCAAAGGGAUUCAAAAAUGCUGCUAAAAUUCCAGAAUGGCUUGCUGCCAUGAAUGAAGAAAUUCAUGCUCUCCAACUCAAUCAAACAUGGGAUUUAGUUCAAAGACCAUCUGCCAAAAAUGUUGCUGGCUCCAAAUAGGUCUUUCGUACUAUUUAUCAUUUGGAUGGAAUUGUUGACAAGCUCAAUGCUCGCCUUAUUGCUAAAGGCUAAACACAACUCUAUGGUCUUCAUUUUAAUGAUACAUUCAGCCUAAUAGUUCGCACAUCCACAGUCAGACUCGUCCUCUCUAUCUCAGUUUCUUGUGGUUGGAUCAUACAUCAACUAGAUGUUAAAAAUGCUUUCUUACAUGGUAUACUACGAGAAAAGGUUUAUAUAGAGCAACCACUAGAAUAUAUUGAUGCCUUUUACUAUUGACCAAGAAUGACUCUAGAAGUAAAAUAAAAUCUCAGGAGAGUCUGAGUUUGUUUAUAGUAUCAGAGUUUGUUUACUGUUACUAUUUUAAUGGCUAUCUUUUAUUCUAUGUAACAGAAAAUUAGAUAUGCUUGGAGAAUAUCUUGCAAUUUUGUUUUUCCUUAUUGUAUAAAUAAUCGUGUUGAAUUCAAUAAAGUAAUUGUUCUGCUGCAGCUACAAUAAGAAAGUUUUGUUUUCUCUUCAAUAUAUAUAACAAAUUGGUAUCAGAGCUUAUUUUCUUGAGGGACUUAUGAGAUUGAGAGAUCCUAAACACAACCUUCAAACACUUGUGAGAUUGAGAGAGCCUAAACACAACCUUCAAAUACUUUUCAUCUAAACACAACAUAACCAAUAUGAACUCAAAAAUGCCAUUUAUUGCAGUGGCACCUCCAGUAUUUGAUGGGAUCAAUUAUCAAGUAUGGGCUAUUAGAAUGGAAGCCCAUCUUGAUGCUAAUGAUCUAUGGGAAGCAGUUGAACAAGUAUAUGAAGUGCCAACUCUAUCAGACAAUCCAACUGUCGCAUAAAUAAAAAAUCACAGAGAGAAGAAGCAGAGAACAUCGAAAGCAAAAGCAACUCUGUUUGCAGCAGUCUCACCCACCAUUUUUUACAUAAUAAUGACUCUAAAAACAGCAAAGGAAAUUUGGGAUUUUCUGAAAGGAGAAUACAAAGGAAAAGAGAGAAUUAAAGGGAUGUAGGUGCUCAACUUAAUCCGAGAAUUUGAGUUACAAAAGAUGAAAGAAUAAAAAACAAUCAAGGAAUAUUCUAUCUUAGUAUUAUUAACAAUAUAAAACUCCUUAGCACUGAUUUUUCUGAUUCUAGAAUUGUUCAAAAAAUUCUAGUAACAAUUCCAAAGAAGUUUGAGACGACAAUCUCAUCUUUAGAAAAUUCUAAAGAUUUGUCAAGCAUUACCUUGGUAGAGUUGUUGAAUGCACUACAAGCACAAGAGCAAAGGAGGCUGAUGAGGCAAGAAAAAACUGUAGAGGAUGCAUUCUUUGUCAAAUCCCAAAAUAACAAUGAUGGUAAGAAUAGAAAAAAACAGAACAACAAGUUUGGAGGCUCUGCAUUCAACACCAGAAACAAUAAGACCAGCAAUACUCAAAGCUUUCCACCCUGCCCUCACUGGAAAAAAAACAAUCAUCCUCAGAAUAAAUGUUGGUAGAGACCUGAUGCACGUUGUUUUAAGUGUGGUCAGUUAGGGCACAUGGAAAAGAUAUGCAAGACUCAACAACAACAAACUGAAGCCAAGGUUGCCGAUGAUCAACAUCAGGAGGAGCAUAUAUUUGUGGUAUCAUGUUUAGCCACAAAUAAAUUCACAGAAAACUGGCUCAUCAACAACAAUUGUACAAAUCAUAUGACUCAUGAUGGAAAGCUCUUCACAGAGCUUGAUAGAAAUGUUAUUUCCAAAGUUAAGAUUGGAAAUGGAACUCACCUGAAAGUCGAAGGCAAAGGAACAGUAACUAUUGAAACACACUCACGUUUUAAAUUAAUUUCAAAUGUACUAUAUGUUUAUGAAAUUCAUCAAAACUUGUUAAGUGUUUCUCAACUGCUAGACAUAGGUUAUAAAGUGUUGUUUGAAGAUAAAAGUUGUGUGAUUGAAGAUGUUGAGGGCAUAAAAUUCUUCAAUAUUCAAAUGAAAGGCAAAAGUUUUGUACUGGAUUUUAAAGAAGAGCUGGUUGUUGUACACAAAGAAGUCAAUAAUUCAAUGCUUUGGCAUAAGAGAAUGGGGCAUUAUUGUUAUGAAGCAUUAUUUUUCAUGGAAAAGAACAACAUGGUGAAAGGCUUGCCUAAAUUAGGAAAAGAUUUUCCUAUAUGUGCUGCCUGUCAAUAUGGAAAGCUGUCAAGACUUCCAUUUCAACAAAGCAAAGCCUGGAGAUCUACACAGAAGUUGCAAUUAAUUCACAUAGAUGUUGGAGGACCAAUGAACCCAUCAUCUCUAAAUGGAAGUAAGUACUAUGUUUCCUUCAUUGAUGAUUAUUCCUGAAUGUGUUGGAUUUACUUUAUGAAAUUCAAAGCGGAAGUUGCUAAUAUAUUUGGAAAAUUCAAAGCUUGGAUUGAAACUCAAAGCAACUACAAAAUUCAGGUAAUCAGAUCCGAUAAUGGAAGUGAAUACACUUCUGAAAAAUUUAACAGAUUUUGUGAAGAUGCAGGCAUUGAACACCAGCUAACAGCACCAUAUUCUCCACAACAAAACGGUGUUGUGGAAAGAAAAAACAGGACAGUGAUGGAGAUGACUAGAUGUUUGCUUUAUGAUAAAGGACUAUCCAAGAAAUUCUGGGAUGAGGCAACUAAUACAUUAGUAUUCUUGUUGAAUAGAUUGUCAACAAAAGCCUUGCAGACAAGGACUCCAUUUGAAGCCUAGUUUGGCUACAAACCAAAGCUAAUUAAUCUAAAGAUAUUUGGUUGUUUAUGUUUCUCUUAUAUUCCUCAAAAUAAAAGAGACAAACUGGACAAGAAGGCUGAAGCUGGGAUUUUUGUAGGCUACAGUGCUGUUGCAAAAGCCUACAGAAUCUACAUACCUCAAAGAAACAAAGUAAUCAUCAGCAAGGAUGUUCAGUUUUUAAAAUCUAACAGCUGGGAUUGGAAGGAUGAAAAGCAGAUUGAAGAUCAAAAUCAGAAGAAUGAAAUAGAUGAUGAACUUGUGAAAGGAACUAGAACUCUUGCUUACAUCUAUCAAAGAUGCAAUGUUGCUGCAAUAGAACCUGCAAAUUAUGAAGAAGCUGCAACUGAGCAAAAAUGGUUAGAUGCAAUGGAGGAGCUAAAGACGAUUGAAAAGAGUCAAACGUGGGAAUUGGUGGACAGAGCUCAACAAAAAAAAAGCCAUAGAAGUCAAAUGGAUUUUUAGAAUCAAAUUGAAUUCUAAUGGUUCUGUGAAAUAAAUGCAAGGCAAGGCAGGUUGUCAAGGGAUAUGCUCAGAUGUUUGGGGUGGAAUUUUCUGAAACAUUCGCUCCAGUUGCAAGGAUAGAUAUAAUAAGAAUGUUGUUGGCACUUGCUGCACAAAAAGGCUGGACUUUACAUCAAAUGGAUGUCAAGUCAACUUUUUUGAAUGGUUACUUAGAGGAAGAAAUCUUUGUUGAAUGACCUGAAGGUAUUUCUAUUGCAGGACAAGAGAAUCAGGUAUAUCAACUAAAAAAAGCCUUAUAUGGCUUAAAGUAGGCUCCAAAAAGUUGGUACAGCAGGAUUGAUGCUUACUUGCAGAACUUAGGCUUUAUAAGAAGUCUAAGUGAAUCUAUUCUUUACAUUAAAGGAGCUGAAGGACAGAUACUUGUUGUAUCUCUUUAUGUUGAUGAUUUACUAAUAAUAGAAAGCUGUAGAGAGCAAAUUGACAAGUUCAAAUAAGAGAUGAAGUCUGUUUUUUAAAUGACAGACCUUGGAGGGAUGACAUUCUUUCUUGGCAUGCAAAUAUUUCAAAAAAAAAUGAAAUAUUCUUGUGUUAGCACAAAUAUGCAAAGGAAAUUCUCAAGAAGUUCAACAUGGAACAAUGCAAGCCUACUACAACACCAAUUAAUCAAAAGGAGAAGUUCUACAAGGAGAUGGAGCUGGAAAAGUGGAUGAAAAGCUAUACAAAAGCCUAAUAGGUUGCCUAAUGUAUUUGACAAUAACAAAACCAGACAUCAUACAUGUUGUAAGUCUAUUAUCUAGAUAUAUGCAUUGUGCAAGUGAAAUUCAUUUUGAAGCAGCAAAGAGAAUCCUCAGGUACAUAAAAGGCAUAGCUAAUUAUGGGAUCAAAUUCAGUCAAGUUGAAAAAUUCAAUCUUCAUGGCUACUCUAACAGUGACUGGGCAGGAAACAUUAAUGACAUGAGAAGCACCUCUGGUUAUUACUUUAGCUUCAAUUCAGGUGUUUUUUCAUGGAGCUCAAAGAAACAAGAAAUUGUUGCUCAAUCUACAGCAGAAGCUGAAUACGUUGUUGUUACUGCCUCCGCAAACCAAGCAGUUUGGAUUAGGAAACUACUAAAAGAUUUGAAUCUGAAGCAAAAUGAAAGCACACAACUGUUUGUGGACAACCAAGCUGCAAUAUCAAUCUCAAAUAAUCCAGUAUUUCAUGGUAGAACAAAACAUUUCAAGAUUAAAAUUUUCUUUCUAAGAGAAGUUCAACAAGAAGGGGAACUGAAGCUGCUUUACUGCAAAACGGAGGAACAACAUGCAGACAUCUUAACAAAAGCACUUCCCAAGCUCAAGUUUGAGUAUUUGAGACAGAAGUUAGGAGUUUACAGCUUCAGAGUCAAUGAGGAGAAUUGUUGAUCAAGAAUGACUCUAGAAGCAAAAUAAAAUAUCAGUAGAAUUGAGUUUGUUUACAGUAUCAGAGUUUGUUGCUAUUUUAAUGGCUAUCUUUUAUUCUAUGUAACAGAAAAUCAGAUAUGUUUUGAGAAUAUCUUGCAAUUCUGUUUUUCCUUAUUAUAUAAAUAAUCAUAUUGAAUUCAAUAACAUAUGUGUUCUUUUGCAACUACAAUAAGAAAGUUUUGUUCUCUCUUCAAUAUAUACAACACUUACCCACAUCAUGUUUGUUGUCUCAAAAAGGCAAUCUAUGGCUUGAAACAAGCCCCAAUAGCAUGGUUUCAUCGAUUCACCACAUUCUUACUCACUAUUGGUUUUAGUUGUUGCAAAUCAGAUUCUGGCCUAUUUGUUCAUUCAUCGGCCAAUGAUAUUCUUUAUGUGAUGUUUUGUAUUAAAAAGAUAGGAAAUGGCAACAAAACCCUUGGAGGCUUAAAGAGUAAGUAUAAUUAAAUGAGGGGUAGUGUGGUAAUUGAACAAUAGUUGAUAAAUAUAAAUAGAAAGAAAAAAAAGAUCUGAAUAUUUUGAGAGAGAACCGGCAGGAGUGAAGGGAGAAGAAAAGGGGAUGAAGAAGAAGAGAAAAGAGGGAAAUUAGAAGAGAAAUAGAAAGGAAUUGAAGAAAUAAGUAGUAAGAUUUAGGUUGUUAAAUGUAUAAAUGUAUGUUAAUUGAACUUUAAUUUCAGUUUUGAUGAAUGUUAGGGUUUUGAAAAUUUAUGUUUUUGGGUUUAUUGAUGAAUUAAAUUGAAUGUUAUGGGUUGAUUAUUAUGGGUAAUUGAUUAUUUAGUUGAUUAUGGAAGAUUGUAGAUAAAAAUGAUGAUUUUGAGUUAUGAUUUUGUUUGAAAGGUGAAUUUGUGUUAGAAAUCAGGAAAGAACAGUGGGUUUUCUGUUGAAAUUCUGGGUUGGAGGUUGAAGAUGACAAAAUUUCGGUUUGGUCCCUCAAUUUUGGAAAAUUACAGUUUAGUCCCCAAACUUUGGAAAAUUAUAGAUUGGUCCCUGGAGUAUAUUCCGAGAUUCUGGACAGAAUAAAAGAUGAAUUAUGGACAGAAUUCCAGUAUAGUUAUGAAUUUUUAACACUUUCAAUUUGGUCCUCCAAUUUGACAAAAAUUACCAUUUGACCCUAAAAAUUUGGAAAAAUUCUAGAAUGGUCCCUGGAGUAUAAUGAGAUAUUCUGGACAGAAUUGAAAAUUAAUUAUGGUAAUAAUUUCAGUAUAGUCAUGGAUUUAUGAUAUUUUUAGUUUGGUCCUUCAAUUUGACAAAAAUUACAAUUUGACACUAAAAAAUUGAAAAAAUUCUAGAAUGGUCCCUGGAGCAUAAUGAGAUAUUUUGGACAGAAUUGAGGAUUAAUUAUGGUCAUAAUUUCAGUAUAGUCAUGGAUUUAUGAUAUUUUUAGUUUGGUCCUUCAAUUGGACAAAGUUACAAUUUGACCCUUAAAAAUAUGAUAAAUUCAGAUUGGUCCCUAACUAUAAUAUUACCUUUUGCAUAUUGGUUUGAUGAAUAAUUGAGGGUUAUUUAGUGAAUUAUUACUAAUUUUAUUAUUUAUUUUUAUUAUGGAAUAGAUUUCGGGAAAACCGUUAAAUUUUGGGUUUUUGGGAAAAUUGACUAGUUAGUUUAAAAACAUAUAGGGUUAUGGAAUACACUCUUAGAUAAGUGUAUUAAAUAGGUUAUAUGUUCUUUUGGGUCAUUCUUGAAUAUGUCUCAUUUGUAUUCAGAUAAUCCUGAUAUUCUACCGGCGGGUCAUUAGUAGGAUUUCCAUCGGUAUCUGCUUUUGAGUGUGACACAAUCAAAGAGUUGAUGUCUUAUCUCAAGUGCAGGAGUGUCGAAGUAAUAAAUAACUCGACAAGACCAGGGUCGAACCACAGGGAGGUCAAUUAUAUAAAUUACAAAUAAAGAGAAAGAUUUGAAGAGAAUAAUAACAGAAAAGGAGUUGAAGAGAGUUUUGGGAAGUUUUAUUAGUGUAAGGAUUAAACAAUGAUAAAACAGAUGUCAAAAUUAGAGGAUUCACUAAUGGUAUUUCAAAUAAAUAUAAUCCAGCUAAUAACAGAUGUUUUAUAAAUAACUCUUUUUAUUACUCAAUUGGAAACCACACACAAAAGAGGUUCCAAUCGGAUGAUUUAUCGUUAUUAGCUCAUUAUAAAUUAUUAACAUGAUCAUAUUAAUCAUCUUAUCUAAAUAACACCAUACUUAUAAAUAUCAUCAGGCAUUCAUGUUGCUAGCUUAUGUUAACAACAAAUCAAGUUCCUAUCAUAACAACGAUGUCGGCCGAAAACUAUGAAGGAUCAAGCAUUUGAUGUACCAAGUGUUAUACAACACAAAUCUAGAUUAACCAUUUAACAAGCAAGGUGUUAAGAAUUAGUAAGAUAAAAAGAUAAGACAUGCUAAUAACAAUUUUUCUUGGAUAUAAACAUUAAAGUCCAUGUUGAGUUUAUAUUAUACCUAUUCUAACACCAUUAGUGAAACCUUUUCACCUUGACAUAAUUAACUUAGCUAAACAUAAUGAAGAAGAAAAACAUAAAUAAACAAUACAAGAACAUAAACAUGAUAUAAGUUAACUAAGUAUAGGAAAGGAAAUGAAAAAGCAUAAACAAGAGAUUAAUAUAGCAUGAAAGAAAACUUGAACAUUACAAAGAUAUAAAGAGAGAAAGCAAGAACAUGAUUUUGAUCUGAAAAAUAAUAUGACUAAAUACAUGGCAAAUGCCUCCUUUUAUAGGCUAAGAUUCAGAACUAUUGAUUGGCAGGCAACUAUUGAUUUGGUGGCUGGUUCUUGACAUUGUUGGCUGCUGGUUCUUGAUAUUGUUGGCAGAUUUUUGAUAUUGUUGGCUGGCCAAAAUGUCAUUGCUAACAUCAUAAUUUGAGCCCUUUGUUCCAUGAAAGCUGUGGGAAAUUGUCUCAGCUUUCCAACAAAAAAAACCAGAGCUCAUUUGGACUUCUAGAACUCAAGAUAUGAGCUGAAAACCGAACAGUGUUUGAGCUGCAAGACAGGUUCCAACUUCUCCGUUGUUGCUAAGAUUUGAACUUUUAAAUGGCAGAAUUGAGUCUUGAACUCUUCAUGAAAGUUUUAGGUCUAUGUCUUAUCUUUCCAUCCAUAUAAAGUGGACCUAAAUCCGAGUUCUACAACUCCAGUUAUGAUCAAAUAACCGAAUGGUGUUCCAGUUUGAAAUUGAACCAGCAUCUCUUCUCUUAGCCUAGUCCUCUUUUUGUCUCUUCACUUUCAAUAGUUAAUCACAUCAAUCAAUCCUUUGAAUUGUGAGAUAUACCUGCAUUCAAAACAAGCAUUUACCAUAAAUUAAAGAUAUAUUAUAUUAUUAGACUUGUUAUUAUAAAACAUGCUUUAGUUAGGGAAUUUAACGAUACUUUAGUGCAAUAUGAUGAUAUAAAGCCUUAAUGAGAAUGCACUUUUAAGUACUAAUCACACCCCCCCCCAACCAGCUUAUUACUAGUCCCUAGUAAUCAAAGCGUUAAAAUAUAAAAACAAUUUGCAAGUUCCACAAAGCAAGGUAUUCAUCAUUUAACUUCCAUUAAUCUAUCCAAAUAAAUAAACUCUCAUUAAAUUUAUAUAUCUGCUUCAUGCUUCUUAAACAAGAUAUUAAUAAACCUUCUUUUUGUGCUCAAUAAAUCAAAACAUAGCUAUGGAGCUUUUCAUGGAAGAAAACAAAAUUUUGUUCCAAUGUUUAAGGUUAACUUCCUUGGGUUGGGAUUAUUAUCUCUUUUUUUUUUAAAAAAAAGCAAGAAUUUAUAACACAAUGUAUCUUGAACCCAUGUAACGAGCUUUUAGCUAAUAACUCCCAGACCAGUUGGUCUUAGGGCAUCAGGUGUUGAGACACCCCUACGAGCUUAGUAACUCGGGUUGCAGAUACUGAUACGUAGAUAGUGCAAUGUUUGAUUCCCUUAAAAUUUUCUCCGUAACCCAUGUAACAAGCACUGGGCCAAUAGCUCCCAAGUCAGUUGACUUUAGGGUACUAGGUGUUAAAACACCCCUUCGGGCUUAAUUGCUUAAGUCAAGGAGGCUACAAAACCAAACUUAUCUACUUUUUUAUUUAUUCAAUUUGUUUUUGUUUUUUUUUUUGUUUUGUUUUUUUUUGCAAAUUAUAUACUAUCCAUUUCCCUUAGUUGUUACCUUUAACAAAAGAACAUGAAUAAUGUAAUAAUCCAAUAUGCAACCCACAAUCAUAUGUUAAAGUGUGUGUGUGAAAAUGAAGGUUUAGGAAUACUUGUUAACUGAGUAUAUCAGCAGAAUCAAGUGAUAGCAAUGCGAGAGUUUGUGAACCUGAAUAUUUCAAGAAGUAUUAUGAUAGACCUUGUUAAGAAUGUUUACUAAGAUGCGUCUCAAGAGUCACUAAAGUUCAUCCUUUACUCUGCCAUCCUAGUAACAACAGGUUUGCAAAUGGUUGUAAUAAUAGAAAACACAGUUAGUUAAUUUUUUUUUUAAUAUCAACUACUACCCUCUCCCCCCAACCAAAACGAGACAUUGUCCUCAAUGUUCUAAGGCAGAAAGAUAGAGUAUAGAAGACAUCACCUGAAACAACGACUAUUGACAAACCUGAAACACACUUAAACAAAUAUAAGAAAGAACAAAACACAAAUAUUAUGUGAUUAAUAAAACCAAAAGACACAAGUUUUCACAAACUAAGGCUCAAAUCCAAUCUAAGCUUUUUACGACGUUCCGUGAUUGACCAAUUGAGUCGACUCAUAAAGGAAUCAACUACAGGGAUGAAAGAUUGAAGUUCAUCAAUCAAUUGUUCAGCAGUAGCAGUAGAGAUGAGGAUUUGUCAUGCUAAAAAUGUUAGAAAUUGUUGUUCCACAGCAUGAUCAAGAAAAGACAGUAAAGUAUUAUAAAAACCAUUAACAUUUAGCAAACCUAUAGGUUUCUGGUGAAUGUUCAGCUGAGCCCAAGAGGAAAUAUGAAAUAUCUCUUCUAAAGUGCCCAGACCACCUGGUAAAGCAAUAAAGGCGUCAGCAUAGUUAAACAUUACAGACAGUCGUUCAGACAUUGUGGAGACCUGUAGUUCCUCUUCGAUUGUUUUUCCAAUGAUGUCCCCUUCGGCUAAAGCUGUGGGGAUGACCCCCAAAACUUGAUUGCCUCCUAAAAAUGCAGCAAUUGAAACACCCCUCAUUAACCCAAGGUUGCCUCCCCCAUACACUAAAUGAAUCUUUUGCUCAGCUAGUACCCGACCAAGAUGAUAUGCUGAUUCUAAAAACUCUUUUUCUUUCCCAGGACUGGAUCCACCAAAAACACAAAUAUUUUUUUAUUUUAGGAACAUAGGAACCUGCCAUGUCUACACACUUCUAUAUUUGUUGAAUGAAUGGGUUGAGUAGAAAUGAUGGGAAGGAAGAGAAGAUUUUAUAGAUGAGAAAUUAAAAAUGCAAUCAUACCACCUAUAUGUAGGCUAGCUGGAGUCUCACUCUCUCUCUCUCUCUCUCUCUCUCUCUUGUUUUUUUUUGUUUUUUAAAACAUGUGUAUGUACAAGCAGUUGUGAUUGUGGCUCACAUCUUCCCUUGGUUUUGCGUCCAAGAAUGACUUAAACGCCCUCUAUGGGUCGGGGAUAGGCUUCCCAUCCAGUUUUCUUAAAAACUGACAAACAGGGUCUUUUUUAGUCAAAUUCCCAAGACUAAGUCGAUCAUGUUCUUUAUGAAAAUGAGGCCAUAAAUCAUGAAUUACACGAUGCACAUCUCCACUAGGAUGCGUCUCAAGAGUUAAUAAAAGAUUAUCUAAAGACUCCUUACUCAGACCAUCCUUAAUGAAUUGUAUUUUAUCUUCACGGUUUAUAGAUACCAUUCCUGAAGAACGACAUUUUGCAUUACAAGUCCAUCUGGCACAUCGGUGACAGACUUUCAGUCGUUUUGCACGAUGUUUCCUUGCAAAAGUGCUUUUACCUGUCCCAGGCAUGUAUGAAAUAAAAGUAUUGGAAGACUCACCAGAUAAUCGGACCUUUGCUUCAAUUAGCCAGCGAAUAUCUUCAGGAAUUCCAUGGUUCAUUAACAACCUCAAUCUUUCACACCUAGCAUGGUAAAUUUUUGUAAUCGCAUUUUGAGGCAGAGCGGGAAAAUACUUUUUUAAUGUUUCAAGAGUGGUGUCCAUUUUUCAAAAGAGAAGUGUAGAAGAGAUGCAAAGAAAAGAGAAGGAACAAGGAAUUGAACAAAUAUAUACAUAGAUAUCAGUUAUCAUGGGAAACUGAAAGAACCGACUUAAGAGUCACGGAGUACCGUUAUCCGCAAUUUGACCAGGGUUGGAGAAAGACUAGCAAAACAAGAGUCACACCAAAAAGAAACACAAAAACAAUGUGAGAAAAACAAAAUAAUCAACCUUUAUAUACAGGAUCAUUCAAACCAAUGGAUUCAUUUUCACUAGGAAAAUUAUCAAAGUAAGCUUUCAAGCGAUGUCCAUUUACCUUAAAAACAUUUUCAUUCUUUGGAUUCUCAAUAUCAAGGGCCCCACAAGGAUACACAUGUUUCACAAUAAAUGGACCGCUCCAUCUUGAUCUUAGCUUUCCAGGAAAUAAAUGGAGUCGAGAAUUAUAAAGCAAAACUUUUUGACCAACAUCAAAUGUUUUUCUCAAGAUUCUCUUAUCAUGAAACUCUUUGAUUCUUGCUUUAUGAAUUUUUGAAUUUUCAUAUGCAUCAUUUCUUAUUUCCUCAAGCUCAUUUAUUUGCAACUUACGCAGAUGGCUAGCAUCAUCCAGGUUUGAAUUGAAAGCUUUAAUAGCCCAAUAAGCUUUGUGUUCAAGUUCCACAGGCAAAUGACAAGGUUUUCCAUAAACCAACCUAUAAGGUGACAUACCUAAUGAUGUUUUCAAAGCAGUGCGAUAAGCCCAAAGUGCAUCAUUAAGUCUUAAAGACCAGUCCUUCCGAUUAGGGUUCAUUGUUUUUUCCAAGAUUUGUUUGAUCUCCCUAUUAGCAAGUUCUACUUGUCCAUUUGUUUGAGGGUGAUAAGGGGUGGCAACUUUGUGUGUGAUUCCAUAUUUCUUCAUUAAAAACUCAAAUGGCUUGUUACAGAAAUGUGUUCCACCAUCACUUAUCAUGACCCGAGGGAUUCCAAAUUGACUCAAAAUAUUUUCUUUCAAAAACUUGAUCACUGUUUUAUGAUCAUUGUUACGACUUGGAAUUGCCUCUAUCCAUUUUGAAACAUAGUCUAUUGCGACUAAUAUGUACACAAAACCAAAUGAUGGAGGAAAUGGACCCAUAAAAUCUAUACCCCAACAGUCAAAGAUUUCAAUGACAAGAAUAGUAUUUAAAGGCAUCAUGUGACGUUUUGAAAUAGAUCCUAGCUUUUGACAAUUUUCACAAGUUUUGCAGAAUGCAUGCGUGUCUUUGAACAUGGUGGGCCAAUAAAAUCCACAUUGUAAGAUUUUUGCAGUUGUCUUUCUUGAUGAGAAAUGACCCCCACAUGCCUCAGAAUGACAAAAUUUAAUGACACUACUUACCUCAUUGUCGGGAAUGCAUCUUUGAAAUAUUUGAUCAGGACAAUAUUUGAAUAAGUAAGGGUCAUCCCAAUAAAAGUUCUUCACUUCGUUCAAGAACUUUCUUUUAUCUUGGGUACUCCAAUGAGCUGGCAAAUAUCCUGAAACAAGAAAAUUAACAAUAUUAGCAAACCAAGGCAUCGUAGAGACAGAAAGUAAAGAUUCAUCAGGAAAGUAGUCAUUGAUUGGUGUGAUGUCAGAUCUCGAAUCAGUUCUCAAUCUUGACAAAUGAUCCGCGAUAAUAUUUUCGAUGCCUUUCUUAUCCUUGAUUGGGAUAUCGAAUUCUUGAAGUAACAAAAUCCACCGUACCAAUCUAGCCUUAGAAUCCUUCUUAGAAAGAAGAUAUUUCAACGUUGUAUGAUCGCUAAAAACAAUAACAGGUGAGCCAACAAGAUAAGAUCUGAAUUUUUCACAUGCAAAUUCUACUGCAAGUAAUUCCUUUUCAGUGGUAGUGUAAUUCAUUUGAGCACUACUUAAAGUUUUACUUGCAUAGUAAAUCACAUAGGGUUUCUUAUCUUUUCUUUGUCCUAAAAUAGCACCCACGGCAUAAUCACUAGCAUCACACAUUAUUUCAAAAGGUAAUGACCAAUCAGGAGGUUGAAUGACAGGAGCAGAAGUAAGCAAGUUUUUAAGUUUAACAAAGGCUUCUUCACAAUGUUCAGUCCAUUUAAAAACAUUAUCCUUUGUUAAAAGGUUACACAAUGGCUUAGAUAUUACACUAAAAUCUUUGAUGAACCUUCUAUAAAAACCAGCAUGUCCUAAGAAUGAUCUAACAUUUUUAACAGAUUUUGGUGUUGGCAAGUUGGCAAUUAACUCGAUUUUAGAUUUGUCAACCUCAAUUCCUAUUGAUGAAACAAUGUGACCAAGUACAAUGUCAUUUGUUACCAUAAAAUGACAUUUUUCCCAAUUCAGCACAAGAUUCUUCUCUUCACACCUGUUCAAAACCUUUUCCAAGUUAGUUAAACAAUCAUCAAAUGAAUCACCAAAAACAGAAAAAUCAUCCAUAAAAAUCUCAAGAAAACGUUCAACCAUAUCACUGAAUAUGCUGAGCAUGCAUCUUUGAAAUGUGGUUGGUGCAUUACAUAAUCCAAACGGCAUCCUACGGUAUACAAAUGUACCAAAUGGACAUGUGAAAGUAGUUUUCUUUUGAUCUUCAAAUGCAAUUUCAAUUUGGUUAUUACCUGAAUAGCCAUAUAGAAAACAAUAAAAUUCAUGACCUGCAACUCUUUCUAGAAUUUGAUCCAUGAAAGGUAAAGGAAAAUGAUCUUUUCUAGUCAUUGAAUUAAGUUUCCUAUAGUCAAUGCACAUGCGCCAACCAGUAAUAGUCCUAGUUGGAAUUAACUCAUUCUUCUCAUUUGUUAUCACAGUAACUCCAGACUUUUUAGGUACAACUUGGGUAGGACUUACCCAUUUGCUGUCAGAAAUAGGAUAAAUGAUUCCAUUAUCUAGAAGCUUAAUGACUUCAUUCCUCACUACUUCUUUCAUGUUAGGAUUAAGCCUUCGUUGCAUUUCUCUAGAGGGUUUAGCAUUUUCCUCCAAAUAAAUCUUGUGUGUGCAAAUCAAAGGACUAAUUCCUUUUAUGUCAGCUAUGGUCCAUCCUAAUGCAUUUUUCUGCAUUUUCAGAGUUUGUAAUAACUUACCUUCUUGAUGAACAUUAAGUUUGGAAGAAAUUAUUACUGGAAAAGUUUUAUUUUCUCCUAAAAAUGAGUAUUUGAGAUUAAAUGGUAAUGGCUUCAAAUCGGGUUUUGGUGGAUGAACACUUGAAGGUAUGGACUCAAUUGAUCGUGGUGGCAAUUCCUUAAUUUUUGGUCUCCAACUAUUUGCCUUUGAUUCUUCCUGAAAAUAAACCAUUUGCAAAUCUUCAAAUUCAUUAAACUCAGUUUCACUGGAAGAAUUUUCAAAUUGAUCAUAAAUUAAAUUUUCAAUAAAAUCUACUUCCUAUAAAUCAUUAUCAUCUCCAGGUUGCUUGCAAAUGUUAAAAACAUUCAUCUCCAAUGUCAUGUUUCCAAAAGAUAACUUCAUCACUCCAUUCCUACAAUUAAUCAAUGCAUUAGAAGUUGCAAGAAAUGGACGUCCUAAAAUAACAGGAAUUGAAUUGCAUGCUUCAACAGGUUGUGUAUCCAAGACAAUAAAAUCCACAGGAAAGAUGAAUUUAUCAACUUGUACUAACACAUCUUCAACUAUUCCUCUAGGCACUUUUAUAGAUCUAUCAGCAAGUAAAAGAGUUACAGAAGUAGGUUUUAACUCACCUAAAUUGAGACUGAAAAACCGAAUAUAGAAGUAAAUUCACACUAGCUCCAAGAUCAAGUAAAGCUCUAUCAAUUUUAUGUUCUCCAAUAAAGCAAGAAAUUGUAGGACAACCAGGGUCUUUAUAUUUCAAAGCAUUAUCGUUCUGAAGAAUGGCACUUACUUGUUCGGCUAAAAAGGCUUUCUUUUUCACAUUCAGUUUUCUCUUCACAGUGCACAGAUCUUUCAAAAAUUUAGCAUAAAACGGUACCUGUUUAAUAGCAUCUAACAAAGGUAUAUUGAUCCUUACCUGUUUGAAAGUUUCAAAGAUUUCAGAAUUGUGAUUGACUUUUCUUUGUUUGGUCAUGGCAUGAGGAAAUGGAAGUGCUGGUGGGGAAUCAGUCUCCUCCUUGCAAUGUUCAAGUUCAACCAUUUCCUUACCCUCAGAGACUAACUUAUCUUCUUUCUCACAAGGUUCAAGAACGAGUUUUUCAAUAACUUUACCACUGCAGAGAGUAGUGACUGAUUUGACUUGAUCCAUAUGUUGGCUUCCGGAACUGCUUGCACUUGAAUUGUAUUGCCCUUUGGGAUUUUGCUGGGGUUGAGAUGGAAACUUACCUUUCUCCUGAAAACUAAGAGCAGAUGUGAACUUUGCAAGAGUAUCUUUUAGAUCUGCCAUGGUUUGAGCAUUUUGAGUGUUAAUUGUCUCUUGAUUUUCAAUGAAUGCAUGCAGUGUUUCCUCAAGAUUUCUUCUAGGAGGGGGAACAUAAAGAGGUGCAUAUCCAUGAGAAUUUUGAAAAUUAUGUUGUGCUUGAAAUGGUGGCUGUGAAGUUUGUGCAUUAUUGUUACCACUCUUCCAACUGAAAUUUGGGUGAUUUCUCCAACCAGGGUUAUACGUUUGCGAGUAUGGGUUAUGACUUGGCCUUUGGAAACUAUUUAAAGCAUUGGCUUGUUCAUGGAGACAUUCCUUAAAAGAAGGCAAAGUUGGACAAUCAUUGGUUGAGUGUUUAUUAGUUUCACAAAUUUGACACACAAUUUCUUGAACAGAUUUUAAUUGUCCACUCUUUUUUAAUUCUAGUGCCUCAACUUUUCUAGCUAAAGAUGCAAAUUUAGCUUGGAGGUCAUGAUCUUCCCUAAGGUUGUACAUGCCUCCAUUAGAUGUAUGAGGUUGAGUUUUACCUGGUGCCUCACACGUACCUGUGGUGUCCUAAUUUUGAGCAUUUUCAGCUAGCAAGUCUAGGUACUCCAUUGCUUCAUCAGGGUCUUUAUCUUCAAAAGUUCCAUUGCACAUCAAUUCCACCAUUUGCCUAUCUUUAGGUGUUAACCCUUCAUAAAAUUGUGAGACCAAUCUCCAUGUUUCAAAACCAUGAAGAGGACAGGUAUUAAGCAAGUCUUUAUAUCUAUCCCAACACUUGUAAAAUGUUUCUCCUGGUUUUUGAGUGAAAGUGGUGAUUUGUCUUUUGAAAGAAUUUGUUCUGUGAGACGGAACAAACUUCUUUAAAAACUGUUGUUGCAUUUCAUCCCAAGCACGAAUGGAUCCUGACCUAAUAUUUUGUAGCCAUGUUUUAGCUUUAUCUUUUAAUGAAAAAGGAAAAAGCUUUAAUCUGAUGGUGUUCAUGCUACAAUUUUAAGUCAUUAUAGGUGUUACAAACUUCUUCAAAUUCUCUUAAAUACAAGUAUGGAUUUUCUAAUUCUAAGCUAUGAAAAGUGGGUAAAAGUUGAAUAAUACCUGGCUUAAAAUUAAAAUGAGAAGCAUCAGGAGGAAAAACUAUACAUGAUGGUGCACUUGUUCUUGUUGGAUUCAUGUGAUCUUUAAGUGUUCUCACACGAUUAUUCUCAUUAUUCUCAUUAUGAAUUGACUGGUUAUCUUCUUCGGCCAUGUUUUCUAAAGAAAAUGAGGAUUUCCUAGAAAGUCUACCACUUAAUGUACGUGUCCAAACUCUCAUGCAAGUGCAAAAGAAAAGAAAAGAAAAAGAAAAAGAAAAAGAAAAAGAACAAAAAUUAGAAAAACAAAUAAAAGUAAAAAACAAAAGAAAAUAAAAGAAAUAUAAAAUUUAUACAAUACUUACCUCCCCGGCAACGGCGCCAAAAACUUAACACGAUCAAAGAGUUGAUGUCUUAUCCCAAGUGCAGGAGUGUCGAAGUAAUAAAUAACUCGGCAAGACCGGGGUCGAACCACAGGGAGGUCAAUUAUAUAAAUUACAAAUAAAGAGAAAGAUUUGAAGAGAAUAAUAACAGAAAAGGAGUUGAAGAGAGUUUUGGGAUGUGAUAUUGGUGUAAGGAUUAAACAAUGAUAAAACAGAUGUCAAAGUUAGAGGAUUCACUAAUGGUAUUUCAAAUAAAUAUAAUAUAAACUCUGUUUAUUACUCAAUUGGAAACCACACACAAAGGAGGUUCCAAUCGGAUGAUUUAUCGUUAUUAGCUCAUUAUAAAUUAUUAACAUGAUCAUAUUAAUCAUCUUAUCUAAAUAACAUCAUACUUAUAAUUAUCAUCAGACAUUCAUGUUGCUAGCUUAUGUUAACAACAAAUCAAGUUCCUAUCAUAACAACGAUGUCGGCCGAAAACUAUGAAGGAUCAAGCAUUUGAUGUACCAAGUGUUAUACAACAAAAAUCUAGAUUAACCAUUUAACAAGCAAGGUAUUAAGAAUUAGUAAGAUAAAAAGAUAAGACAUGCUAAUAACAAUUUUUCUUGGAUAUAAACAUUAAAGUCCAUGUUGAGUUUAUAUUAUACCUAUUCUAACACCAUUAGUGAAACCUUUUCACCUUGACAUAAUUAACUUAGCUAAACAUAAUGAAAAAGCAAAACAUAAAUAAACAAUACAAGAACAUAAACAUGAUAUAAGUUAACUAAGUAUAGGAAAGGAAAUGAAAAGGCAUAAACAAGAGAUUAAUAUAGCAUGAAAGAAAACUUGAACAUUACAAAGAUAUAAAGAGAGAAAGCAAGAACAUGAUUUUGAUCUGAAAAAUAAUAUGACUAAAUACAUGGCAAAUGCCUCUUUUAUAGGCUAAGAUUCAGAACUAUUGAUUGGCAGGCAAAUAUUGAUUUGGUGGCUGGUUUUUGACAAUGUUGGCUGCUGGUUCUUAACAUUGUUGGCUGCUGGUUCUUGAUAUUGUUGGUAGAUUUUUGAUAUUGUUGGCUGCUGGUUCUUGAUAUUGUUGGCAGAUUUUUGAUAUUGUUGGCUGGCCAAAACAUCAUUGCUAACAUCAGAAUUUGAGCCCUUUGUUCCAUGAAAGUUGUGGAAAAUUGUCUCAGCUUUCCAACAAAAAAAACCAGAGCUCAUUUGGACUUCUAGAACUCAAGAUAUGAGCUGAAAACCGAACAGUGUUUGAGCUGCAAGACAGGUUCCAACUUCUCCGUUGUUGCUAAGAUUUGAACUUGCAAAUGGCAGAAUUGAGUCUUGAGCUCUUCAUGAAAUUUUUAGGUCUAUGUCUUAUCUUUCCAUCCAUAUAAAGUAGACCUAAAUCCGAGUUCUACAACUCCAGUUAUGAUCAAAUAACCGAAUUGUGUUCCAGUUUGGAAUUGAACCAACAUCUCUUCUCUUAGCCUAGUCCUCUUUUUCUCUCUUCACUUUCAAUAGUUAAUCACAUCAAUCAAUCCUUUGAAUUGUGAGAUAUACCUGCAUUCAAAACAAGCAUUUACCAUAAAUUAAAGAUAUAUUAUAUUAUUAGACUUGUUAUUAUAAAACAUGCUUUAGUUAGGGAAUUUAACGAUACUUUAGUGCAAUAUGAUGAUAUAAAGCCUUAAUGAGAAUGCACUUUUAAGUACUAAUCAGAGUGCUGUUUGCUUUUAAGUCAAGUGAGUGGAUAAUUUUCCAUAUGCAUGAGAAAUAUUAUAAAUAGUUGAUUUGUUAAUAUGAAUUGGAUCAUGCUUCUUGAUAAUAUAUAUGUUGAUUAUUAUUCUUAUUAUGAUAAAGCAUGAUCAAUUGUUGAAUCUGGAUUCUUGAUAUGAACCAGUAUAUAUUUUGAAUUGACUUCUGGAUUGAUAGCUCCUCAUUUGAUUGAUGUCAUGAAUUGAGCCUUGAGAUAUGAAUAUGUCUGUUUGAUUAUGAUUAUGAACCUAUGGUAUGUCAGUCAGAAUACCCAUGCUAACAGGGUAGUGUUAGUCUUUGUGCACAUUGUAUCUGAACCCUAGUUGGUCGGGGGAGUCACCAACCUGUGUGGACUGAUCAUCCCACAGUACGGAGCCUCAUGCUCAUUGCAUUUUGAUUUUCUAACGAGCUUUACCUUCUGAUAUUCUUGUUAUGGCCUAUUUGAGAAACUUUCCUAUAAGAACCUAGAGCCAUACUUGUAUAUAUAUUUCUCAUUGUUUUAUUACCUCGUGUGUGUAUAUUAAACGUUAUCUACUCACUGAGUUGUUGAACUCACCCUCUCAUUAUUUAUCAUUUUCAGGCUUAUAGCUUGAUAGCAGGUUACUUUUGUUGGACCUUCAGAACUUGCUCUUUUGGUUGUAAUUUGUACAUUUUCCUUUAUGUCUAGUUAGUGCUCCUAAACUAUGAAAUUAUAUUAACUCUUGUAUUAAGACAAUUAAAUUAUUUUAUGAAGUUAGUUUGUUGUUAAUGCUGCGUUGAACUCUGAUUGACUUAUUUAAAGGAUAAGUUUGUAUGUAAGUUUGGGUUCGCAUAGGUAUGGAAACUUGGAGGGGAACCUUGCCUAUGUGCCGGUCAUGGAUCCAGGAAUCGGGUCAUGACAAACUUGGUAUCAGAGCUUUAGGUUAAAGAAACAUUAGUAUAGUUAAUUUCAUAAUAAGUGGAGCAUUAGGAUAUGUAUCGUUUUAUUUGUUGUUUUUGAUAUUUUAAAUUCUCAUCAAGCAUGUCUUCUUCCUUGUGAUUGAUAUGCUUUCCUAUAAUUCUGUGAUAAUGAUCAUGUUAUUGUUCUAGAAUGACUUAAGUGCUCUAAUUUCUUAGAGGAUAUGCCAAGGAAUAGACAUAAAAUUGAUACUAUUAGAGUAAAUGACAAUAAAGAUGUCCAUAUUGUGAAGUUUCGAAAUGCAAGGUAUAGGAGGCGGGGCAGUACAUCCGCACCUCAACAUAUUCUUAUUGUUAGCUCUUUUAAAGCAAAAAUAUUAUUUAAUACAAGUGCAACUCAUUCGUUUAUGUCUUUAUAUUUUGCCAUGAGGCUAGAUAAGCAACCAACUCUGUUAAGAUCCCCCAUUUCAAUUUCUACUCCCCUUGAUGAAUUAGUGUUGGUGAAGUAUGUGUAUCCGGAUUGUGGAAUAGAGAUUGGAGAUAGGAUCUUUAUAAGAGAUUUAAAUGUCUUAGAUAUGGUUGAUUUUGAUGUGAUUUUGGGAAUGGAUUGGUUGGCAAAGCAUAGGGCUUUGGUAAAUUGUUGGGGUAAGAAAAUAAUGUUUGAUUUAGAUGAAGAAGUUGGGUUGGUAUUUCAAGGAGAUAAGAUUGGGUCUCCAUCAAUUAUGUUGUCAGCUAUCUCGAGGAAAAUAGCCCGAAAAGGGGUACAGUGCUACCUAGCAUAUAUAGUGGAUAUAGAGAAAGAAAUUCCUCAAUUAGACCAAGUCCCUAUAGUUAGGGAGUUUAUUGAUGUCUUUCCCGAUGACUUACUUAGAUUGCCUCCAUAUAAGGAAAUUGAGUUUUGUAUUGAUUUGGUUCUGAGUACCGAACCAAUAUCAAUGGCACCAUAUAGAAUGGCGCCAGCAGAAUUGAGGGAGCUAAAGGAGCAACUGCAGGAUUUGUUGGAUAAAAAGUUCAUCCGACCGAGUGUGUCCCCUUGGGGAGCCCCGGUAUUGUUUGUGAAGAAGAAAGAUGGGUCAUUGAGGUUGUGUAUAGAUUAUAGGCAACUGAAUCGGGUGACAGUUCGAAAUAGAUACCCACUCCCUCGCAUAGAUGAUUUGUUUGACUAGUUGCAGGGAGCUCAAUUCUUUUCUAAGAUCGAUCUUCGAUCUAGGUAUCAUCAGUUGAGGAUAAGAGAGGAGCACAUUUUGAAGACAGCUUUUAGAACUCGGUAUGGUCAUUAUAAGUUCUUAGUGAUGUCUUUUAGAUUGACGAAUGCACCAGCAUCUUUUAUGGAUUUGAUGAAUAGAGUGUUUGGACAGUUUAUUGAUUGAUUUGUGAUAGUUUUUAUUGAUGAUAUUUUGGUGUAUUCGAGGUCUAGAGAGGAGCAUGAGCAGCACUUGAGAAUGGUGCUUCAAACUCUGCGAGAUCAUCAGUUGUAUGGCAAGUUCUCAAAGAGUGAGUUUUGGUUGGAGAGUGUAGCAUUUCUUGUGCAUGUAGUGUCAAGGAAUGGGAUUGAGGUUGAUCCUCAAAAGAUUGAAGUAGUUAAGCAGUGGCUUAGGCCUACUUCGGUGACAGAGAUUGGAAGUUUCUUAGGUUUGGCCGACUACUAUCGGAGGUUUGUAGAGAACUUUUCUCGGAUUUCUGCACCAUUGACUAAGUUAACGCAGAAAAAUAUUAAGUUUCAGUGGUCUGAAGCUUGUAAGAAAAGUUUCUUAGAGUUGAAAGAGAGAUUGACUACAACACCUAUUCUAGUGGUACCAUCAGGUUCUGGUGGUUACACAGUGUAUUGUGAUGCUUCGAGAGUGGGGUUAGGAUGUGUUCUAAUGCAGCAUGGCAAGGUUAUUGCCUAUGCUUCACGGCAGCUGAAGAAGCAUGAACAGAACUAUCCUACACAUGAUUUAGGGAUGGCGGCUGUAAUUUUUGCCUUGAAGAUUUGGAGACACUACUUGUAUGGUGAAACUUAUGAGAUCUUCACAGAUCACAAGAGUUUGAAAUAUAUCUUUCAGCAGAGGGAUCUAAAUCUGAGGCGGAGGAGAUGGAUGGAACUGCUGAAGGAUUAUGAUUGUACCAUACAGUACCACCCGGGUAGGGCAAAUGUAGUUGCUGAUGCUUUAAGUAGAAAAUCAUCAAGGAGCUUAGCUUAUAUUCAGGAGGUACGAAGACCUCUGAUUAGGGAGUUGCAUGAGUUAGUAGAUGAAGGAGUCAGAUUUGAUCUUAGUGAAGCUGGAGCAAUGAUUGCUCACUUUCAGGUUAAGUCAAAUUUGUUUGAUAAGAUAAAAACAGCUCAGAAGAAAGAUGAUUCACUACUCAGGAUCAAAAAUGAGGUUGAGCAGGGUAAGGCUGCAGGUUUUGUGAUAGGUGAUGAUGAUGUGCUGAGAUAUAGGGAUAGGCUUUAUGUACCUGAUGUAGAUGAUCUAAAGAUAGAAUUGAUGGUAGAGGCACAUCAGACAGUUUACACAAUGCAUUCAGGUUCCACCAAGAUGUAUAAAGACCUUAAGGUGUGUUAUUGGUGGAAUAGGAUGAAGGCUGAUAUAGCAGAUUUUGUUUCUAGGUGUUUGACCUGUCAGAGGGUAAAGGGUGAACACCAGAAACCUCCUGGAUUGUUGCAACCAUUUUUUAUUCCGGAAUGGAAGUGGGAAAGGAUCACAAUGGACUUUGUGACAGGAUUGCCUAGGAGUCAGGAGGGUUAUGAUUCAAUUUGGGUGAUUGUUGACAGGUUGACAAAAUCAGCCCAUUUUCUGCCAGUUAAGAUUAGUUAUGGAUAUGCAAAAUUAGCAGAAUUGUUUAUUAGUGAGAUUGUACGGUUGCAUGAAGUGUCAAUCUCGAUAGUGUCAGAUAGAGGUCCAUAGUUUACAUCGCGGUUUUAGGUGAAAUUCCAAAAAGCUAUGGGUACUAAAGUGCAGUUGAGUAUAGCUUUUCACCCUCAGACCGAUGGUCAGUCUGACAAGACUAUUCAGAUCUUGGAGGAUAUGUUAAGGGCUUGUGUCAUGGAUUUUGGAGUUAGUUGGAGUAAGUUCCUACCAUUAGUGGAAUUUGCUUACAACAAUAGUUAUCAGGCUAGCAUAGAGAUGGCACCUUAUGAGGCUUUGUAUGGUUGGAAGUGUAGAUCACCAGUUUGUUGGUUUGAGGUUGGUGAGAAGAGGCUAAUGGGACUAGAGUUGAUUCAGAUUACCUCAGAGAAGAUAGAGGUAAUUAGAAAUAAGCUUAAAACAGCUCAGAGCAGACAAAAGAGUUACGCGGAUAAAAGAAGGCGUGACUUAGAGUUUUCAGUGGGUGAUUGUGUGUUCUUAAAAGUAUCACCGACCAAAGGAGUAUUCAGGUUUGGGAAGAAAGGCAAGUUGAGUCCUCGAUUCAUUGGACCGUAUGAGAUUCUGGAGAGAGUUGAGGCAGUUGCUUAUAGGUUAGUAUUACCACCAAACUUGUCUACUUAUAGUUUAUUGCAGAAAACAUGAAUAUCAUGAUAAUUUUGUAUUUAAAGAUGGAAUUGGGCUUUUCAAUGACUAUGUUGUUCUGUAUAAUAGAAAACUUUUAAUGCAGUACAAUGCACAUAUAAAUGUUGAGAUAUGCUGUCAAUCACUGUUGAUCAAAUAUCUAUUCAAAUACGCCAGCAACGAGCUUGAUAGAUGUAGAAUGGUGCUUCAGAAUGAAACUAAUGAUGAAAUACAUGCAUAUCGUAAUUGUCGAUUUAUCUGCUCCUAUGAAGAUGUUUGAUGUCUUUUCCAAUUUCCAAUUUAUUCAAGAACCCCUACAAUUGAAAGGCUUCAAGGUCAUAUAUUUGCCUUCUCAGCAAAAUGUUAUCUUCUCAAGCAACAACUCUCUUUGUCCUGUUCUUAGAAGGUCAGGUAUCAAUAAAACAAUGCUUACUGAAUGGUUUGACUGCAACAAAAAAUAUGCUCAUGCACGAGAGCUUUACUAAUCACAAUUUCCAAGCAAAUAUGUAUGGGAUGGCGGGCUGAAAGAGUGGGUUGUCAUAUCAAGGAGGUUUAGCCUUGGACGUAUAACAUAUGUGCAUCCUGCUGCUGGGGAACUUUAUUUUUUAAGAAUACUUCUAAACCAUGUGAAAGGGCCUACAGGGCUUGAUGAUUUUAAAAACGUUGGCGGCAUUGUUUGUCCAACAUUUCAGCUUGUUUGCAAGGCAUUGGGUCUUUUAGAUGACGACAAAGAAUGGUCCAAAGCUUAGUGAUCUCAUUCGACGUCAGUGUUUCUCAGAGGCUUCCAUUCUUUGACAACACUCUAGACAUAGUUCAUUCGAUGCAUGUUCUGAGCAACUGGAUUCCAGAUGCGAUGUUGGAAUUCACACUCUAUGAUAUAUACAGAGUGUUGAGGCCAGGGGGACUCUUCUGGCUUGAUCGCUUCUUCUGCCUGGGAUCACAGCUGAAUCAAACAUACGUUCCAAUGUUGGAUCGUGUUGGAUUCAGGAACCUAAGGUGGAACGCUGGCAUGAAGCUUGAACGAGGGAUUGACAAAAACGAGUGGUAUUUCUCUGCCCUGUUGGAGAAACCAAUGACCUGAGCAACAAUUUUUAACACCAUCAAAUCAUGCAAUGCAAUGCACAUGCAUGCAGUUUAGGAAGUAUUUAGUUUACAAAUUUUAUUUUUUUAUUCAGUUUAUACCUAUGAUUAGUAUAAAUAAGGUUGUCUAAAUGAAAUAUUUUAGAUGUUUCCCCAUAGCUAUGAUAUUCAUGGUUUUUAAGGGUUUCGACUUUGUAAUAAAUUCUGUUAUUCAGCGUCGUGAUAAUAAUAAUUAUAAUAUUCACAACUUAAAAGAUUGGAUACAGGACACAGAAAAUGCUCAUCAUUUUACUCUCCUUUGAUUCAAGUGAGAGGUCGAAUCAAGAGAAAUAGAUCAAUAAGUUCAACUGGCAUAAGUUUAAUUUCUAACAUAAUUAAUGCAAGAGCACACAGGAUUUCUUUCACCCAACAUACAAAGGUUUUGCUAAAUAUAUAUUCACAAGUAGUUGACUCUUACAAAUCUGAUGCACCUCACGCGGCAAACAUCGCAAGAAAAUAUUGUAAAACCCAGUACCGAAGCAACUUCUCAUCUUUCCCAGCUAAACAAUGCUCAUCAUGGUUCUAGACUCAAGAUAAUGAAAGCUCUUCUUCCUUCAAGGAUGGUGGAAACUCGUCCUGGCUUGCUUCCUCAAAACUAGCUGAAGUGGAUUCUGCUUCAGCAUUGGGGUUUGAACCAGCAAGAUGCAAGAUAUUCUCAAUCUCUUUCACCACUUCACCCAUUGUUGGCCUGUCACUUCCUUUCUCUUGUACACAUUUCAUUGCCAGAUCCACUAUCUUAUCUAGACCUUUCGGCUUCGUGUCUAAACCAAUGCUUGGGUCAAGAAGUUCAUGAAGGUUAUAUAGAUCUUUUUUUCUAUCCAAUGAGCUACUUACCUCCGCUACAAGGUAUUUCCCUCGCUCUAAAGGCUUUCUUCCACUUACUAGUUCCAGCAACACAACUCCAAAGCCAUAGACAUCACUCUUCUCAGUCAAGAGCAGGGUCUUCUGAUAUUCUGGAUCUAUAUAACCCUAAGCAGAAAAUAUAGUAAUCUUGUCAAUUGUAACCCUUGAUAUAUAAUGGCUUUAAUCAUAGACCAGCCGGCGACCUGCAUUUAAUGAAACUAGAUAGUCUUAAAUUAAUGAUGUUUUGGAGGUACUGACCAUUGUCCCUUUAACUUGAGUGCUAGCAAGAAUAAGCUCACUAUUGUCCAUAGGCUUGGAAAGACCAAAAUCACCAACUUUAGCAUUUAAGCAUUCAUCCAGUAAUAUGUUAGCUGAUUUUACGUCCCUGUGGAUAAUACGAGGGUUGACAAGCUCGUGCAAGUAGGCAAGACCUCUUGCUGCACCAAGAGCCACAUUAAGUCUCCUCCUCCAAUCCAGCCAGAUCCCGCUCAAACCUGCUUACAUGAGAAGAGGAUAUAUAAUUGUGUAGACUUACUACAACUAUAGAAUGCGUGUGCUUAUUUUCGGAACAAAGGCACCAAAGGGUUGUCUCCAUUGGAUGCGAGAGUUGUCAUGAAAAACUCAAUGCUUGUAAGAUUGAAAGGUUCCAUGCGAUUCAUGAAGCAUCUUGUUGAAUCAUUUAUAGGUGCCAGUGCAAUACCUGAUAGGCUGUCCCUGAGACUACCAUUGCGAACAAACUCAUAAAUUAGCAUCUGUUCACCUCUCUCAAAGCAAAACCCAACAAGGUUUACAACAUUUUUAUGAUGAACUCUCGAUAAAACUUCUAUCUCUGCGUUGAAUUCAAGCCCACCUUGCACCGAUCCUUGACGACAUCGUUUGACGGCAAACAGUUGUCCAGUAGGAAGCAUCCCUCUAUAAACCUGUACACAAAAAUGUUGAAAGGUUACUUUCAAAUACUCAUUCUUAAGGUUUGGUAUUCCAUGCCAGCUCAGAAGUUAGAUAGUUCGAAGGCAAAUUGUAACCAGCAACACCCACAAUCAUUGUUUAUGCAAAUGAAACCACCAUGGCAGGACAGGAAAUGAGGGAGAGACUUGCCAUUCCGUAACCCCCUAACCCAAUAUGAUUGGCUUCCGAAAAAUUAUUCGUGCACUUCGUAAUCUCAUUGAAAGAGAAGCAUCUGGCUCCCUUCAACUGAGGAACGCUGUUACUGUUCCUUGAAUCCAAGUAUGCUGCAAUUUGGCAAAAUGAAGAAAAAGAAAUAAACACAAUUUUCAAUGAUGAAUGGGAAAAUAUCAGGUCUAAAAACUAGAACCUUAAAGUACCAAAAUAAUUCUUCUGUUCACUGGCUCUUUCUCUUCUGUUCUUCUGACGAUAAGCACAUACCCCUGCAAGAAGCAAUAGUAGCAGGAAAGAGGCUCCUCCAGCCGCAGCCCCAAUGAUCCUUCCAGUGCUUGAUAACUCUUUUGACAUCGUAGGUUUUCCUGCAUGACAAAGAGGGAGGGAGGGAGGGAGGGAGGAGGAUGUGUCAUCAGAAGAAAGAAAGAACAAUGCAAACCAAUCUCUCACUUGUGCAUGAAAUGUGUAAGUACCAUCGAAGUAUGGAUAUGCAGAACCCUUAAAAUAUGUAGGUCCAAAGAUAUCUGAAUUCUCAUAAGUCUGAAGGGUUAGCACAAAUCCAAUAUCAGAAAUCGUAGCUGUGUUAAAAUGAUUUUGGCCCGACGGAAACAUAGAUAAAUUUGACUCAAGAUACCCAAACGAAUCCUUCGCUGGAAAAUUUACAUCAACUGAAUCCACAGGAAGUUGAUGGAACUUGAAGGAACGCAUCAGAGACUCUUCUUCCAGAUGUACAUAAUAAGUUGAGUUUCUUGACUCUAAAAAUGGAGGUUUGAAGACUAGUACUCCCCUGUAUGGAUACGAGCAUUUGCAAUUGGGACUGGAAAUCUGGUCUGAAAUGCAGUGGAGGGGAACACAUUUCUCUGGUAGCCUCGUAUACGAAGAAUUGGCUUGAGGAACUGUGCAGUAAUUUUCUGUUGCUUCUGGAUGCUCACAAACUGGGUUACCCACAAGUCUGCAAAAUAUAACACAUCAAACACUCUUAUGCAGGCAAGUUGUAUAGCACAUCUCCUCAGGAUUUAACUUUUCCCACUACUAUCGUUGUCACAUUUUAGCAGUCAAGUGGACAAAAUUAAGGAAAAAAGAAUUACAGAGACAUCUCAAAAGUUUGAAGAUAUUAUAAAAACUUUUGUACGAAAAAUGCCGUUAACGUUUGAUAUAUAUUGAAGGGAUGAUUUUCUGUAAUAUCCGAGAGGGACUAUUGUAAUUCAUCCAAAAAACAGGAGGAGGAGAAUGCCUCUUACAUUACAUCCACGUUAUUCCUUCGUUCUGGUGUUUCUGAAUAGAAUGAAGAAAUGAGAUUGUUUCGCAUAUCAAUGACUUUCAGUUGGCUGCUAGAGCUUGUUGCAAUAUCCAAUGUGCCAUUGAGCUGGUUGUUCCUUAGAAUCCUGUAACCAUUUGUGAAUUUAGAUAUCCAUCAGUUUCCAUGAGAUGAAAGAAUCUAUCAAUAUCCAUGAAGUUGAAGAAACAAGGAGAAGGAUGCUCACAAAGUCUGUAAACUAGGAAGAUCGAAGAGUGUAGGAGGAAUCCGACCUUCAAGUCCAGUGUUUUCCAUCAUUCUGUUAUUCACAGGAAGUGAAGAAAGCUUCACUAUGUUGACAGCGUGAAAAAUCAUAAAUUGUAAACUUUUAUACACAGGAAUGCAUAGUCAAUAAGAGGUUCCAUGGACAAAAAUGUCUCUGUCAAAAAACCCAAUGACUGCUUCAUAUAACACUUGCUAAACAUGGAGACAAUUAUAAUCUAGCAUGUAAAGUCAUGAUGCCUGAGCAACAUUUUAAGGGCUAAUUUUAAAGUGGGAUGGUGGAAAGGGUUUGUGAUUCUUGAGAGAAAACAGUUUAGUUAAGGCUUCAUUGAGCUGGUCGAGUGUGUGUGACGACAGAGAGAAAAGUGUCAAGAAACCAUCUCAACCCAAUAGCUUAAGCUAUUAGAUGAGGUUCCAGGAUAUGAUUUAUAUUAUUCUCUAAUACACCCCCUCAAAUAAAAACCCUUUGGGCUUGAAACUUGCAUAGGCUCACAUUACCUUAUACUUAAUUUUUAUCAAAUAAAUGGGGAUGGUGAAAUUCGAACUCGAGACCACUUGGUCAUCAAGGCUCUGAUACUAUGUCAAGAAACCAUCUUAACUGUCACGACCCGAAUCCCGGAUCCAUGACCGGCACAUAGGCAAGGUUCCCCUCCAAGGUUCCAUACCUAUGCGAACCCAAACUUACACACAAACUUAUUCUUCAAAUAAGUCAAUCAGAGUUCAACGCAACAAUAACAACAAAAUUAACUUCAUAAUAUAAUUAAAUUGUCUUAAUACAAGAGUUAAUAUAAAUUCAGAGUUUUGGAGCACUAACUAGACAUAAAGGAAAAUGUACAAAUUACAACCAAAAAGCAGAUUCUGAAGGUCCAACAAAAUGACCUGCUAUCAAGCUAUAAGCCUGAAAAGGAUAAAUAAUGAGAGGGUGAGUUCAACAACUCAGUGAGUAGAUAACGUUCAAUAUACACACACGAGGUAAUAAAACAAUGAGAAAUAUAUAUACAAGUAUGGCUUUAGGUUCUUAUGGAAGUGUUCUCAAAUUGGCCAUAACAAGAAUGUCAUAUGGUAAAACUCGUCAGAAAAUCAAAAUGCAAUGAGCAUGAGGCUCCGUACUGUGGGAUGAUCAGUCCACACAGGUUGGUGACUCCCCCGACCAACUGGGGUUCAGAUACGAUGUGCACAAAGACUAACACUACCCUGUUAGCAUGGGUAUUCUGACUGACAUACCAUAGGUUCAUAAUCAUAUUCAAACAGACAUAUUCAUAUCUCAAGGCUCAACUCAUGACAUCAAUCAAAUGAGGAGCUAUCAAUUCAGAAGUCAAUCCCAAAUAUAUACUGGUUCAUAUCAAGAAUUCAGAUUCAACAAUUGAUCAUGCUUUAUCAAAAUAAGGAUAAUAAUCAACAUAUAUAUUAUCAAGAAGCAUGAUUCAAUUCAUAUUAACAAAUCAAAUAUUUAUACUAUUUCUCAUGCAUAUGGAAAAUUAUCCACUCACCUGACUCGAAAGCAAACAGAAGUCAAAAGCAAAUACUGAAGAAAAUCCUACUGACGUCCCGCCGGUAGAAUAUCAGGAUUAUCUGAAUACAAAGAAGGCAUAUUCAAGAAUAACUCAAAGGAAUAUAUAACCCAUUUAAUACACUUAUCUAAGGGUGCAUUCCAUAACCCUAUAUGUUUUUGAACUAACUAGUUAUUUUUCCUAAAACCCAAAAUUUAACGGUUUUCCCGAAAUCUAAUCCAUAAUAAAGCAAAUAAUAAAACUUGAUAAUAAUUCACUAAAUAACCCUCAAUUAUUCAUCAAACCAAUCUGAAAAGGCUAAUAUUACAGCUAGGGACUAAUCUGUAAUUUAUCAUAUUUUUAGGGCCAAAUUGUAAUUUUUGUCUAAUUGGAGGACCAAACUGAAAUUUAUCAUAAAUCCAUGAAUAUACUGAAAUUCUGACCAUAAUUAGUCCUCAUUUCUGUCCAGAUCAUCUCAUUAUACUCCAAGGACCAUUCUGGAAUUUUACCAAAUUUUUAGGGUCAAAUUGUAAUUUUUGUCAAAUUGAAGGACUAAAUUGAAAGUGUUAAAUUCUCUUAUCUAUACAGUAAUUCUGUCCAUAAUUCAUAUGUUAUUCUGUUCAGAAUCUCGGAAUAUGCUCCAGGGACCAAUCUGCAAAUUUUCCAAAGUUUGGGGACUAAACUGUAAUUUUCCAAAAUUGAGGGACCAAAUUGAAUUUUCGUCAUCUUCAACCUCAAACCCAGAAUUCUCACAGAUUACCUACUGUUCUUGCCAAAUUUAUAACUCAACAUUCACCAUUUACACAAUUCAUAACUCAAAAUCAUCACAAUCUUCCAUAAUCAACUCAUUAAUCAAUUACCCAUAACAAUCAACCUUAUAACAUUCAAUUUAAUUCAUCAAUUAAACCCAAAACACAAAUUUUCAAAACCCUAACAUUUAUCAAAACCAAAAUUAAAAGCUCAAUAAUACAAAUUUAUACAUUUAACAACCUAAAUCUUACCUUUUUACUUAUUUCCUCCAACUCCUUUCUAUUUCCUUUCUAAUUUCCCUCUUUUCUCUUCUUCUUCUUCUUUCUCCCUUCUCCCUUCUCUCUCACGGUUUUUCACUCAAAAAAUUCAGAUCUCUUCUUUUGUUUUUUUUUUUUUUUUUCCUUCUAUUUAUAUAUAUCAUCUCUUAUACAAUUACUACAAUACCCCUCAUUUAAUUUAUUCCUACAUCUAAGCAUUCAAGGACUUUAUUGUAUUUUCCUACUCAUUUAUUCAAAACAUCACAUUAACCCAAUAGCUUAAACUAUUAGGUGAGGUCUCAGGAUAUGAUUUAUAUUAUUCUCUAACAAAAAGAAGGGAGGAAGGGAGACAUACAGUGUUGUCAAAGCCCGUAAGUUUGAGAAUGACAACGGAAAAUCUGAAGCGUCAAAACUAUUAUUGCUCAGGUCCCUGGAGAAAAGAUUUUGGUCAAAGUAAGCAUUUGGAGAAAAGUCGAAUUGUAUUUCAUACUUAGAUACCUAACAGACUGGAAAUCUUACAAGUAGCUGAGAUAAGCCAUGCCAGUGAGAUUAGGAACAGGCCCAGUAAAUUUAUUGUUGGACAAAAUCCUGAAAUUUAUCAGCAAAAACACUCUUAACAGAGUGAGAAUUCGCACAAAAGACUUAACAAACUAGCCAAACCAUUGUGAUAUCUUUACUGGCAAUGUCGUUUUCUGUAUACUUACAACGUCUUCAGAGUGGUAAGAUUGUUGAGGUUUGGAGGGACAGGUCCAGUUAAUGAAUUCCCUUCAAAACGUCUGCAACAAAGAUAAGGCAUUCAAUACAAACUAGAUCAGUGUAGAUUAAUCACUUCAGUUUGCCAUGUAGAUGCUUACACAGCCUCCAAAGUGUGCACAAGUCCAAGGGUAGAAGGAAUGCUUCCCGUGAGAUUAUUGUCAUGCAAAAGCCUGCACAAAAGUAAUGUAUAUAGAAUUGUAAACCUUUUAAAGAAGCAUAUUAAAUUAAAAGGAAUAUUGUUUUCUUUUAAAUUAAAUUAAAAUCCCACUUCCUAUUUUCUCCCCUAUUCCAUUGGUGAAGUAGUUUGACUUCAACAUCCAAAGCAUAUACAAACUUACACAUGAAUGAGAGUCAUGUUUGAUCUGAAAAGCUCUUUCGGGAUUGUGCCUGAGAGCUGAUUCCCUCCUAGAUGACUGAAUAAUUUUCAGACCAGCAUAAACAGAUGUCAAUAACGCCGAAGCAAGAGAGCACACUAAUCAGCACAAAGAGAUUUGACAUACAAGUGGUUUGCAUUAACUAGCAUAUCAAGACCAGAUGUAGUUCCACUGGAGACAGGGAUGGCUCCAUCGAGCAUAUUAUUAGAUAGAUCCAGCAGAAAGAGUUUCGAAAGGUUUCCAAUUGAAUGUGGAAUUGGUCCAGUGAAUCUAUUAGAAUUCAGGUCUCUGCGGGAAAUAGCAGUUUCAGAGUGGAAAUAUGUAGGCUCGCACAGGAAAGGUUUAGUCCACAAGAAAACAGUAAAACACUCACAGAGACUCCAGCAGCUGAAGAGACCCUAUCAACUCAGGGAUAGGACCAGAGAAACGACAACCAACCAACUUUCUAGAAUGGAAGAAAAGAAAAUUCUGUCAGUUAAUUAGAGGACUGGUCUCAGUUAAUACUAACAUUAUAUUAUUCCCUUACAAGAUUUUUAGCUUCUUCAAAUUCACAAUUGAUGCCGGAAGUGUACCGCUCAAACCCGUGUUGUACGAUAGAUCCCUAUAACCAGACACUGAUAAUCAGCAAGGAAUCCUUAGAAUGGAAAACAAUCACUAUGUUCAUAUAUCAAGAAAAAGGAUGAAAGGAGCUCUGCCCCAACUCUCUCCAGAAAUGCUAACCUAUAAGCAACUGCCCCAACUCUCUCCAGAAUCUCAUACGGUCCAAUGAAUCGAGGACUCAACUUGCCUUUCUUCCCAAACCUGAAUACUCCUUUGGUCGGUGAUACUUUUAAGAACACACAAUCACCCACUGAAAACUCUAAGUCACGCCUUCUUUUAUCUGCGUAACUCUUUUGUCUGCUCUGAGCUGUUUGAAGCUUAUUUCUAAUUACCUCUAUCUUCUCUGAGGUAAUCUGAAUCAACUCUGGUCCCAUUAGCCUCUUCUCACCAACCUCAAACCAACAAACCGGUGAUCUACACUUCCGACCACACAAAGCCUCAUAAGGUGCCAUUUCUAUGCUAGCCUGAUAACUGUUGUUGUAAGCAAAUUCCACUAAUGGUAGGAACUUACUCCAACCAACUCCAAAAUCCAUAACACAAGCCCUUAGCAUAUCCUCCAAGAUCUGAAUAGUCCUCUCAGAUUGACCAUCUGUCUGAGGGUGAAAUGUUGUACUCAACUGCACUUUAGUACCCAUAGCUUCUUGGAAUUUCACCCAAAACCGCGAUGUAAACUGUGGACCUCUAUCAGACACUAUCGAGAUUGGCACUCCAUGCAACCGUACAAUCUCACUAAUAAAUAAUUCUGCCAACUUUGCAUAUCCAUAAGUAAUCCUAACUGGCAGAAAAUGGGCUGAUUUUGUCAACCUGUCAACAAUCACCCAUAUUGAAUCAUAACCCUCCUGACUCCUAGGCAAUCCUGUCACAAAGUCCAUUGUGAUCCUUUCCCACUUCCAUUCUGGAAUCAACAAUGGUUGCAACAAUCCAGGAGGUUUCUGGUGUUCACCCUUUACCCUCUGACAGGUCAAACACCUAGAAACAAAAUCUGCUACAUCAGCCUUCAUCCUAUUCCACCAAUAACACACCUUAAGGUCUUUAUACAUCUUGGUGGAACCUGGAUGCAUUGUGUAAACUGUCUGAUGUGCCUCUACCAUCAAUUCUCUCCUCAGAUCAUCUACAUCAGGUACACAAAGCCUAUCCCUAUAGCUCAGCACAUCAUCAUCACCUAUCACAAAACCUGCAGCCUUACCCUGCUCAACCUCAUUUCUAAUCCUGAGUAGUGAAUCAUCUUUCUUCUGAGCUGCUUUUAUCUUAUCAAACAAAUCUGACUUAACCUGAAAAUGAGCAAUCAUUGCUCCAGCUUCACUAAGAUCAAAUCUGACUCCUUCAUCCACCAUCUCAUGCAGCUCCCUAAUCAGAGGUCUUCGUACCUCCUGAAUAUGAGCUAAGCUCCCUGAUGAUUUUCUACUCAAAGCAUCGGCAACUACAUUUGCCUUACCCGGGUGGUAAUGUAUGGUACAAUCAUAAUCCUUCAGCAAUUCCAUCCAUCUCCUCUGCCUCAGGUUUAGAUCCCUCUGCUGAAAGAUGUAUUUCAAACUCUUGUGAUCUGUGAAGAUCUCACAAGUUUCACCAUACAAGUAGUGCCUCCAAAUCUUCAAGGCAAAAAUUACAGCCGCCAUCUCUAAAUCAUGUGUAGGAUAGUUCUGUUCAUGCUUCUUCAGCUGCCGUGAAGCAUAGGCAAUAACCUUGCCAUGCUGCAUUAGAACACAUCCUAACCUCACUCUCGAAGCAUCACAAUACACUGUGUAACCACCAGAACCUGAUGGUACUGCUAGAACAGGCGCUGUAGUCAAUCUCUCUUUCAACUCUAAGAAACUUUUCUCACAAGCUUCAGACCACUGAAACUUAACAUUUUUCUGCGUCAACUUAGUCAAUGGUGCAGAAAUCCGAGAAAAGUUCUCCACAAACCUCCGAUAAUAGCCGGCCAAACCUAAGAAACUUCUAAUCUCUGUCGCCGAAGUAGGUCUAAGCCACUGCUUAACUGCCUCAAUCUUUUAAGGAUCAACCUCAAUCCCAUUCCUUGACACUACAUGCCCAAGAAAUGCUACACUCUCCAACCAAAACUCACUCUUUGAGAACUUGCCAUACAGCUGAUGGUCUCGCAGAGUUUGAAGCACCAUUCUCAAGUGCUGCUCAUGCUCCUCUCUAGAUCUCGAAUACACCAAAAUAUCAUCAAUAAAAACUAUCACAAAUUGAUCAAUAAACUGGCCAAACACUCUAUUCAUCAAAUCCAUAAAAGCUGCUGGUGCAUUCGUCAACCCAAAAGACAUCACUAAGAACUCAUAAUGACCAUACCGAGUUCUAAAAGCUGUCUUCAAAAUGUCUGACUCCCUAAUCCUCAACUGAUGAUACCCAGAUCGAAGAUCGAUCUUAGAAAAGAAUUGAGCUCCCUGCAACUGGUCAAACAAAUCAUCAAUGCGAGGGAGUGGGUAUCUAUUUCGAACAGUCACUCGAUUCAGUUGCCUAUAAUCUAUACACAACCUCAAUGACCCAUCUUUCUUCUUCACAAACAACACUGGGGCUCCCCAAGGGGACACACUUGGUCGGAUGAACUUUUUAUCCAACAAAUCCUGCAGUUGCUCCUUUAGCUCCCUCAAUUCUGCUGGCGCCAUUCUAUAUGGUGCCAUUGAUAUUGGUUCGGUACCCGGAACCAAAUCAAUACAAAACUCAAUCUCCCUAUAUGGAGGCAAUCCAGGCAAGUCAUCGGGAAAGACAUCAAUAAACUCCCUAACUAUAGGGACUUGGUCUAAUUGAGGAACUUCUUUCUCUAUAUCCACUAUAUAUGCUAGGUAGCACUGUACCCCUUUUCUGGCCAUUUUCCUCGAGAUAGCCGACAACAUAAUUGAUGGAGACCCAAUCUUAUCUCCUUGAAAUACCAACCCAACUUCUUCAUCUAGAUCAAAUAUUAUUUUCUUACCCCAACAAUUUACCGAAGCCCUAUGUUUUGCCAACCAAUCCAUUCCCAAAAUCACAUCAAAAUCAACCAUAUCUAAGACAUUUAAGUCUCCCAUAAAAAUCUUAUCUCCAAUCUCUAUUUCACAAUCCAGGUACACAUACUUCACUAAUAUUAAUUCAUCUAAGGGAGUGGAGACUGAAAUUGGGGAUUUUAACAAGGUUGGCUGUUUAUCUAACCUCAUGGCAAAAUAUGGGGACAUAAAUGAAUGGGUUGCACCCGUAUCAAACAACACUUUUGCUUCAAAAGAGCAAACAGGAAGAAUACCUGAAACAACUAUGUUGGAUGCCUGAGCAUCCUGCUGAGUCAAGGCAAAAACUCUAGCAUGCCCCUGACCCUGCUGUAUCUGACCUCUAUCACCUGCACCCCGGCCUCUCUGACCACGGCCACCAAAACCUCUACCCCCAUGAGCCACAGACUGGCUCGUCGAUGGUGCCUGAAUAGGAUGUUGGACUGAAGCAGAUAACCCCGAAGCUGACAACUGUCUCCUCGGGCACUCUCUGAUCUUAUGACCUAUCUGGCCACAACUAAAACAAGCCCCGGUCCUUCUGUAGCACUCUGCACUAGUAUGACUUCCUCCACAGUGCUGACAUGAAGAACUAUCACUAGGUGUAAUAAAUGAACUACGAGGUGCAGUCUGAACUAAACUCUGAGUACCACUACUGCCACUCUGACCGCCUGAGCCACUAACUGACGGUCUCUGUCUAAACCUCCUCUGAACCCAUGAGCCCUGACGGCCACUUCGUCCCCUAGACGGACCUGCACUUAAUCCCUGUUGCCUAAAAGACUGACCCUCUUCUCUAGGCCUCUUAGACUGGCCUGCAGUCAUGUCCUCUAAUUCUCGCGCCUCUAUCAACCUGGCGCUAUCAACAGCUGAGGAGUAUGAUGGAAACACCUGUGACACCAUCACCAUAUACAUAGAGGAUUUGAGUCCUCUAAUAAACCUCUUCACCCUCCACUCCUCAGUGGGUAGAAGAUGCUCUGCAUACCUAGACAGCUGAGUAAACUUCAGAUCAUACUCAUCCACUGUCAUGCUCCCCUGAGAUAGCCUCUCAAACUCAUAAAGUCGAGCAUCCCUGACGCUCUGAGGGAGAAACCUGUCUAAGAACAUGGAGCUAAACUCCUUCCAUGUCCACUGAGCCUCUACUGGUCUUGCUCUUUUCAUAGACUCAAACCAAGAGAUUGCCACAUCUCCUUCCAACCUGAACGAUGCCAAACUCACAGCUCGGUGGUCUGUACAUCCCAAAGCUUCACACCGUCGCCAAAUAUCAUCUAGGAACCUCUGAGGAUCCUCUGAACUAUCCAUCCCAGUAAAAAUAGGAGGUGCCAACUUCAUGAAGUCAUUCAACGGCACAUUAACUCCCUGAACAGUGUGGGAUGUCGAGGGUACAUCUUUAUCCCUCCUUCUAUCUCUCUCCAUAGAAAACUCUAUCCAGGUCCGCACAACCUGGCUAAGUUGCUGAAACUCUGUAACAGGUUCAGGGUCAGCUACCCCCACACCUGUUUCAUCAACAAUAUCUUCCUCUUCUAUCUCCUGAGGCUCUUCCUCCACUGGUGGAGGUACCUCCUCAACAUGUUGAGGCACGGGUGCACCGCGCCUCCUUCUCUGCCUUGCAGUUCUCAACCGCCCAAUAGGGACAUUAUCCUGAUCAUCCUCUACUCUAACAGUAUCAGCUAUUCGUCUAUUCCUCGGCAUUUCCUAAAAUAAAAAUGAGAGCACUCAAGUCAUGCUAGAACAAUAGCAUGAUAAUUACCACAGAAUUAUAGGAAAGCAUAUCUAUCACAAGGAAGAAGACAUGCUUAAUGAGAAUUCAGAAUUUCAAAGACAACAAAUAAGACAACACGGAUCCUAAUGCUCCACUUAUUAUGAAUUUAAUUAUAUUAUUGUUUCUUUAACCUAAAGCUCUGAUACCAAGUUUUUCACGACCCGAAUCCCGGAUCCAUGACCGGCACAUAGGCAAGGUUCCCCUCCAAGGUUCCAUACCUAUGCGAACCCAAACUUACACACAAACUUAUUCUUCAAAUAAGUCAAUCAGAGUUCAACGCAACAAUAACAACAAAAUUAACUUCAUAAUAUAAUUAAAUUGUCUUAAUACAAGAGUUAAUAUAAAUUCAGAGUUUUGGAGCACUAACUAGACAUAAAGGAAAAUGUACAAAUUACAACCAAAAAGCAGGUUCUGAAGGUCCAACAAAAUGACUUGCUAUCAAGCUAUAAGCCUGAAAAGGAUAAAUAAUGAGAGGGUGAGUUCAACAACUCAGUGAGUAGAUAACGUUCAAUAUACACACACGAGGUAAUAAAACAAUGAGAAAUAUAUAUACAAGUAUGGCUUUAGGUUCUUAUGGAAGUGUUCUCAAAUUGGCCAUAACAAGAAUGUCAUAUGGUAAAACUCGUCAGAAAAUCAAAAUGCAAUGAGCAUGAGGCUCCGUACUGUGGGAUGAUCAGUCCACACAGGUUGGUGACUCCCCCGACCAACUAGGGUUCAGAUACGAUGUGCACAAAGACUAACACUACCCUGUUAGCAUGGGUAUUCUGACUGACAUACCAUAGGUUCAUAAUCAUAUUCAAACAGACAUAUUCAUAUCUCAAGGCUCAACUCAUGACAUCAAUCAAAUGAGGAGCUAUCAAUUCAGAAGUCAAUCCCAAAUAUAUACUGGUUCAUAUCAAGAAUUCAGAUUCAACAAUUGAUCAUGCUUUAUCAAAAUAAGGAUAAUAAUCAACAUAUAUAUUAUCAAGAAGCAUGAUUCAAUUCAUAUUAACAAAUCAAAUAUUUAUACUAUUUCUCAUGCAUAUGGAAAAUUAUCCACUCACCUGACUCGAAAGCAAACAGAAGUCAAAAGCAAAUACUGAAGAAAAUCCUACUGACGUCCCGCCGGUAGAAUAUCAGGAUUAUCUGAAUACAAAGAAGGCAUAUUCAAGAAUAACUCAAAGGAAUAUAUAACCCAUUUAAUACACUUAUCUAAGGGUGCAUUCCAUAACCCUAUAUGUUUUUGAACUAACUAGUUAUUUUUCCUAAAACCCAAAAUUUAACGGUUUUCCCGAAAUCUAAUCCAUAAUAAAGCAAAUAAUAAAACUUGAUAAUAAUUCACUAAAUAACCCUCAAUUAUUCAUCAAACCAAUCUGAAAAGGCUAAUAUUACAGCUAGGGACUAAUCUGUAAUUUAUCAUAUUUUUAGGGCCAAAUUGUAAUUUUUGUCUAAUUGGAGGACCAAACUGAAAUUUAUCAUAAAUCCAUGAAUAUACUGAAAUUCUGACCAUAAUUAGUCCUCAUUUCUGUCCAGAUCAUCUCAUUAUACUCCAAGGACCAUUCUGGAAUUUUACCAAAUUUUUAGGGUCAAAUUGUAAUUUUUGUCAAAUUGAAGGACUAAAUUGAAAGUGUUAAAUUCUCUUAUCUAUACAGUAAUUCUGUCCAUAAUUCAUAUGUUAUUCUGUUCAGAAUCUCGGAAUAUGCUCCAGGGACCAAUCUGCAAAUUUUCCAAAGUUUGGGGACUAAACUGUAAUUUUCCAAAAUUGAGGGACCAAAUUGAAUUUUCGUCAUCUUCAACCUCAAACCCAGAAUUCUCACAGAUUACCUACUGUUCUUGCCAAAUUUAUAACUCAACAUUCACCAUUUACACAAUUCAUAACUCAAAAUCAUCACAAUCUUCCAUAAUCAACUCAUUAAUCAAUUACCCAUAACAAUCAACCUUAUAACAUUCAAUUUAAUUCAUCAAUUAAACCCAAAACACAAAUUUUCAAAACCCUAACAUUUAUCAAAACCAAAAUUAAAAGCUCAAUAAUACAAAUUUAUACAUUUAACAACCUAAAUCUUACCUUUUUACUUAUUUCCUCCAACUCCUUUCUAUUUCCUUUCUAAUUUCCCUCUUUUCUCUUCUUCUUCUUCUUUCUCCCUUCUCCCUUCUCUCUCACGGUUUUUCACUCAAAAAAUUCAGAUCUCUUCUUUUGUUUUUUUUUUUUUUUUUCCUUCUAUUUAUAUAUAUCAUCUCUUAUACAAUUACUACAAUACCCCUCAUUUAAUUUAUUCCUACAUCUAAGCAUUCAAGGACUUUAUUGUAUUUUCCUACUCAUUUAUUCAAAACAUCACAUUAACCCAAUAGCUUAAACUAUUAGGUGAGGUCUCAGGAUAUGAUUUAUAUUAUUCUCUAACAAAAAGAAGGGAGGAAGGGAGACAUACAGUGUUGUCAAAGCCCGUAAGUUUGAGAAUGACAACGGAAAAUCUGAAGCGUCAAAACUAUUAUUGCUCAGGUCCCUGGAGAAAAGAUUUUGGUCAAAGUAAGCAUUUGGAGAAAAGUCGAAUUGUAUUUCAUACUUAGAUACCUAACAGACUGGAAAUCUUACAAGUAGCUGAGAUAAGCCAUGCCAGUGAGAUUAGGAACAGGCCCAGUAAAUUUAUUGUUGGACAAAAUCCUGAAAUUUAUCAGCAAAAACACUCUUAACAGAGUGAGAAUUCGCACAAAAGACUUAACAAACUAGCCAAACCAUUGUGAUAUCUUUACUGGCAAUGUCGUUUUCUGUAUACUUACAACGUCUUCAGAGUGGUAAGAUUGUUGAGGUUUGGAGGGACAGGUCCAGUUAAUGAAUUCCCUUCAAAACGUCUGCAACAAAGAUAAGGCAUUCAAUACAAACUAGAUCAGUGUAGAUUAAUCACUUCAGUUUGCCAUGUAGAUGCUUACACAGCCUCCAAAGUGUGCACAAGUCCAAGGGUAGAAGGAAUGCUUCCCGUGAGAUUAUUGUCAUGCAAAAGCCUGCACAAAAGUAAUGUAUAUAGAAUUGUAAACCUUUUAAAGAAGCAUAUUAAAUUAAAAGGAAUAUUGUUUUCUUUUAAAUUAAAUUAAAAUCCCACUUCCUAUUUUCUCCCCUAUUCCAUUGGUGAAGUAGUUUGACUUCAACAUCCAAAGCAUAUACAAACUUACACAUGAAUGAGAGUCAUGUUUGAUCUGAAAAGCUCUUUCGGGAUUGUGCCUGAGAGCUGAUUCCCUCCUAGAUGACUGAAUAAUUUUCAGACCAGCAUAAACAGAUGUCAAUAACGCCGAAGCAAGAGAGCACACUAAUCAGCACAAAGAGAUUUGACAUACAAGUGGUUUGCAUUAACUAGCAUAUCAAGACCAGAUGUAGUUCCACUGGAGACAGGGAUGGCUCCAUCGAGCAUAUUAUUAGAUAGAUCCAGCAGAAAGAGUUUCGAAAGGUUUCCAAUUGAAUGUGGAAUUGGUCCAGUGAAUCUAUUAGAAUUCAGGUCUCUGCGGGAAAUAGCAGUUUCAGAGUGGAAAUAUGUAGGCUCGCACAGGAAAGGUUUAGUCCACAAGAAAACAGUAAAACACUCACAGAGACUCCAGCAGCUGAAGAGACCCUAUCAACUCAGGGAUAGGACCAGAGAAACGACAACCAACCAACUUUCUAGAAUGGAAGAAAAGAAAAUUCUGUCAGUUAAUUAGAGGACUGGUCUCAGUUAAUACUAACAUUAUAUUAUUCCCUUACAAGAUUUUUAGCUUCUUCAAAUUCACAAUUGAUGCCGGAAGUGUACCGCUCAAACCCGUGUUGUACGAUAGAUCCCUAUAACCAGACACUGAUAAUCAGCAAGGAAUCCUUAGAAUGGAAAACAAUCACUAUGUUCAUAUAUCAAGAAAAAGGAUGAAAGGAGCUCUGGGAAUGAGGCCUUUUCUCAAUAUGUGCCUCAUGCCUUGAGAUCCGGAUGCUAGAGCAGCCCAGCCUAGACAUCUGGAAAGCCAAAGAGUAUCGUAGCACUACAUCUUUGAGGCUGUGACUACUUGUAAGUUGGGAUCAUUUAUUACGUGAAGUGAAAACUCAAGACUUACAGAGACUCCAAUUCUGAUAAGGAGGAGAUGUCUCCAGACAGCUCACCCGUCAAUCCCACAGCUGCCAACGUUCUGCAGUUGAAAAUAGUCAGCUAAUCUCGAAACUUGGAGAGGGAAGAAGGUGCGAGGCUUAUUUAACAUUUGAAGCUGAACAACUGCCUAUAACUUACAUCGAAGUCACACGUGAAUUGUGACAUGAAAUGCCUUCCCAUUUGCCUCCACAGGGAUCUGCACCCACCCAAUUACGUGGUGUGUUUUCCCAGGCAUCCUUGAGAAUACUCAUUACUGUAACUGCAUCAGGAAUGGGACAGAACAAUAAAAAAUUUCCAUGAUUCAAUCACCAUCAGAGUUGUCUAGUUACAUGGAGUAUGGAGGAUCCAUUAAAGCUAGCAAAGAUCUCUACUAAAUCUAAUCUAGCCUCGAACUUUAAUGAGUGAUUUUUGGCCCAAGUGCAGGCAAUUCAGAAUAUUCAUUCUGCAGUUCAUCUAUAAAGUUAAGAAGACCCUUAAGCACUUGAUUCUGAUUAGCAUAAAAAGCUACAUCCUACAUGAGACAUGGCUCAAAAACUCUUUGCAGUAAAUAUUAAUUUAUUGAACUUACAAUCAUCACCAUAGGUCUCUGUAUAAAUCUGAAAGGAAGCAACCAGCAAAAACGUGAGAACUUUGGGACACAUUUCUCAACCAAAUUGCAAAGCUCUUUGUUAGCAGAAAUGAUAUCUAGAAGUACAGCUCUUAAUAUGAUAAAACAUGGAAGGAAGAUCUUUACAUAUCCCCAUCGUUUACUUAUCUCAAAACUUAUAUCGUGAAAAGGACAUGAAUGGGACACUUUUGUUCGUAUGAAUCACAUACUACAUACAAAGACAAUUGACCUCCCAUCUCUAGUCAUUUUCAAGUUUACAGUCAUGAAACUCUAAGACUCCUAAAAAUACAAGUAGAGAAACAAUUUACGAGAUACUGUACGUGAUAAGAAUGAGUUGUGAGAGUGAUAGAAAGAACCCACCAAGUGGUUUCUUGCAUGUAGUAAAUGUUGAUUCUAAUAAUAAGCAUCCACUCUGAUUGCAUCCACAUACACUUCAGAAUACAGAGAGCAUUUCCACAUUUCCUACAGUACAUACAGCAAGUGGUCAUGAUUGUCUGCUAAAGUCAUUUUUUAAGCAAUCAAUACAAGGAGUUAUCAAUUGUUAAUGAGAUGUGUGGAUGAUUUUACUAAGUCUACUAAUUAGACUAGUAGAAAGAAAUGCAUUUGGCAAACCUUGAGGGGUGUAGCUCAACUGGUCAGGCUUUGAGUUUGCUCCCCAGAGAUCACCAGUUCGAGUCCCACAAACCUUAGGGUCACUUAAGGCUUACAUGAUCGUUAACUUCAGGGCCCGUGAGAUUUAUCGAGGUGCAUGCAAACUAACGUGGACACCUACGUUAAUCUAAAAAAAAAAAGGAAAAGAAAUGCAUUUGGCACAUUUAAUGUUUCAAAUGCUCAUAUGAAUGGAAUAAAAAAAAAAAUGUAGGAUAAAGCUAAGCCUAAAAAGAGAUAUAAUUACAUAGAAUAACUAGUCGAACAAAAAAGCUUGUAAUUUUUUAUCUAAAUGUAGAAUUGGACUCAAAUUUGACUAGAAGGAUUUAUAUGCCUAAUUCUAUAAUAAGGCCUUCAAAUUACACUCAAAAGAUGUUUUUUGAUUCAGUUAAAUCGGAGCCGUACAUACACAUUGAACUUCUUGAAAUAAUUAGAUUUUAGUGUAUAUAUAUACAAUUGAUUUUUAUUAAAAAGUUUCCCAAUUUUAUCACACAACAUCUCAAAAAUCCGAAAGUCACAUUCCAUCUUCCUCCCACUAUGUUUCUUUUGAAAAGAUGCUUUUGAGCCUGUUGGAAUUGGAUGGGAUGUGCUUUUUUGAAGGAUUUUUUUUUUUAGAAAAAGGAAUUAUAUAGUUUAAAGGUUUGGAGAACAUUUUUUUUUCUUUUGAAAGAAUCAAAUUUGUAAAUUCACAAGUAUUCACAAAGCAAAGAAUUACAGUUCUGAUGCAUCAUAUGCUACAAAGUGCAAACAACACAAGAUAAAUGGCAACUCGUACUCUCAACUAAGAAGUAUCAUUGAAACAUUUUCCAAGCUAAGCUCAUACCAAGUAUUCUGAGCUAACUCAUAGUGGCUGUACCUUUGAAACUCGGAAGCCCCCACUGUAAUCAAAUGCAUCCUUGAUAUAAAUGCUCGAUGUUUAGCAGUUCCCUUGCUUACAUCAUCGUAGUUAUUUCACUACUAGAAAAUUAACAAAUACAAAUAAAAAUACUUACAAAAAAAUUCUAUAGAUAAAUUGUGAUGAUUUUUACCGGCAGAAUUUUCCAUCCCUAUAUCCAUUGGUAGACGCUGACAGAAAGAUUUUCUUGGCAUAUUUCAAGAAAAUAAUUGAGGGUAUUGCAGUGGGAUUCAAAAAAACAAAUCAUAUGAUGACAUGGCAUUUUUACCAACAAAAUUACUGACGAAAUAAUUCUAUCUGUAAUGACAUUGAUAAUAUUUAAUUUAUAACCUGACAAUCGACCAUCCUCUCCCCCUCUCCAAUUUUUCCUUCUUCCUUAUGAAUUUUUUUAGCUAACGUAGUUAAUUAAUACAUGUUGUCAUCAUUAUUUUAAAUAAUUACUUUGCAUGUUGUCAUCAUUAUUCACCCUAAGGGUUGCAGAUGAUGGAUUAUUGUAAUGAGAUUCAGGGUUUUAUUAAUUAUACACUAUCUAAUCUGAGAAAUAUUAGUGAAAUGGGUAUUAAAUGUUCAUGCAAAAGGUAUAAAAAUAAAAAUUUUCUCGAUUCAUAUGUUGUAACAAUACAUCUUUUACAAAAAGGAUUCAUGGAGAAAUACUUGUAUUGGUAUGCAAACGGAGAACCAUAUGUUCCUCACGAUACCAUGGUAGAAAGGAUGAUUGGGUCAACUUCUACUUCUAGCAACGUGCAUGGAGUUGUAGAUAACAAUAGUAAUCUGUAUAGGAAUAUGGUUAUGGAUGCAAUGGGAAUGAAUCACGAUCAUGCUAGUCAAUGUCUAAUCGUAAAUGAAGAACUUAAUGCAGAUACGAGUAGGUUUUUUAUGUUUUAAAAGAUUUUAACGAACCAUUAUGGGAUGGCUACAUAAAUCACUGUAAAUUAUUGGUCGUUGCACAGGUGUUCAACAUCAAAUGAGAUCAUAGGUUGAGUGAUGCCGGUUAUGAUAGAAUUUUUGAAUAGCCGAGAAGCAUUUUACUUGAAGGGAACAGGCUGAAAGAGAAUUUCUAUGCUGUUAUGUCCAUGAUGAAACUCCUUGGUCUAGGAUACCAGAAAAUUGACAUGUGUUCAAACUUUUGCAAGUUGUACUACCUUGAAAAUGUAGAGGUGGCCGAGUGUAGAACAUGUGGGCAUUCUCAUUGUAAACUCAUGACUGGCAGGGGAAGGACUCUUGUCACACAUAAAAGAAUUAGAUAUUUUCCAAUCACACCUAGAUUACAGAGGUUAUUCAUGUCACCAAAGACUGCUGAGCACAUGACAUGGCACCAAUCACAUGAUGCAGUGGAUGGAGUGAUGAUGCACCCUUUCGAUGGUGAAGCCUGGAAACACUUUAACAAUAUGCAUCCUUAUUUUUUAGUGGAGAUAAGGAACGUGCAUCUUGGGUUAUGUAUAGACAAAUUCAAUCCAUUCGGGUCAUUUCCUGCUCCUUAUUCUUGUUGACCGGUGAUACUCAUAGUUUACAACUUGCCAUUAGGGAUGUGUAUAAGGCCGGAGUUCAUGUUUUUAUCUACGAUCAUACCCGGUCCUAAUAGUCCAGGUCGGAAUAUAGAUGUUUGUCUUCAACCGUUGAUUGAUGAGUUGAAGUAGUUGUGGUCAUCCGGGGCUUUGACUUAUAAUGUAUGAAGGAAACAAAAUUUUAUGUUGAAGGCAGUUUUGAUGUGGACUAUCAAUGAUUUUCUAGCUUAUAGAAUAGUUUCCAGUUAGAACACGCAUGAAAAACUAGCAUGCCCAUACUAUAUGGAAAAUAACAAGGCAUUCACACUAAUAAACGGCCUUAAAGUGCUUUUUUUACUGUCACCGUCGGUUCUUGCCAACAGAUUGCAAGUUCAAAAAGAACAUAAAGGACUUCUUAGUUGGUAUGGUUGAAAGGGAUGUUGCACAACCACUUCUUUCAAGUGAAAAAUUGUAUAAUGUGGUAUCAGAGUACGGUGACAUUGUGUUUGGUUUUCAAUCCGGUAAGCAGAAGUUUCUUGGUUUUUGUUUAACCCACAAUUGGGUAAAGCGAAGUAUUUUCUGGGAGCUUCCUUAUUGAAAGACCAAUCUCCUCUGCCAUAACCUUAAUGUCAUGCACAUGGAAAAGAACGUGUUUGAGAACAUUUUCAACACGAUUAUGGACGUGAAGAGAAAGACAAAGGACAACAUCAAGGCUAGAAUGGAUAUAGCUUUGUUUUGUCACCGUAAAAAUAUGAAGUUAGUUUAUGUUGGGUCACGGGUCGCAAAGCCCAAAGUCAGCUUCACCUUAGACAAGAAUGCAUAGUUUCUUGUUUUAUCAAUGGCUUAAAAGUCUGCGUUUUCCUGAUGGACAUGCCUCAAACAUAUCAAGGUUGGUGAAUUUGAAGGAUUGCAGAUUGUAUGGAAUGAAGAGCCAUAUUGUCAUGUAUUUAUGCAAACACCCAUUUCAUUAACUUACCGGGAUUUAUUGUUGAAAGGGAUAUGGGAUGCACUCGUGGAGAUCAGUCACUUCUUUAGAGAUAUAUGCUCCAACAAGUUGCAGACACAAAACAUAAAGAGAUUUAAAAUGAAUAUCGUCCAAAUAAUAUGCAAACUUAAGAUGAUAUUCCCUCUAACAUUUUUCGACUUAAUAAAGCAUCUACCCAUACAUUUACUGUUUGAGGCAAAAGUUGGACGCCCAGUACAAUAUAGAUGGAUGUAUCCAUUUGAGAGGUUAAGGUUAACACAUGCAUCGUAAUUAAAAAUUUAUUAUCUUCCUUUGCUUAUUUCAAAACAUUCAUUUAAUUUCAUGCAGGUCUUGUUCAACCUUAAGAGAAAAGCAAAAAACAAGGCAUAUGUUGAGGCUUUGAUAUGUGAGGCCUAUAUUGUUGAAGAGAUCUCAACAUUUAUCUCGUACUAUUUCGAGCCUUAAUUGAGAACAAAAAUCAACUGUAUUCUAAAGUAUGACAAUGGUAGGGAUGUGCCUUCGAGUAGGAACUUGUUAAUUGAUGAAGUAGAAGAGAAUUCUGAUGAAUUUGCGCAGCACAAAUGUGUAAUGUCAUAAGCUAUAAUGUAAUAUUUAUGGACGAGAUUCACUUCAAUGUAAUAACAAUGAUGUUAAUUUAUUAUUGAAAGACAAGAAAAUAUUUAUUUUCUUAUUGUGAUGUGAACUAGUGUUAUUGUGUUGUAUGUGCAGCUAUGAAUUUAAGUAUUUGUAGGACGGAUAAAUAAGGAAUACAUAUGCAAUUUAGCAUCAGACACCGUUUUACACUGAUAAAAAUACUGACAGACUAUACAUUACAUAUAGGUAUAUCGACAAAAUGUAUCUGUUGAUAUAUUCUAGAAACCAUAGGAAUUGUUCCCCUUCACCCUAGCACUAUUCAUGGUGUUUAUUACAUACAGGUUUAGCGACAGAAUGUGUUUGUCGGUAUAUUCCAGAGACCAUGGGAAUUGUUCCCCUUCACCCUAACAUUGUUAAUGAUGUUCAUUACAUGCAGGUAUACUGACAAAAUGUGUUCAACGAUAUAUUUCAGAGACUAUGGGAAUUGUGCCCCUACAACCUGACACUAUUCACGGUAUUCAUUACAUAUGGGUAUAUUGACAGAAUGUGUCUGUCGGUAUAUUCCAAGGACCAUGGAAACUAAUUCACUUCUCAAUGCGAAAAUAAUUAAUGAUGUUUUUACUGUUCACUUUUUUUCCUAAUAGAAUCACCGACGGAAUGAAAAGUCAUCGAUAACAUAUGGAGGGGCUUUCUAAAACUUUUCGCACAAGUUGAGAAUUUCCAUUUGACUUUAUAUUAUCGAUUAGGGCUUUCUAAAAAUAUUAAUAUUUAAUUUCAUAUCGGUAAAAACUAAAAUAAAAGACCUGAAUCAUGAUAGAUUAGGGCUUCAUCUUCUUCUCUCUUUCUCUUCUCUCUCUCCUUCUCACCUUAGAUCAAGCAUUCUCUUUUCUUCACAUCCUAAGUAUGUUGUAUUUCUUCAUUUUUCUUCUUUUGUUUCUUUUUUUUUUGGUUUAUUAACAAUGUAUUUUUUUAUUGUUUUUCUUUUUUUUAAUUAGGAUCUUAAAUAAAGCACGUCAUUAAGGUAAUAAUUUUUCAUUCCUUUUUCUUUCUUUUUGGUGCUUUUUUUCAUUAUGUUUUUUCAAAUUUGUUGUUCUUAAUUAAGAGCUGAAAUGAGCAUUAUUUUUGUUCAAUUUUGUUUUCUUAAUAAUUUUAUUAAUUAAUAAAUGACAUGACUAUUAGUUGUUAUUGAAAUAAUUUUUGCAUUAUUUUAUUGAAAUUUAGUUAUUUUUUUUAAAUUUGUUGUUCAAUUUCAAUUAAAUGUGUAGAAAUUAUUUUAAAUACUAUUUUGUAUUUAUUCCAUUUAGAAUAAAUUUUUAUAAAUUUAGGAUUAAAAAUAUUAUCACUUAGAAAUAAUUGUGUUUAAUUUUAGGUGUUAUUGUAAUAUAUUUUGCAUUAUUAUUUUGAAUUUUUUAAAAUUUAAAAUAUUUUUUUGUAAAUUUAUGAUUUAAAAUAUUAUCACGUAGAAAAUGAAAAUUUUCUAUGAAAUUGAAUUAUGCUAAAUUGUUAGAAGAAAUUGAAUAAAAUCAACUGGUUUGUGGCAUAUAUAUUAUGUAUUUCCAGGUUUAAAAAAUUUAGGUAGUCUCCCAUAUAGGGUAGAUGUUUCCAAAAAAUUUUAAAAAAUAGGAAUCUCUUAAAAAACUUUAUCCAUUAAUUUGUGUAGAUGUCUAGGGGAAAGUCUAUUACACGUUGAGAGGACAUAAUCGCUGCUAGUUCUUCUAGAAGUGAUGUUGACGACCAUGAGUCAUUAGGAGCCGACCAAGAACAGGCACUUGAGGCACACACAUCGACUCAUGAUGAGGGCUUGUCGAGUGUGAUGCCACAACAUCAAGGGGCUCUCUUCAUACAGGAUCCAUUUACCCGCAAGUACGAGGCUAGAGAAAGGACGACCUUUCAAUAUAAAUUUGUUUUGCUUUCAUAACGACAUGUUUAAUAAUUUUUUAAAAAAAUAAUAUCAUUUAACGAAUGCAAUUUCAAGUUUACAAAUAUUGAGGUUGCUAGAACAAUAAUAUUGGCCUUUAAAUCGUCGAUGGAAAUUCAAUUAUUUCAAUGAAGACAGGUUUCCAAACAUCCUGAAUAGAAACCGCAGGUUGAUGUAUGGUUUUCAAGGUUCAAGAUUAGUAUUAGUUUAAAUAUUUUUUAAUGUUAAUUUGAACCAUAUAUUGAAAUUUUCCUUUUAUAAAUUUUUACUUCAGAGGAAAUUUUGAAUGGGAGAGAGUUGAUGAUAAUUUUGCGAGGAGGGUUUCAAAGAAUCACUCUACAAUUAGAUAAAAUUGAACUCAGGAUAAAAAAUUUUUCUCAAAUAUUAAAAUUUUAUUUUUCAUUUGCUAACAGAUAAGUAAUUUGUACCAUAUAGAUUGCGUGAUUUUUUGUACGAGGCGCAAAAGAAAUCCAAAAAAUAUGCAAAAGAAAGAGAGCUUCUAAGUUGGAAUAAUAUGGCGGUUUGGAAGGAUUUCAAAUCGCCAUAUGUCUCAGAGGCUGUAUGGGUGGUAUACAUUCAGCACAUGAUGUCUGCGCGUUUCACUCGACGGUCAUAGUCCGAUAUGGAUAACCAGAACCGAGAUGUUCAUGGUUCUGUUGUCACGCACACCGGUGGCUCAAUUCCAUUCGUUUCACAUGCGAAGUGGAUGGUAGGAUUUUUUUUUUAACAUCCAUUUUUUAUUGGUUGUUUUUUUAUAAAUAUGCUUAACUGAAAACAUUUUUUAUUGCAGGCUAUGAUUCUUAGACUCGAGUCAAGCCCAAUGGAGUUUUUUGUUGAAACCCAUGUGUAAGUUAUUAUUUCCUUGAAUUUGAUGAAUUUAUUUUUUCUUUCCAUGAUACAUAUAACAGCAGUUGAAGGAGAGAUACAGGGACGAUCCUUUGACCUAUCUAGAUAUCGAUCUGGAUUUGUGGUUGAAGGCAAGAUCAUCGUGGACCCGAUAGAAAUUGGGUGUACGGACUCUCUAACACUAUAGCCAAACUUGCAGACAACCCAUAGUGCUUUGACAGUUGGAUGCAAUCGAUUCUGAGCAUUCAGACUCUUGAUUUCACAGUGAUAUUAGACCAACGGGUACAGGAUCGAACAACCCAUCUUAAUGAUAAAUAUGAACGACUCGCUACUGAUUAUAAAGAACUCCGUUUAUUGGUAAUGGAGAUGAGAUCAUAGAUGAGUGGUUCAUAUGCAACCCCUAAUUGGCCCUACGGUUCCGGCGACCAUCAGUCUUCUCCUCCAGCGUCGCCUCUAUUUUAGAUUUAUUGUAUUUGAAUGUACAAAUGUUUAAAUUUGUAAUAAAUAUUUUAUUUUUAUACUAAUUGAUUUUAUUUUAAUUAUUUUUCUACUUUUUUUCAAAAAAAAAUUAAGAAAAUAUUUUUAAAAUAUUACUGACGGGGUUACCAACAGCACAACUCUGUCAGUAUAUUCUAGAGGGUUGAAAAAAGAAUUACUACAAAUGUCACUAUUACUGAUGGGGUUACCGACAGAACUAGACUGUCGAUAUAUUCCAGAAAGGUGAAAAAGAAUUACUGCAUAUGUCACUGCUACUAUUAACGCACCGAUGGAAUUACAGAAGGUAUUCUGUCGGUGAUAUGUUAUAUUUAUCGAUGGAUAUACUGACAGAAUAAAGCGGAUAAAUUUGUUUUUGACGUGCUGUAUCAAUUUGUAAAUCCAUUGAUAUAUUUAUUGUUGACGGACUUAACAACAGUCCAUAAAUUACCAACAUGAGUUUUUCCAACUGACUGUUUAUGUCUAAGACCUCUGUUAGUAACAUAUGUAAACACCAUAAGAAAUUUCUAUCAAUAAAACUAUUAAGUCUGAAAGUCGUUUGCUAGUCAUUUAAAUUCACAUAAAUAAAUUCUGGUCAGUCAAGAGAUAAGAGGCAAAGAAAACUCCAAAAAAUAUUUGAACUCACUCGUGGAAAGAAUGCUUCCGUCAGUCACCAGCUUGACCCAUAAAGAUAUCAGAAUUUCUUCCAAACGAAUCUGUCCCUCUAAUUGCAAACACACGGGUCCCCUCCGACCACUCCCCUCCAUCAACCCUUGCAAGAAUCCAUUCUCUCUUGGACUUGACAGCACCUGACCUGAGAAACAACUAGCACAGCAUGCGAGAAAUGUAUUGAUCCUUGACGGCAGUACUGCGGUUUCUCAUGUGAUGCAAACAAUCAGUGAAGUGCUAGCUGGAAAUUUAUUUAAUUAACAUGAAUGAAAAAUUCAUCUAAAAAAUUUCUUGGUUUUUUACUUAAAUAAUUUUUGAUUUUUUUAUAUUUAAUUCCUGAUUUAUAAUGAUUAAUCAGAGGUUGAUAAUGGUAGGAAUUAAUUCUUCAUCCUUUUACCUUCCAAAACUCACUAUUAAAAACGAAGCGAAGAAAGAGUUUCCAACUUGAAUUUUUCAAAUUCUUACAGUACUCUUACUUGCCUCAUAUUUUAGUGUUUUAUUCUCAUUUUAAUCUUUGAUUUUUCUCUCAAAUUUAGAGAUUAGGUUCAUCUUAAUUAUUAAAACACAUUUGAGUUUCAUAUUUUUUUUGUUCAAAAAAAUUGUUAAAAAGUACAUCUAAACUAAAGUGGUAUUGUUAGAGUCUUGAAAGAUAUAUUAUAAAUAUCCUAAUUGCACAGGUGAGAAGCAGUAAAAUCUUAAAGACAAAUGAUUCAUCUUUAAUAAUAACAAAAAUUUCAUUACCUUAAACUACUUCAACAAAUAAGUACCUUUUAGUAUGCAUGCUAGAAUUUUAAAUUAAUAUCAAUUGCAGGUUAGAUUAUAUGCUAAGUAUGCAUACUAGAAUUCGUUUUAUUAUAUUUAUGUUGAACACACGCUUGUCAUGAGUUAUGUUUUUGCUUGCUUGUAGCUAGUUUUAAACAUGUAUAAACUUCUAGGUUUUUGUUGGAUGUUUUUUUUUAGGAUGCAUUUGUGAUGAUAAACUAAAUAUAUUUGCUCACUAGUCUAAUAUAUUUACAAAUUUUUAGUAAAAUUUAUUUGCUUUCUUAAUUAUUUUUAUUUCUUAUUUAGUUUAAAAAAUAAAAUCUUAUGUUUAAUAAUUGGAUCUUUAUUGUUUUUUUUUCUUCAGGUUUUCAAGAUUGUUUAUGUUAGUUUUUGAGUUUAUUUAAAAAAUUAUAAACUUACAACAUACUACUUAUAAAAAAUAUUCAAUUAUAAAAUUAUGAAUUAGAAUUCUCUUUUCUUUUAAAAGUUUUGUAUUCCUAUAUAUAUAUAUAGAAGAGCUCUCCAUCAUUGUCAAUAAAAAAUUAAAAAAAAAAGUGGAAAUUAACCGUCAACAAGAACAUUAUUGACCACUACAGUAGUUCAUUUUGUCCUCUAAUAUUUGAUAGCCCAUGUGAUUAUCAAUGUUAUGAGACAGAGAGAGUCUUCGUAAUUCUUCUACCAUCUUUACUAUUGAUAACAAUUGAGAUUGAGGGGUUUAAGCUACCAAGUCUUCCCAUUAUCUAUCAAAUCAUUAGAUUAACCUGGAUAAAAUUAUUUUUAUUAAAAAAAUUGUAUUAAUUAAACUGAGUUUAGCUAGGUUAAUCAAAUUACUAAAAUUUUAAUUAGAGCCAUUGGGUUUUAAUUAAAUGUCAAUAUUUUUUCUAUUUCAAUUUAAAACUUAAUCCAAAACAAGUUUUAUAUUGCAAUAACUAUAAUAUAUAUCACUCUCAAAUGGUUGUUUAUUAUAAAAAAAUAAAGAGGUGAGGAGUUCACCGUGAAUUCGAGUAGUGAAUUGUUUUUUUAUUUUAAUCCUUAAUUAAAUUUCUUUAAUUUUCGAUUAGAUGUUAAUUUCUAUGCCUAAAUUGAAAGUUAAUUAUUCUAAUUUAUUGAGCAAUAAUAAAAUUAAAAAACAAGUGAUCAAACUUAAAAACAUGGGCUCAACCAGGUUAGAUAUGCAUAUCAUUUUGAAUUCAUUAUUUAAAUUUCUUUUUCCUUCUAAAAAAUACAUGACAUUAAAAAAAAAAAAUCUGAAUAGCGGCUAGCACAAGCCACAUUGGGUUUCUUGAAAUAAUUAAAUUCUAGUGUAUAUACAAAUAUUGAUUUUUAUUAAAGUUUCCCAAUUGUAUCACACCACGUCUCAAAAAACCCCAUAGUCACAUUCCCUCAUUCUUCCUCCCACUCUCUGUUUCUUGCUCUUGAGCCUGUUGAAUUUGGACGGGAUGAGCCCUUUUUUGUUAUUUUUUUUUUAAUUAUAUAUAUAUAUGUAUAUAUAUUAAAAGAACAAAGUUUGAAAUUUGUAAAUUCACAAGUGAAGAAUUGCAGUUCUGGGAAUUAAUGUGCUAAAUUAAAUAUUCACAAAGCAAAUAACUACAAUUCUGAUGCCUUAUAUGCUACAAAGUGCAAACAACACAAGAAAAAUGGCAACUCGUACUCUCGAGCAAGAAGUAUCACUGAAACAUUUUCCAAGCCAAGUUCAUACGCUCACUCAUAGUGGCUCUACCUUCGAAGCUGGGAAGCCCCCACUGUAAUCAAAGGCAUCCUUGCUAAAAAUGUAUGGAUGUUUGGCAUUUCCCUUGCUUGCAUCGUCGUAACUUGCCGAAGUGGAUGCAGAAUCCGCAUUAGGGUUCAGACCAGCAAGAUGCAAGAUAUUCUCAAUCUCUUUCACCACUUCACCCAUUGUUGGCCUGUCACUUCCGUUCUCUUCUACACAUUUCAAUGCAACGUCCACAAACUUAUCUAGACCUUUCAAUGUUGUGUCUAAACCAAUGCUUGAGUCAAGAAGUUCGCCGAGGUUGUACAAAUAUUUUGCUCUAUCCAAUGCCGUCUUUACCUCUCUCACCACGUACUUCCCCUUUUCUAUCGGCCUUCUUCCGGUUAAUAGUUCCAGCAUGACAACUCCAAAGCUGUAAACAUCACUCUUCUCUGUCAGCUGCUGGGUCAUGUAAUAUUCUGGAUCCAUAUAACCCUGGGGAAAAAAUGCAAUAAUUAAUACAAUCAGUUCUAUCAUCCAGUCCGGUCGUGCCAAAACUGCAUUUCAUUUUGUAAAAUCAAUCGUAGUUUAUGUAUUCUCGUAAUAUAACAUAUAACGAAUCGGCCUGUUUGCAUGCAGACACAGAGCCAAGAUGAUGAUUUUUUUCAUUUUAAUUCCAUAUACCAUAAGAACAGUAAGAAAUAAUGGUAUGACGCAUAUGGAGUGGAGGUAUGGAGGCACUGACCAUCGUCCCCUUCACUUGAGUUGUAACAUGAGUCAGAUGACCCGUUUCGCUGUCUCCCAUAGGCUUGGAGAGACCAAAAUCGGCAACUUUUGCAUUUAAACGCUCAUCUAGUAGUAUGUUGCUUGAUUUUAUGUCCCUGUGGAUAAUGGGAGGGUUGGCAAGUUCAUGCAGAUAGGCCAAACCUCUUGCUGCACCAAGGGCCACUUUUAGUCUCCUCACCCAAUCAAGCCUGAUUCCUGUCUUCCCUGCUUGGAUUGGAAAGAACAAAUAGGAGAGUGUGAGGGGUUAGUGUAGUUUUAUCUACAUUUAUAUUUUAGCUUCAUUACGCACAAGAAUUAAAGCAAUAGAGUUUUGUUAGAUGGCAUACACUAAAUUUUCAUGAAAAAAAGAUUGUAUGGUAGCAAAUUCCAAGUAUCAAAUCGAAGCAUUGAUAGCUCAUAGGUGCCGAUGAAAGUACCUGAUAGGCUUUCCAUGAGACUGCCAUUUGGAACAAACUCAUAUACGAGCAUUUGUUCACCUCUGUCGAAGCAAAAGCCUAUAAGGCUUACAACAUUUUUGUGGUGGACUCUGGAUAAAAGUUCAAUCUCAGUCUUGAAUUCUAGCCCACCCUGCAUCGAUCCUUGUUGAGCUCGUUUGAUGGCAAUUAGUUCUCCAGUAGGAAGAACUCCUCUAUAAACCUGUAAGGAUGUUAUCAUAUAUUAAAUUCCAUGUUUUUCAGAAACCAAAAAAGAACAAAAAAACAUCAAUGCGAGGGAUUCUUCUUCUGGCAAUGAACUAGAGAAAGCGUUUGGAUCCCUUCAACAAGACAGCAUCAGGGGAAAUUUUUUUUGAAAGAAUCAGUAAAUAAUUGAAGUGCAGAACAAAAAAGCAUUUCACUGGAAAGGUAAGAACAUCAGCAAGUGUAUUUUGAAAAUAUACUAUGAUUAAGCAAACAUUUUCCAUGCUAGUGUGAGAAAUGAGCCCAGUAAAAUUGAAUACUAACAGGCCUCUUUUUCACAGGUUUUUGUCGGGUGGAUUUAGGACAAAAUUGGCAUAGUUUACCAUGUAAAGAUUUUAGGAAACCAGACCAGAUGUAGUGAAGUUGUAAUAUAAGAAUCAUGAUUGACAAGAAUCAAGUGUUGUGCACCAGUUCCGAAGAGCUUGAGAUUAAGGGUUUUCUUGAUUUAAAUCUUUACGUGCAUCAGGAACAUGAAUAGUUCAAAUGCAAAUAUCCAUGCGCAGAUACAUAAGAUGUGGCUAGGCUUUCAGAGAGAAUCAGACUUACGUUUCCAUAACCCCCAGAACCAAUGUCAUUGGUCUCUGAGAAGUUAUUGCUGUAUUUCCUGAGCUCUUCAAAAGAGAAGUUUCUGGCUCCUUUUAAUUGAGGAACACCUCCGAUACUCUUGUUUGAUUCCCACUGUGCUGAAAAAGAAACAAAACAAAUCCAUGAUAUUCCAUAACUGUAAAUACCAAGUAAAUAAUCAAAGCCUUUUCAUACCAAAAGGAUUGUUUUGUUCAGUUGCCUUUUCUGCUCUCUUCUUUUGGCGAUGAGCAUAGAGCCCAGCGCCCAGCAAUAGCAGCAGGAGGACAGAGCCACCCGCCACAGCUCCAACGAUAACACCAGUUUGCGAUGAUUUUUUUGAUCCUGUAACUUCGUCUGGAUGAGUAGAAAGAGGGAGGAGAGAGAUGUUACAAUAAGAAAGGAGAAACAGUAGGAUAAGUUUUUCUUGUAGCUCUGUAUCAGUUAUGAGACUACCUGCGAAAUUUAGAUACGCAUCACCAAUAAAAAAGAAAGGUCCGAAUUGCGGUGGAGGCUUGAAAGUCUGGUUGCUCAGCGCAAAACCAAUACUUGAAACUCCUGUUCGAUUGAAACGAUCAUGGCCAAAUGGAAACACUUGCAGAUUCAAAACAAGGUAAGUAGAUGAAUCUUUUCUUGGAUGACUUAGAUUAACUGAAUCCACAGGAAGUUGAUGUAACUUGAAUGAGUCCAUCAGAGACUUUUCAAGAACAGUGUAAUAAGUGUUGUUUCCCAGGUUCGAGAAUGAAGGAGCUCUGAACUUUAGAAGUCCUGUGUAUGGAAGUGCACAUUUACAGUUCGGACUGGAAAUCUGAUUAGCAAAGCACAAAGAAGCUACACAGUUAUUUAGAGGCGUUGAAUAGGAAGAUU
rnacentral:lncRNA from 1 species